UUCAACAAAUUUUGCAACAACAACUGAUUCCAUGCAUGGAUGUUGUAUUGCAGCAACACAACAUAGCGCAUGGAAGAUCACAAGUUUUGCAACAAAGUACUUACCAGCUGUUGCAAGAAUUGUGUUGUCAGCACCUAUGGCAGAUCCCUGAGCAGUCGCAGUGUCAGGCCAUCCAAAAUGUUGUUCAUGCUAUUAUUCUGCAUCAACAACAAAAACAACAACAACAACCAUCGAGCCAGGUGUCCUUCCAACAGCCUCUGCAACAAUAUCCAUUAGGCCAGGGCUCCUUCCGGCCAUCUCAGCAAAACCCACAGGACCAGGGCUCUGUCCAGCCUCAACAACUGCCCCAGUUCGAGGAAAUAAGGAACCUAGCGCUACAGAUGCUACCUGCAAUGUGCAAUGUCUACAUCCCUCCAUAUUGCACAAUCGCGCCAUUUGGCAUCUUCGGUACUAACUGAGAAGAAAAUAACUCUAGUACUAGAUAUAUGAAACACCGUUUUCUCAGUCCAUGGUUUGGUCAUUGUAGCGUCGAAAAAAUAAUGUGACAUGCACUAUCAUAUAAGAAUCCGAACUAUACUAGUUCAAACUUGGGAAUAAAAGACAAACACAUGUCUUGUCUACAUAUUUAUGUUGCAUCUAUUUAUAUAUUAAAAGUAAUAUAAGGUGAACCAGGAGCAAGGUAAAUAUGCUAGAAAAUUGCACGUUAAUUAGAAAUUACUUGCCCUCGAUCUGGUAAAUCUUAACAAAUAGAAUUAUCUUGACCGUUAGAUUUAUAUAACAUAUAUAAUGCUCUGGGCCUCCAACGACUGUACGUGACACAUCUGAACGAACAUAUGGUAAAGAAAAUAUAUUUGGUAAAUGGUGGGCCUGUUUAAAAAGAGAACUCACGUACAUGCACCAACUAAGAAAAACACAUACAUGUAAACGGGAAAAGGAUGAGAUUUUCUCACGUACGUGCUCCCUGGCUCCACCCCGUUGAAAAAAUAUACAUCUGGAGGCCACUUUGUUUCCUCAUCAAAAAAACUUACGUUAAAAAGAUUGCAUGCAUCCCAGGGAAAAUAGUCAAGAAGAAGUCGGACUUUUCCUUACAAAAACAAGGAACGUGUUAAGUUGACUUCAAAGAAAAAAGGAACAUGUUAAGUUAAAAAAAAACAAGAAACCUGUUAAGUUAGAAAAAAACAAGGAACGUGUUGUCCAAGGAAAGAUAUGUGUCAAAUCUUACAAAAAAAAAGAAUACACACACGUACGUUCAUGCACUUGGAAAAUAGAAAAAAAGGAACAUCACGUAUGUAUACACUUCGGAAACUCAUUACAUGACCAUGUCUGAUAUACUCCUCUAAUGCUUAAUAUUAGUGCCUAAUAAUUUAUAUUUAAAAUUUAAUUUACUGAUCAAAUAUCCCCACUGUUUAAAUUUUAAUUUGGCACAUUGUUUGGCUAUAGUAUGAACCUGAAUUUCCUCUUAUUAUUAUAUAUCAUGGUAAUAAUCCAAAGGCGACUAAUCUGCACCGGCGCACCGGCGCAAUCAAUUCGGCUGGACACAGCGCGGCCGUUUGAUUAGAUUGCAUUUAACCAUCAGAUCUGGAAUCGUUUUCUUUCCAAUUAAACGGAUUCAACCAAACAGCAGAGGGGAAAACAAAGCAGCGCCGCCGCCAACACUAGCCAUGGACGACCGAUGUAGCAAAACCUUGAAGAACCGCCGCCGGUCGCCACCCUCGCCUCUGGUCGCUGCCCUCGCCGUCGGUCACCGCCGGUCGCCGCCCUCGCCGCCUGCGUUUCUCAUCGGCUUCAUGCAUGCAACAACAUGCACUCGUGGUUGCAGGCUUGCAUCUCCGGCUCCGGGGACAUGGCCGCAUCUCCGGUAGCGCCGGCCGCCGGCCGCAGCACCUGUCGUUGUGGUCGCGCUGUACCUCGCCGUGUGCCCUCCCGAGGCUCUUGCUGGUUCCAACAAAAAACGAUACCUGUUGUAGCAAAAAAGUAUCGCUUCCAGCAAAAAAGCUUACCGCUACAGCCCGCCAUCGUCAUUGUAGCAAAAAUGUUAACCCGAUGUAGCUUCUGUGGUUGCCGACUGCAGCAAAAAAUGACAUGGCUGUAGCAAAACACAAAAGAAAAACACUGGCCGGCCGCUGUGUAUGGUGGUAACAAACCCUAUAGCCGGUGGUAGCGAAAAACUUCAUAGUGUGCUGCAAAAAAAUGUUGUCACCCGUCGUCGAGGUUGCAUCAUCUUCAUGAAUUAUGCCGCAAAAAAACGUUGUCGCCGGUAGUAGCAAAUGAAGCCGCCGGUAGUAGCAAAACAAGACACUGGUUCCAGCCAAAAAAAAAAUCAGCGACAGAACCUUUGGUUGGUUCCAACAAAAAAACUUGUCGGUUGUAACAUCCCUCGCCGCCGGAUGUAGCAUCUCCCGGGGCUGGUUGCAACACUCCAUAAAAAAAGUUGUCUAUGAGCGCAUCCAUGGUGACUGCUGCACCGUCAGCAAUGAGGGGAAGAGGAGGCAAUGAAAAUCAUUCGAGUCAUAGCUCCACAGGACGCGGCUGCAGCAUGGGGAGUCCAAAAAUCUGUCACAAGCAACAUGCGCCGCGCCAUCCUCCUGCGCAGGAGAGAGAAGAAAAAGGAAUAAGAGGAAGAAGAAAGGAAACAGGAGAAAGAAAAAAGAAAGGAUUGGUGGUUGGCUCAGGCAAUUAGUCAAGCGAGGGGCACGCGGGGCCGCAGGACACAGCGCAAUCGAACGAAGCGCGCGCGUCCGGGCGAAGACUCGGCCGGACUGCCGUCUGGAAACGUUUCCCUAAUCCAAAGGCUUUAUCUGAAUGACAAGUCGUCUGGGUUACCGGCUAACUAGAAAAAAGAUAAAUAUGCUAGAGAAUUCCAUAAUAAUUAGAAAUAUCUAGCCUUUAAUUAUGUAAACCAGAAAAUCACAACCGUUGGAUUUACUUUAAAGGUAAAUUUCUAUAAAUUCCCACCAUUGCCAGUAUGUAGAAACAUGUGCUGCUUCAAUUCUCCCAUAAUCACCAAUCAAUCAACAACACAAAACAUACCUCAGUUAAAAAAACUGAACAAAAAAAAGAAAAAAAGAAGAAAGGACAAGAUACACGCAUGUACACGACAGCCUUGGCUUGAAACACAUCAGUAGAUCAAGUGUCCGCCUCCCUUACACGUACGUCCCAUGAGGUUUACUAGCCUACCGCCGCCGCAUCAUGCCAUCCUCUCCUUUCAGCUCCCAUGCUCUCCAGCACCCUCAUUGCGGCGCCACUACUCGCCUAGGGAUAUUGCUGCUCAGACCGUGGAGCUUAACCACAUCAGCAUCAGCACGUAUGGGCCUCAUUAUACUGCAGCACGUAUUGCGCCCCCUUAAGUCCAGGUCUGUUUGCUGGCACAUAUGCUUUGGAAAUAGGCCACUAUGUUUGUACUUCAAAAUUGUUUCUGUAUUCUUGAGUGGUACAUCCUUUUAAGCGCCAGUUUUUUAUGUUAAUUCAUGCUGACAACACUUAACCUAGCCUUUCAUGUUCACGUACUAAAUACAGGAGCAAGUAAAAACAACAGACCACCUAAUUGCUCUGCAUGUACUACAUAGGAAAAUUUGUCAUGUUCUACGAUCGCACCAUCCCACCCUUCUCUCUUGGUAUGGGCGCCAAUUGAGGGAUUGAUAAAACUGAAACGAAGACGUCACAGGGCUGGAAGUACCGCUAGCCUGGUUUGCACUGCAACCUACCCAACGCCAUCAGAAACUAGCAACUGAGUCAGGUGUUGAUCGAUUCUCUCAAAUUGCUCUCAUGUAAGUACUACCCCUUGCAUGUGCGUACAUACCUUUGUUGCAUUCUCAAACAGAUAGAACAUGUUUGAUCGGUGCAUGGCUAUUUUUCAUCACAUGACAUCCAGAUAACAAGCAUGAAAGGACUACAUUGGAGAUCAAAAAAUAUUGGUUCCUGGCUAGAGUACCACUACCUAUGGACUUGUCUCCAUAGAAUUUGUUCCCAAGAUGUUAUUUUAAUUAAUCUCUUUAGCUUUCUUCCAUUGCAAACGGUGAUGUGCAUCAUGGUAUAUACGUGACCAUCUUGCACAUGUAUACACAAGAGGCUCAGAUGGAGGUGCUGGAUUCUGGACGAGGGAAUAUGAAGCAGGAGUGAGCGAAGAGUAAAUAAUGGUGGGAGUACCGAUUGGUGUUAUGAAGAAAAAUGCCAUCCAAAGAUUGAUUAGUGUCAUGGAAGAUUAAUUUCUGAAUGCGAAUAUAUAUGUUACAUUGGUUUGGAUCUUUUUGAGAUAAUUCCACCUAAAUUAGGUUCUUUCUUAUUUCAUAUGUAUACCUUAUUUCAGUAAAAGUUCACAACGAACUUAGUAGGACAAAUAUAAUUUUGUUUGUUCUUUCUGUUGUCCGCCACCAAAGCUCAAUUUGAACUCUCUAGAAAUGGACAAUGAUUUAUGCAUUCUAUAUCUUCUUGAUUGAUUAGCCAUGACAAGGAAAUAAAAGGAUUGACUGAUAUAGCAUAACUUUGGAACGAUUAGAGGUUACUACAAAUAAGAGUAGUGUCUGUUGGAAUUUUGCUAGUAGGCCUUUGGCCCAAAGCCCAACUAAAAUUCUGAAAUUCUCUUGGCUCAUUUAUGCACACAUGUGAGUUGAGUGAGUGAGACUAAAGUUUAGUCCCACCCUGGAAGUUGAGAGAGAGUUGCACCUCUUUAUAAGGUGAGCUCUUCUACCACUUGUAUGAGCAUGAGAAGAGGAGACCUACACGCGCGCUCCUCCUCCACGCUCGCCACGCCUCGUCGCGCCGCGCCGUGCCGCGGGUUGCGGGAUUGAGCCGAGCCGAGGACGUUUUCUAUAUUUUUGCUGCUCGGGAAAAAUUAAUGAGUCAUUAAUUAAUAAUUAAUGGACACAUUAAUUACUGAACCGUUUCCGAUUUUUUUGGAUCGUGACGACUCGGACGUGGGGUUUACUCCCAGGACCUACCCGGCCCGCACUAUAUAGUCAGGAAGACGUCUACCCUAGCCGCCGCCGCUUCGUAUGGUUUCUCACCAUCGUUACAGAUCAUUGCGCCGCCAAGCAAGUUUUCUCCAUCCCUCCUUUCGGCGUGCACCGGGAGAAGGGACAGCAGACCUCCGGAACCCCGCCUCUCGUGAUCCUAUACGGGAGAGGGGCGAUCAGGUUUUUGGGGAGCGCACUCGCAUGACUGCUGGCAGCGACGACUUCGCAAACGACGACUUCUUCCCCGACCUCGGCAACCUCAUCCUCGACGACAUGGGCGACAACGUCAACGCCGGCGGUGCUACACCCACUGCACCGUAUGUUAUUCUCUCCUUCUUGUUCGAGAUCAUGGUAGAAUUCAUGUUUCUAGUAUAUGUGCCCUAGAUGUGAUCUGUUCAUCUACUAUGGUAGUUCGCAUGAUUAGUUUAAUCUCUGUUAUUGCUGUCAUGAUCUAUUUCCUAUUUAUUCGGAUUAAAUCUCGUAGUAAUUUUCUCAUUUUUCCAACAAUCCAAAAACCUGAUUAUAGGAAAUUUACUCCGAGUGGUUUUGCUGCGCAUCUGAAAGCCGCUUGCCUUUAAGGGGGCGCAAUAUAAGAGGUGGCGCACCAGAGCAGUCUACUGGUUUCAGAUCAUGGGCUGCUAUGACGCCACCAAGGGCAAGCCUGAGGGCGAUCUUAAUCCAGCACAGCUGGAAGCUUUCAAGAAGAUCAAUACCCUCUUUAAAGGCACGCUUCUGAGUGUUCUUGAUGACUCCAUUGUAGAUUCGUAUAUGUCGUUUGACAAUGGCAAGAACAUGUGGGCUACGCUCGAGGCCAAGUUUGGUGCCUCGGACGCCGGCAGCGAGUUGUACGUCAUGGAGCAAUUCUAUGACUCCAAGAUGACUGAUGGGCGCCCUGUUGUACAGCAGGCUCAUGAGAUACAGUUGCUCGCAAAAGAACUUGAGUACUUCAAGUGUGUGUUGGCGAACAAAUUUGUUGCCGGAGGCAUCAUUGCCAAGCUUCCACCUUCGUGGAACAAUUUUGCUACUUCCCUGAAACACAAGAGACAGGAGUUUUUCGUUGCGGAUCUCAUUGGUACUCUUGAUGUUGAAGAGAAGGCGAGAGCAAAGGAUACACGUGCUUGAGUUGCUAAGGGAGGUUCUAGUGCCCACAUGGUACAGAAGAAGAACUUCCAGCCCAACAAGUUCAAAAACAACAAGAACAAAACUUAGGGCAAAGGCAAGUUCGAUACAAAGAACAAGCCAUCACAUUCUACCAACUUCAAGAAGAACUCUCAUAAGAAGGGGAAGGGACUUUGCCAUGUCUAUGGUGAUCCUAAUCACUGGGCUCCGAAGUGUCCCAACCGCUUUGAGGAGCGCGAACAUGAGAAGAGCGGCAAGUCUGCUAAUGUUGUCAUCGGUGAUACUGAUAUGAAGGAAUCAGGGUACGGUAUUUUUCCUACCAUCCUUUCAGUAUUCCAAACCCCUGACUGGUUAAUUGACACCGGUGCCAAUGUACAUGUUUGUGCUGAUGCCUCCAUGUUUUCUUCUUACCAGGCCACUGGGACUUCUCCUAUGCUGAUGGGGAACGGGUCACAUGCCAUCGUUCGAGGUGUUGGUACGGUCGAUCUGAAGUUUACUUCGGGGAAGACCGUGCGUCUGAAGAACGUUCAUCAUGUGCCGUCCAUCAAUAAAAAUCUCGUUAGCGGUUCCCGUUUAUGUCGAGAUGGUUUUAAGUUGGUUUUCGAAUCCAAUAAAGUUAUAAUUUCUAAGUAUGGACAAUUUGUUGGAAAAGGCUAUGAGAGCGGAGGCUUGUUUCGCCUGUCUUUGUCAGAUAUUUGCACUAAAGUUAUUAAUAAUGUUUGCCACAACAAUGAGUCUGAUAUUUGGCAUUCACGACUUUGUCACAUUAACUUUGGUUGCAUGACGCGGCUAGCCAAUAUGAAUUUAAUUCCGAAAAUCUCUACUGUCAAAGGAUCUAAGUGCCAAGUAUGUGUGCAAGGUAAGCAACCUCGCAAGUCCCAUAAGACUGCAGAGGCAACAGACUUGGCGCCACUAGAGCUUAUACAUUCUGAUAUUUGUGAGAUGAAUGACGUGUUGACAAAAGGUGGAAAGAGAUACCUCAUGACGUUGAUUGAUGACUCCACUAGAUAUUGUUAUGUGUAUCUUAUGAAAUCAAAAGAUGAGGCUUUGGCUUUCUUCAAAAACUAUAGAGCUGAGGCAGAGAACCAACUUGAUCGAAAAAUUAAACGGCUUAGGUCCGAUCAUGGUGGAGAGUAUUUUUCCAAUGAAUUUGAUCUAUUUUGUGCGGAACAUGGUAUAAUCCAUGAGAGGAUGCCUCCCUACUCACCCCAGUCAGAUGGGGUAGCCGAAAGAAAGAACCAAACUCUAACUGAUAUGGUUAACACCAUGUUAGACACUUCGGGUCUAUCCAAGGAAUGGUGGGGGGAGGCGCUAAUGACUGCGUGUCAUGUCCUAAACCGAGUUCCCACAAAGCAUAAGACCAUGACUCCAUUUGAGGAAUGUUAAAGGAAAAGGUUGAAACUCUCUUACCUACGUACUUGGGGUUGUUUGGCGAAAGUCAAUAUACCAAUUCCCAAGAAGCGCAAGCUUGGACCAAAAAUCGUGGGUUGUGUUCUUCUUGGCUAUGCUUUUCAUAGCAUCGGCUAUAGAUUUUUGAUAAUAAAAUCUGAGGUAUCCGACAUGCAUGUUGGUACGAUUAUGGAGUCGAAUGAUGCAACUUUUUUUGAGGACAUAUUUCCUAUGAAGGAUAUGUCGAGUUCAUCAAAUCAGGAGACACCUACUCCAUCUAGUGAGGAAUUCAUUGUAAUUCCUGAACCCACCAUUGCGAUGGAACACAUUGAGAAUCCUGUUGAGGGUGACAAUGGAACUCUUGUGAGGAGUAAGAGACAUAGGACUACAAAGUCCUUUGGUGAUGAUUUCAUUGUGUACCUCGUGGAUGACACACCCAGGACUAUUUCAGAAGCCUGUGCAUCUCUUGAUGCUGACUACUGGAAGGAAGCUGUACGUAGCGAGAUGGAUUCCAUCUUAGGUAACGGAACCUGGGAGAUCACUGACCGUCCUUAUGGGUGAAAACCUGUAGGAUGUAAGUGGGUGUUCAAGAAGAAGCUUAGACCUGAUGGUACGAUUGAAAUGUACAAGGCACGGCUUGUGGCCAAGGGUUAUACCCUGAAAGAAGGUGUAGACUUCUUUGAUACUUACUCACCCGUGGCUAGACUGACCACAAUUGGGUGCUACUAUCACUUGUUGCCUCACAUGGUCUUCUCGUUCAUCAAAUGGACGUUAAGAACGCUUUCCUCAAUGGAGAGUUGAAGGAGGAAAUUUACAUGGAUCAGCCAGAUGGUUUUGUAGUACCUGGUUAGUAAGGAAAGGUGUGCAAGUUAUUAAAGUAUUUAUAUGGCCUUAAACAAGCUCCUAAAGAGUGGCAUGAGUAGUUUGAAAGAACAUUAACUGCUACCGGCUUUGUAGUAAACGAUGGUGACAAGUGCGUGUACUAUCGCUAUGGUGGGGGCGAAGGAGUUAUUCUUUGUUUGUAUGUCGACGACAUAUUGAUCUUUCGAACCAAACUUGAUUUAAUCAAGGAGGUUAAGGAUUUCUUAUCUCGCUGUUUUGAGAUGAAGGAUCUAGGAGUAGCUGAUGUUAUCUUAAACAUCAAGCUGUUGAGAGAUGAGAAUGGUGGGAUCACACUGCUUCAGUCACACUAUGUGGAAAAGGUCUUGAAUCGUUUUGGGUAUAGCGACUGCACACCUUCUCCAACCCCAUAUGAUGCUAGCAUGUUGCAUCGAAAGAAUCGACGGAUUGCUAGAGAUCAACUGAGGUAUUCUCAUAUUAUUGGCUCGCUUAUGUAUUUGGCGAGUGCCACGAGGCCAAACAUCUCGUUUGCUGUUAGCAAGCUGAGUCGGUUUGUGUCAAAACCAGGAGAUGAUCAUUGGCAUGCACUUGAGAGAGUUAUGUGCUAUUUGAAAGGCACCGCGAGCUAUGGGAUUCACUACACCGGGUAUCCAAGAGUACUGGAGGGUUAUAGUGACUCAAACUGGAUAUCUGAUGCUAAUGAGAUUAAGGCCACAAGUGGUUAUGUUUUUACACUUGGUGGUGGCGCUGUUUCUUGGAAGUCCUGCAAGCAGACCAUCUUAAUGAGGUCAACUAUGGAAGCAGAACUCACAACAUUAGAAACUGCCACUGUUCAAGCAGUGUGGCUUCAUGAGCUCUUGAUGGACUUUCCUAUGAUUGAAGAACCAAUACCCCCUAUCCCAAUGAACUGUGAUAAUCAAACUAUGAUCGUCAAGAUAAAUAGUUCUAAGGACAAUAUGAAGUCCUCAAGGCAUGUGAAGAGGAGACUGAAAUCUGUCAGAAAAUUGAGGAACUCCGGAGUUAUUACGUUGGAUUAUAUCCAAACGUCAAAAAAAUUGGCAGAUCCCUUCACAAAGGGUCUAUCACGUAAUGUGAUAGAUAAUGCAUCGAUGGAGAUGGGUCUGAGACCCACCGCAUGAGUUGUCCAUAGUGGUAACCCACUCUUUGUGAUCGGAUAUCCCGUGAAGUAUAAGUGGGAGACAAGCUGUUGGUCAGCUGGGAGGAGAGUAUCCCUAUAUUACCUGUCCCACUCCAUGAAGAUGCAAUACUCUCCUAAUCUGCAUGGCAGGUUGAUACUUAUCUUAAUGUGUUCCAAGUGGCUUAUUCGGGUAAGCAGAGAUGUUGUCCUGCAGAACAUCUUCUGAGGAACACACCUAUAUGAAUUUGACUGUUAACGUCGCAGUCUGUGAGAAUUGGGUGUUCUCUAAUAAAUUCAUGAAAAGGCCCUGGAGUAUGACGUAUACGCUCCACCCGCAGGGAAGCCUUGCGGCAGCCCAGUAUCGGUCAAGAAUUUGUGUGAAACUAGUUGCGCAGAAAAUUUGUAGUUCAAGGCAUAGUCCACUAUUCAAGUUGUGAUCUAGUGUAGCAUAAAUCUCUAAGUGGAAGUUCAACUUCACAGUCUCCACUAAGCCCCGGUAUAUAAACAAUGUUUUGGAACUAAAUGAUGAGAUGUGCCAAUGAGACUUUGUGGGGGAUUGUUGGAAUUUUGCUAGUAGGCCUUUGGCCCAAAGCCCAACUAAAAUUCUGAAAUUGUCUUGGCCCAUUCAUGCACACAUGUGAGUGGAGUGAGUGAGACUAAAGUUUAGUCCCACCCCGGAAGUUGAGAGAGAGCACCUCUUUAUAAGGUGAGCUCUUCUACCACUUGUAUGAGCAUGAGAAUAGGAGACCUACACACGCGCUCCUCCUCCUCGCUCGCCACGCCACCCCUCGUCACGACGCGCCGCGGGUUGCGGGAUUGAGCCGAGCCGAGGACAGAGCUAUGCACAUUGUCUAUUUUUUGCUACCCGAAAAAAUUAAUGAGUCAUUAAUUAAUAAUUAAUGGACACGUUAAUUACUAAACCGUUUUCGAUUCUUUUGGAUCAUGAAGACUCGGACAUGGGGUUUACUCCCACGACCUACCGGGCCCGCAUUAUAUAGUCCGGCAGACGUCUACCCUAGCUGCCGCCGCUUCAUAUGGUUUCUUACCACCGUUCCAGAUCAUUGCGCCGCCAAGCAAGUCUUCUCCAUCCGUCCCUUCGGCGUGCAUCGGGAGAAGGGACAACAGGCCUCCGGAACCCCGCCUCUCGUGAUCCUGUACGGGAGAGGGGCGAUCAGGUUUUUGGGGAGCGCACUCGCGCGACUGCUGGCAGCGACGACUUCGCGAAUGACGACUUUUUCCCUGACCUCGGCAACCUCAUCCUCGACGACAUGGGCGACAACGUCAACGCCGGCGGUGCUGCACCCGCUGCACCUUAUGUUAUUCUAUCCUUCUUGUUCGAGAUCAUGGUAGAAUUCACGUUUCUAGUAUAUGCCCUAGAUGUGAUCUGUUCAUCUACUAUGCUAGUUCGCAUGAUUAGUUUAAUAUCUGCUAUUGCUGUCAUGAUCUAUUUCCUAUUUAUUCGGAUUAAAUCUCGUAGUAAUUUGCUCAUUUUUCCAAUAGUACCAUCUAAUAGAUGAUGUAAAUCUCCUCUAGUUUGACGUUGUUGAGCUAAUUUACAAAAAAAACCUCAUCAUUAUUGGACGUCCUUAACAGCUCAAGAACAAGUUGGGGUCGAACUAAUGGAUUUUACACUUUUACAUUAAAGGUUUAGCUAAAGCUAGCAGGUGUUUUUAAACCUGAAUUUUUUUCCUCCUGAAUUUCUUUGUAUUUUCUUAUUGACACUAUUUAUACAAUCAUCUGACAAAGAUUAGCUAAAGCUGUUUGUAGAUACGUUGAAACCUGAAAAGCUUCUUUGGUUAUCCUUUUAAUAGUUCUACGUUUAUUUUCUCAUAGGUCAUAAUUCUUAUGUAAUACCAAGAUGCAUUGUGGUAGUGUACAUGUGUUAAAUUCAGGUUGUUAUUCACAAUUUGCGACAAAAUUUAGCUCACGCUACAUUCAAAUAUGUUGAAAUGUGAAAGCUUUUUUUUCUUCUCCUUUCUACACCUUGCAUCGGAUUGCAUCCCUUUAGUUAUCCAACAUUUUGUACAACAUGUAGAGAUUAGGAAGUUCAUCAUAGUUUGUUUAUUUCGGUGCUAAUAAAUGUAUGAAAUCUGCAUUUCCAAGCUACUAGGACAAGUAAAAAAUAAUAAUUUUACUAUAGGAUUCAAAAACAGCAGUUCUGAAGUGCACUUUAUUUAUUUUUGAAAGUGAUCACAUUUUGUUUCAUUUUUCUAUAGACAAAUCUACUAAUACAUACUCACGAUAAAACUAUAAAAGUUCUAGUCCGCACAUUGGGCGGGCCACCCGGCUAGUUAGUCUAAAGAUAACAAAAUGAGUCUGGAAUUUGAAUUAAAUUGAAGUAUUUUCUUGGACUUUCAAAUUGAGUUUUAUUAAAGUAGUAAGGACUAUCCACAUCCUUGGCUUGCCCCUGAUCAAUUAUUUCCAGAGAAGCAUUCAAUUCAUCAAUCAAUUACAUUGAUUUUAGUGGCUGGUACUUCUCCUCAACAUCAGUAUAUUCACCGUGGCCACUCCAAAUCGGCAAGAAUGAGGUACCAGUGCUCUGGAGCAGUGCAAGCUAAUUGCUUCUCAUCUGAAGGGGUGCGGCCGCAGGAGAGGUAUUUCUGGUGGGCCAAGGGACUAAGAAGCGACUGUGGCAGCGGUAUAGACGCCCGCAAAGCCCCAUAAUUUGUUUUUGGUUUACAGGAAAAAUGCACAUCCAUACCAGCCUGGGGAAUAUAGGACCGUAUUGGAUGGAAAACCAUGUCCGGAUGGUUGCGAGCGGUUUAAGGGUUAGCUUUUGUAACGCCCGGUUAGUUAUGCUAUAGCAAUUCCCUGCUAAUGAUGUCACGUUACCACGAUUACUGUUGUUAACCUCACAAUGAUUCAAUCCCCUUCAAAUUGAAAUUUAAAAUAAAGGCAAACAUCAAAAGUUUUCAAAUAUUAAAACUAAAAUCUUUGAGAGGUGACAAAUAAUGCAUAAGUAAUUAUGGUGGAGAAACCACACUUUAAUCAAAUGUUUAAAUACUCUAAAAUGAAAAAAAACAGUUGCUUAAACUAUUAUUUAAAUGCUUUUAAAAUAGUAAAAAUCUUCUAACUAAAUUAUUUGGGUACCAAACUUUUGGUGGCAGUGGUAUAUUUAGUACAACUAAUUUAGAUGCUAAUUAUAUAAAAAGGAAAAGCAAAAGGGGGCAACCCCUCGCUGGGCCUCGGCCUAGCUGCCACUAGGCUAGCUAGGCUGGCCCCGCCGCCUCCCUUAACCCCCCCCCCCCACUCCCCAUCGAACCCAAGCCCGAUCGCCCCACUUCCCCCANNNNNNNNNNNNNNNNNNNNNNNNNNNNNNNNNNNNNNNNNNNNNNNNNNNNNNNNNNNNNNNNNNNNNNNNNNNNNNNNNNNNNNNNNNNNNNNNNNNNNNNNNNNNNNNNNNNNNNNNNNNNNNNNNNNNNNNNNNNNNNNNNNNNNNNNNNNNNNNNNNNNNNNNNNNNNNNNNNNNNNNNNNNNNNNNNNNNNNNNNNNNNNNNNNNNNNNNNNNNNNNNNNNNNNNNNNNNNNNNNNNNNNNNNNNNNNNNNNNNNNNNNNNNNNNNUUGAUCCCAUCUGGAUCGGGGAGGGUAAUGCCCCAAUCGACCCCGUUGCCGUCGCGGGAUUGCCCGCCGACGUCGCCAGGCCUCCUCCCCGCCACCCGUCUCCGGCUCGCCUCCCCUCUCGCUCCUCUUCCCCGACCCGAUCUGGAUCGUGAACGAGCAAUGAGCUCGAAGCCCCCUUCACCGGCGCCAUCACCGUGCGCCACCACCACCGCCUGAAGACCUCACCGUCGCCGAACCUUGCGUCGCCUCCUCGUAUCCCUCCCCUACUCGCGUCCUCAAGCCAGGCCGAGCCCCUUCUCGGCAACGCCGUGAGACGCCCCCGUCUCCCUCCUCUUUCCACUGCGUUCACCGCGCCGCCCGCCGUGCCCCUCGCCGUGCGCACGCCCACCACCGCACCAGCCCCCGCUCCGCGCACGACCCUACCCGCGUCCGCGCCAUGAUCCCCUUUUCCACCCUACCUUCCUGCGCUCGCCGCGGUCCUGAUGCUCCCCCGCGCCCUCUUUUGGGGGCGCCGACUGCCCCUGUCCCACUGCUCGCCGCCGUGCCUCGCCAUCGCUCUACUGCUAAGUUAUUGCUGCGCUGCGGCCGUCGCCUCUUCCCGCUGCUCCGCCAGCGCCGAAGCUCCCGAUUGGCUCCACCACUUCUCACGUUAAACCGCCGGCCUAAAUGGCCUAACCCCCGGCUAAUGAACCCCCACUAUCCCACUGACACCGGGACCCACAUUCCCUAAUUAACCAUUUAAUAAAUUAAAACUCUUAAAUUAACAUUAGUGUAUGACAUGUGCGUCCCCUAUUAAUUUAUAAUUUUACUGCUAGUUUUAUUAGUUUCUGUUUUUUCUGCAUAUUUCUUUUGUAUUUGAACAGGCUUUAUAUAAUAAUAUUUAGCGUCUCAUACACAUAUAAAUGUAAUUAUAGCAUAUACAUACAAAUAGUCUCAUCAAAUCAUGUCAUCACCAUAAUCAUCAUCCAUCACAAAGUGAUCUCUCGUCAUCAUCUCGAAAAUAGCAAUACAAGUCUCGAUUACUUGCAACUACAUCGUCAUCCAUCUAAACAAUGAUAUACGCGAGAAGCGCUAUCACUAUGAGUGAGAGCGGAACUAUGCAGUACAUGAGUUUGUAUCCCUCUCUCACAUUAGCGUGAACCUAAACUAACUACUGGCUGUUGCUCGGAAACCGGAAACCGGUACACCUGGGCCUGACACUCCGGCCACUCGUCGUAUACUCCUGGCGUAGCACUUCUUCGCCAUCGAUGAUCUAUAAACCUACAUCGUCAGAUGAGUCGAUGAUAUGCAACAUAUAUAGUUGAGCAACAGAAAGAGACAGACUUGGCAAAAAUAGAAGCAACAUAUCAUAAGCAUAAAUAACAAAGUUCAUCGUACGCAAAAUGCCCUAACUAGAGUGAUCUUCGCUAGUCGAGGAGGACGGUUUAAUUACAUCACAAAUAAUUUUUCGUCGUGCAUAACUCAAAGUUCCGUCAUACAGAAAGUAUGAACUAAAUGGACACAUUGUCAUAUUUCAAAAAUCACUCCCACAUGUCGUGCCAUCCAUCCAAGUCAAGGAGAUAGUGCCCGAGCUUAGUGAAAGGCUUUAGGUCGAGACGCUGAGCGGCUAUGCGUGUUCGGACGUCUUCCCACGACAUUUGUCCUUCUUCAUAGAACAUCCCUGUUUUUUCGACGACCUCCUUCAUCACUGGAAGAAAAAGGGCCUGUUGUCCCGGUUCUGGAACCGGGACUAAAGGGUCGGUACUAAUGCCCUGUCCCUUUAGUCCCGGUUCAAUCCAGAACCAGGACAGUUGGGCCUCCACGUGGCCUGUGCGCGGAGCCUAGGCGGGAGACCCUUUGGUCCAAUAAGCAUCCACGCAUCAGCAUUUAUGUGGUUGGGGUUUUUGUUUUUUUUGAAGGGGGGGGCAUUGGGGGUUUUGGGGGGUUAAUUUUGGUGUUUCAUAUAUUGUGUUAGCUAGCUAUAAUUAAUAGAGAGAAUUGUCCUCUCUUAUGUCCGUGCUUGCUCGACGCUACGUACUAUACAUACGUAUAGAGAGGACUAGACACGGUAGCUAGCUAGUAAGCAAACGAAGGAAAUAGAAGAUCGUCAUGAACAUAUAUGCAUACAGAGAGAAGUAAUAUCGACCACCUCUCCUUCUCCGAGAGAUUGGUCGAACAACAAGUUCUCAUAUAUCUAUCCGACACUACCGGCUACAUAUAUACAAUAAUUAUCUCUUACAAAUAUAAUCAUACGGAUUCAGGGUCCACAUAGUAUUCUCUGUCUUCAAGGAUCACGUGGUCAAGAAAGAAUGCCGCCAAUUCCUCUUGAAUUGCUCGCAUGCGAGCUGGUGCUAGGAGUUCAUCCCGCUUCCGAAACAUCUAAUUUAAAGAAGGGGGUUAAUACAUAUAUACAUAUAUAUAUAUAUAUAUAUAUAUAUAUAUAUAUAUAUAUAUAUAUAUGAAUGAAUGAAACUCAACACGAAUGAUGGUAAUAAAAUAAAAUUGUGAAUGUUGUUAUUUACGUACUUCAUAUUGUUCGUCAGUGUAGCCCCGCUCAUAGGUCGUGUGGCGGAUGGACUCGCAAACGUAGUAUCCACAGAAAUCAUUCCUUUGUUCCUGCCACAACCACUUUAUAAGAAAUAGAGGUCAAUCAAACUGAUAAGCAAGAAUGCCAAAUGGUAUUGAUGAAACUUGUCAGGACCCCGAUUCCAAGCCACAUCGAUCUAGCCGGUAACACCUCAUAUCACUUUGCGGCCUCACGCACGAUAUUCCACGGGUGUCGCCUUACCAUGGCCCGGGACCGUUUGCGCCUUUUGGCUCACGUAUAUGAUAGUGUUGCUAGCAUCCAUAUGACAGAGAACCCGGGCCGACAUGGCUAGUCGUGAACCCAAAGUGGCACAGACCUAUGGAGACAGGCAUACAUGAAUCACAUCGAGCAUGUCGGUCAUCAGUGUGUGAUUCCGGGCUGUAGCACUGGGCUAACAGGACUCCGGGGAACCCGGGCUGUAGCAGGCUAGGCAGGACUCCGGAAGUCACCGCGUGACAUUUACCCGAAGGGACAGACAUAGGAACGAAGUGAAUCACAUGCCGGCAAGUCAAGUGUCCUGAGCAGUAGUACUGGGCUAGCAGGACUCCGGUGAACCGGGCUGUAGCGGACUACUAUGGCUCGAGGAACACUAGACUACAUUUCCCCAUAAGAAAGGCUGCCAAGGAUAAACAACUAGAUUGUCGGAUCCCACUCAUACCAAGCAUUUCAAUCAUACACACAAUAUGCCCGAUAUGAGUACAUACAACAUGGCAUCACAACAAAACUCUACAACUCAAGUACUUUAUUUAAAGGCUCUAGAGAGCCAUACAUAACAUGUUCAUACAGAUAGGGGUCACAUGACCCGACACUCAAGUCAUACAAUCAUACAAGCACAUGCGGAAGCAACCGGUCUGAGUACAGACACUAGAAAGAAAGAAGGCUCCUCGAGGCCUGUCUAUCUACAUAGGGCCCUCCAUGGCCAGGAUCACCACCUGGGUGGCUAGUCACUCGUCGAUGUCAAGGUCUACAUAGAACCCAUCGAAGGGGGCUGUGUUGUCGUCUGAAAACAGUAAUUAAGCAAACAUGAGUACAAAGGUACUCAGCAAGUCUUACAAAAGAACCUACUAUACAUGCUUAUUCUCAAGAAGGUGGUGGGGAUAUUGCAGCAAGCCAGUUUUCACUCUUGGCUAAACUAUCCUACAGAACUUCUCUAGUAAAAUAGUUUUCGCACACGAGUCCACUACUCACCAACACAAUACUCCACCGGGGAUCCUCCCUCGUCAUCCUAUGAGAGGGCCAUCCUCGGUACUCACACUUAUCUUGACUAUUUUAGUAGUAUCCAUUUAAUUGUCUAUGAACUGUAUAGGCAACCAAGUAGUCCUUUACCGCGGACGCGGCUAUUCGAAUAGUUUUAUACCCUGCAGGGGUGUACUUCGUCAUACAUGCUUUCACCACUUAUCGUCGUUUACACGACAUGUACUCGGCAACCUUCAAGCGAAAGCCCAGCGAGGGUGUCGGCCACGGCCUACCUAAACACUUAAGUCUCUAGUCCAGGUUUAUCGCCUAUCUAGGUUCCAUCCGCAGGGAGUCCGGGCGAGGUUUCCACAUACGGCCCCGAACGAUGUGAACAGGGUCCCGAGACGCCAAACGGGCGCCCGGCAUACCCGGCCAUGGUGUAUCUACCGCAACAUAGCCCACCCUUAGGGUCAGCGCUACGCACGGCCGCCAACACAUAACCUACAAACACCAGAAACUAUUUGCAACUCCUAGACAGAGUACAAGGGUGAUUAAGAAGCCGAGAGGGUCAAUUAAGGAUCCCAAUGCAUGGUAGUAGCUGAAUCUUAAAUCACACAUACCGAUCUCAGUUCUUAGGGACGGUCUCAAUGAAACAACCCACCAUGUACUCCUACAUGGCCUCUCAUCGAUACCUUUACCAAAACAUGUUCAACACAUUCCUCAUAUUACCGACAUAAUCAUAUCACCCUAGCCCAUCACCCAGAUGAACCAGACCUGACACAACUAUAAGCAUAGCAGGCAUAGCAAGGUAGGAAUCACAUACAUGGCUCAAUCAACUCCUACACAUGCUAGUGGGUUUCAUCUAGUUACUGUGGCAAUGACAGGUCAUGCAGAGGAUAAGGGUUCAACUAUCGUAGCACACAGCAGUUUGAAUCACAUUGUCUUAAUGCAGUAAACAAGAGCAGAGGCAAGAACAUGGGUUGUAUCGGAAUGAUCAAUGGGUUGCUUGACUGAUGGAGUGGUAGUGGGAUACUGCCCUUCAGUUGGAUACUCAUGAAUAUCCUCGGAGGCAGAACCUACCACGAAGAACACAUCGGAACACAAUCAACACAUGAUGAUAUGCAACAAUAUGAUGCAUGCUAUGACAUGGCAAUAUGAAUGUGUCUUGGCCUAAUGCAAGCUAAAAUAGAAAGGGAUGAACUCAUUUGAAUCAAAGAUUCAAAUAUUAGCUCAUUAAACAUGGCCUUAGUAGUGCAUUUCCUUAUUCUGCUUAAACAGCAAGGUAAACUUGUUUUUUCAUGCUUGAAACCAUUACAGAUGGAUAUAUUGAAUUUUUCUGAUAAUUUUUCAUAUAUAAAUUAUUUCAUUUGGAGUUACGGUUGAAUUUCUAUGAUUUUUAGAAGUUUCAAACAUUUUCUGGAAUUUCUUGAAUAAAAAUAAAUCCAGAAAAUGCAUUACUGCGUCAGCAUUGCAUCAUGCUGACCUCCGCAGGUCAAAGGCACCAGCCUAGGUCAAACCUGACUGGUGGGCCCCUUCUGUCAGUCUCUCAGUUAAAUAACAGGAUUAGAUUAACACUAAUUAGCUGUCAGUGGGGCCUGGGCCCACAUGUCACUGACUGAUUAAAAUAAAAUUAGUUAAAACUAAUCCUAGAUUAGUUAGCAAACCGGCCCCACCUGUCAUAGACUUAGGGGGGGUCUACCUGGGCCCACCCAGGGUCAAACUGGGUCAAACUCGCCGGCGCAGCUCGGAAAACGCCUACAGGGCACGAGCGAGGCCGUUCUUGGGCUCAUUGGAGAGCUCUUGCAGUCGCGCAUCUAGUGGCGGUGGUGGCCGGAGACGACGACGGCGAGCUCCAAGGCGGCGGCCGGAGUUCGGCCAUGUGCGGGGUGUCGGCUGUGGCGUGCAAACGUGGAAACUGAGGCACUAGCGAGGCACUACGCGAUGCGGCAAGCACGUUGCAUAGCACGGGAUAAUCAAAUGGUUGCCGGAGCGGCACCGGUGACAAGCUCGAGCGGAGACGAGCUUCGGCCAUGGUGGAACUAUGGCCUAGAGGGUGCAAACGCGUGGAAAAGAAGAGGGGAAAGGUGGCGGAGCUCACAGGGAGGUCGAUGAGCAGCUCAGUGGGCUCGGGGGCGACAGAAGUGAGGCGAAUCGAUGAGCAGCGUCCGGCGGGUACCGAGGUUGAAGACGAUCCGAUGGCGGCGAUGCAGGGCCUCCGGCGAUGCGUGGCUCGGUGGGAAGGGCGAGGGGGUGACGGAGGGCGCGACUACGGCGGUGAGACGGCGACGGGUGCGUCGGCCAUCGCGGGAGAGGGAGAGGGAGAUGAGUGGGAGAGUGAGAGAGGAUGAGAGGGGGACGUGGGGGUCGCGUGGCAUUCCCUGGACGUCUCCCGGCAUCGGCGGAAGCAGGAGGUGGCCGGCGUGUGGCCGCGGGCGCCGGCCACGCGCUCUGCGUCCUUCUGGCGCGAGGAGGACGACGACUGGCAGCGCCAGUAGGCUGGGCCGAGCCAGGUGGGCUGGCCAGCACAGGUAAGGCUCAGGUGGGCUUCUCCCUCUUUUUUUUAAUUUGUUUCUGUUUUCUAUUUAACUGUAAAUGUUGGGCUUUAUUUAAAAUACUAAAACAUUUCCAAAAAUCCUGAAAAUAAUUGUGGGCUCUGUUUGGAUUAUUUCCAAUAGCAAACAUUUAUUUGCAGAAUUAUUUGAGCAUUUAAAUGCCCAAAUUCAAAUACUUAUGAUUUAAAUCAAUGACCUUCUGUUGACCUAGAAAAGUUGUGCACCAAUUUUGCCAGAGGUUCUAACCCAAGACAAAGAGGGUGAACUUUUUAGAAGGGCAUUUCAGGUUCAUUGAAAAUAAUUUUAGUAAUCCCUAGUUGUUUCCAGGGGGGUGUUGGGGGUUUCUGCCUUCCCCAAUUCAAAUUUAAGAGGAAUUUAAACAUGAUGCACAUUCUAAUGCUUGAACUAGCUAGGGUGUGACAACUCACCCCCACUCAAAAGAAUCUCGUCCCGAGAUUUAGGAUCCUCUGGAAAGAAGGUGGGGUACUCGAGUCGAAGACGAUCCUCCCUUUCCCAAGUGGCUUCUUUCUCGGAAUGGUGUGUCCAUUGAACCUUGAGAAACUUGAUAUUAUGACGUCGAGUGGUACACUCGGCUUGAUCAAGGAUACGAACGGGAUAUUCCCGAUAAGAGAGGUUAUCUUGUAGAUCAAGCAUUUCGUGGUCCACUCCACGGAUAGGAUCCGCGAAGCAACGCCUGAGUUGUGAAACGUGGAAGACAUCAUGAACUCUGGAAAGAUGCGGAGGUAGUUCCAAUUGGUAGGCAACUUCUCCUCGUUUGGCAAGAAUGCGAAAGGGUCCAAUGUAACGAGGAGCCAAUUUGCCUUUGAUACCGAAAUGAUGGGUUCCUUUUAAUGGGGUAACCCGAAGGUAAGCCUUCUCGUCGAUUCAUAAGUCAUAGGCUUAUGUUUACGAUCAUAUUGACUCUUUUGACGAGAUUGGGCUGUUUUCAAUUUCUCACGAAUAACGCGAACCUGCUCUUCCGCUUCCUGAAUCAUAUCCGGGCCAAAGAGUUGUCUUUCCCCGGUUUCUGACCAGUUAAGAGGCGUUCGACAUUUUCGUCCAUAGAGAACUUCGAAAGGAGCUUUGCCCAAGCUAGCUUGAUAACUAUUGUUAUAAGCAAACUAUGCGAAUGGGAAGCAUUUCUCCCAACUCAUUCCGAAUGAGAUAACAGAAGCUCGGAGCAUAUCUUCUAGAAUUUGAUUGACUCGCUCUACUUGACCACUUGAUUGAGGAUGGAAGGCGGUACUAAAAGAGAGACGAGUUCCCAUAGCAUUUUGGAAACUUUCCCAAAAUCGAGAGGUGAAGAGACUCCCACGGUCUGAGUUAAUUUCCAAUGGGACACCAUGGAGAGACACUAUUCGGGAGAUGUAUAAAUCGGCUAGCUGGCUAGCAGUGAUACUCGCACGAACAGGUAGGAAAUGGGCUACUUUGGAAAGACGGUCGAUCACGACGAAGAUGGCAUUAUUCCCUCUCUUGUUCCUGGGAAACCCAGUAAUGAAAUCCAUACUGAUUUUAUCCCAUUUCCAUUCAGGAAUAGCCAAAGGUUGAAGGGUGCCAGCAGGCCGUUGAUGCCCUGCUUUAACACGAUGACAGACGUCGCAGCUAGCAAUGUAUCGAGCGAUUUCUCUCUUCAUCCUAGUACAUCAAAACCUCUGGCGUAGGUCUUGAUACAUUUUAUUGCUACCGGGAUGAAUGGUGAGAGGGGAUUCAUGAGCUUCCUUAAGGAUCAAUUGGCGUAGAUGUUGUUUCUUGGGAACCACCAAACGGUUCUCAAAGAAGACAGCACCCCGCUUAUCCAUGGAAAAACAUUUAGCAACUCCGCUAGCAAUGUUUUCCUUAAUCCGGGAUAUGCCCUUAUCAUACCGCUGGGCAGUUAUGAUCUGAUCCAUAAGGUUAGGUUUCGCCACCAGGGUGGAUAGGAAUCCUCGAGGAACAAUGUGAAGAUUAAGCUUACGGAAUUCCUCAUGGAGAAGUGGUUGACUUUGUUGUAACAUCAGGUUGUUACAAUAGGAUUUACGGCGUAGUGCAGCAGCCAUGACAUUGGCUUUGCCCGGUGUGUAGGUUAUUCCUAAGUCGUAAUCCGAGAUCAACUCAACCCAACGUCUUUGCCUGAGAUUCAAAUCUGGUUGGGUGAAGAUAUAUUUCAAGCUUUGGUGAUCGGUGAAGAUCUCGCAACGAUUAAGUGCAUGGACUACAGCUGCCAGCUCUAGAUCAUGUGUGGGAUAAUUUUCCUCAUGUGGGUGUAAUUGCCGUGAAGCGUAGGCAAUUACCUGACGAUCUUGCAUGAGUAUGCAACCUAGUCCUUGUCGCGAGGCGUCACAAUAGAUAAUAAAGUCCUUGGAUAAAUCAGGUGGUACCAGUACGGGAGCAGAUGUCAGGCGUCUUUUCAGUUCCUAAAAGCUGAACUCGCACUGUGGAGUCUACUCGAACUUUUUAUCUUUCUUGAGGAGUUUAGUUAGAGGUUUAGCAACCUUGGAGAAAUUCUCGACGAAGCGGCGGCAAUAGCUCGCUAAGCCAAGGAAGCUCCAAACUUGCUUGACCGUCUCAGGUGGAGUCUAAUCAAGGACGGCUUGAACUCGCUCGGGAUUGACGGCAAUACCCUUACCAGAGAUUACAUGGCCUAGAUAGGUUACUUCUGGCAACCAAAAUUCACACUUGGAGAAUUUGGCAUAAAGGCGAUGCUCUCGAAGUUUCAUCAAUACCAGCCUUAGAUGUUCGGCAUGUUCCUCUUCAUUCUUGGAGUAGAUUAGUAUGUCAUUGAGGUAUACUACGAUGAAUUUAUCCAAGUACUCCAUGAAAACCGAGUUCAUUAGCCGGGAGAAGGUAGCCGGGGCAUUGGUUAAACCGAAGGACAUAACGGUGUACUCGUAUUGGCCAUAACGAGUAACAAAGGCCGUUUUGGGAAUGUCCCCGUUUCUGAUUUAGAUUUGAUGGUAGCCCAACCUCAAAUCCAUCUUGGAAAAGACUGAGGAUCCAGCAAACUAAUCAUACAGAUCAUUGAUCCUGGGAAGUGGGUAUUUGUUCUUGAUGGUGACCAAGUUGAUAGGUCGGUAAUCCACAACCAUUCGAUCUGUUCCAUCCUUCUUGACGAAGAGGACGGGGCAAGCCCAAGGAGAGGAACUAGGACGGAUGAAACCCUUUUUCAAGGACUCAUCGAGUUGGUUCUCAAGCUCGGCUAGUUCUAAGGGUGCCAUCUUGUAGGGUCUUCUAGAAAUUAGAAUGGUUCCUGGAACAAGGUCUAUCACAAACUCGACAUCCCUGUCAGGUGGAACACCUGGCAGUUCUUCUGGAAAGGCAUCCGGAAAGUCUCGGACUACCGGAACAUCCUCAAGGUCUGGAAGGGGGUUGGCAUUUAGGGAGUAAAGUUGGCACUUGGCCACUCGAGUUAAGACAUUAACUGUCUUGCCCGAUGGGUGAGUAAGUUGAACGGUUCUAGUGGCACAGUCAAUCUUAGCAUAAUGAGCUGACAUCCAGUCCAUACCUAAGAUGAUGUUUAUGUCCGAGGACUUGAGAGCUAUUAAGGAUGCAAGGAAGACAAGUCUAUCGACAAGAAUUUCGUUCCCAUGGCUUACUCUAGAAGUUUGCCAUCUAGAGCCAGGGGUUUGAAUUUCCAUGGUAGAGGGCAUGUCACAGAAUGUCGUGUUGUGCAAUCGAGCAUAGUUCUCGGAUAUGAAUGAAUGAUAUGCUCCAGUAUCGAAAAGAACAGAUGCCGGAUGGCAGUUAACAAGGAGCGUACCAAGGACGACGUUGGGAUCCUCAUGAGCCUCCUCGGCUGAAACAUAGUUGACAUGGCCACGUGCAGUGGUGGCUGGCUUAGCGUAGAAUGUUUUUCCCGCGGGCUUACCACGGCCAACGGACUUUCCAGUUUGAUUGGGGUUGUUGUUCUGGGGACACUCUCGGCUAUAGUGACCCGGCUCUCCACACUUAAAGCAUGUCACCACAUUGGGGCGUGGAGCAGCAUUAGCAGCGGGGCCACCAUAGGGCUUGGGCGGUGCAAAUUGCUGGUUGGGACGUGGUGCCUCAAAGGAUGGCCUCGGGAUGAACCUGGGUGGCAGUGCCGUGCUUGGAAUCCACACCCGGCGCUUCUGAGCUCCAGAGCCGAUGAAGAGCCAAAAUCACGGGAGUGCUUGCGUGAAGUGUCAUAAUCAGUCUGGCCUUUCUCAGCACUGAUGGCUUUAUGGACCAACUUCUAAAAGGAGGUGCACUUGUGCAGACGAAGACCACGGUGAAGCUCAGGGCUAAGUCCCUUGCGGAACCUUGCCUGCUUCUUAGCAUCAGUAGAUACCUCUUCAGGGGCAUAACGUGCCAGAUUCCCAAAUUCACGACUGUAAGCAUCCACAGUCAGUCUUCCUUGGGUGAAGUUGCAGAACUCCUCCCUCUUGCGAUCCAUGAGACCUUCCGGAAUGUGAUGCUCACGGAAAGCCUCACUGAAUUCAGCCCAAGUAGUGAUUUGGCCGACCGGGCGCAUAGCUUCGAAGUUUUCCCACCAAAGGCUAGCAGGGCCUUUGAGGUGAUAGGCAGCAUAAGUAACCUUGUCGGCUUUGGCUACGUUGGCAGAACGUAGCUUGUGGGUGAUGCUGUGAAGCCAGUCAUCCACGUCGAGGGGCUCGACGGAAUGGUUAAACUUUGGUGGGUACAUCUUGAUAAAGUCAUUGAUUGACACCAACUCAUUUCGCGGGUGGCGUGCAGUGUUCUGCUCAAUCCGCUCCAGCAGGCGGUUGGUCUCACGCUUCUUUCUUUCUGCCUCCAGCAUUACUUCGGCCAGAGAAGGCGGGUGAGGCAGAUUUUCACCUCUAGCAGCACUGGCUUCCCCCUGCUCCGGGGCAACAGGGUUGCUGCGAGUAUUGACCAUCCUAGGAGAAAACAAGACAACGGUUUAGACAAGGAUGGCUCAAACUGAGCAAGGAUGUGCAGAAUGUAAUGGAUAACACGGAACACAGAGAUGUUCAUCCGUAUGUCAUGGUAAUAUAAAACUGCCAUAUAUAUACCAACGGUCAUACACAUCACACAUAGUUUAGUACAAGCCCAGGCUACAGUACAACUAUGAUGAAAGACGUUACAUCUCAUCGGAGGCAUUCCAAGCUCCUAUACAUUAUUGUCUACACCUUCGGAAUUGAUUACACGCAAAGUCAUAUUCCAAAAGUCACGCAGGACAGUGGAGAUACAACUACUACAAUACUAGUGGUACUACUACUAACUCAGACAGCUCCGUACUAGUCCUCAUAGAAGUCACCUCCAUAGCCUGGAAGUUCAACGUGACCAUCCGGGAACAGACGGUCCUGAGGAGCCUGUGGACCAUAGGGGCUUGGAUGGGGUCUUGGACCAACAAACGGUGGCCUGCGGGGACCACAGGGUGGGGUGAUGCCUCCCACAUCACGCCAAUCCACCACGUCUGGCAAAGCAGACCUCACAGGAUACAAAUCCCUUGUAUCCAUACAUCCAGCUUGCACCACAGGUGCAAACCGAGUCAAUGUGGCCCAAUGAUCAGCACGGGUAUUAAAAAGCUCCAGCCUCAAGGCCUGAUUCUCUCGGUCCUUAUAUUCGAGCAUCUCGGCAGUGGUACGAGUUAAUGAAUCCUCCUGAGUGGAGUCAGCAUAGAUAGCCUGAAGAUACCCUUGCGCUCCCGGAAGUGAAGCUAGCAUGUAUCGGAAGUCGGUGUUCCGAAGCAGGCCAGUCCGGACUCGCAUGAUUGUCAUCAUGGAAUAGGCAGCAUCCUGCACAGCCAUCUCAACAGUAACCCCGAGUCCAUAGGAACAGUGAAGGGGCUCGGUAGAUCCAGGAUAAGAAGGAAAUAUCUUGACGGUGCAGAAAUACUGGCUUUGAUUAAAGUCUCAGAAUUGCUCUUCGACGGUGUAUUCGGGAUACCAACGGUAACCCGUCUCGAUCAUGACCCGGACUAACAUAGCAGUAUGACCGGGCACGUCGAGCCACCGGGUCAGGCGAACCACUUUGUUUUGAGCACGGUUGGGCAUCUGAAAGCACAACCACAAUGCAAAGACAUCAGAAUUUCUAGGGAAAAUUGGACAGCAUAACAGCUGUAAAUGCUCAGAAAAAGAUUUGAGACAUCCACAACAGUUCGCAAUACCACUCAACAACAUCAUAUCAAGGUUCUGAUCCAAAUAGCAGCAUACUAAAAAUAGUAGAAACUGAACUGGGGCUUGUAACAACAAUCCUAUAAGCUACUACGGAUUAGUAACACGUGAACCUGAUAGAAGAAGAGAGACUAGUCCUUAACCCACAUUGAAUGAAAAGGGAAUGACUCAGAUAAGAGGCAUAGGGUAAAGGAGUAAAAGAGCCUUACGUUCCCUCCCACAAUCAAUUCCCCUACAUAUAACUAAAGCAUUUCCAGACUCGACAUCGACCAGUUUGGCUCAACGAACCUACAGGCAGUCCGGCACUGAUGCCAACGCUGUCAGGACCCCGAUUCCAAGACACAUCGAUCUAGCUGGUAACACCUCAUAUCACUUUGCGGCCUCACGCACGAUAUUCCACGGGUGUCGCCUUACCAUGGCCCGGGACCGUUUGCGCCUUUUGGCUCACGUAUAUGAUAGUGUCGCUAGCAUCCAUAUGAUAGAGAACCCGGGCCGACAUGGCUAGUCGUGAACCCAAAGAGGCACAGACCUAUGGAGACAGGCAUACAUGAAUCACAUCGAGCAUGUCGGUCAUCAGCGAGUGAUUCCGGGCUGUAGCACUGGGCUAACAGGACUCCGGGGAACCCGGGCUGUAGCAGGCUAGGCAGGACUCCGGAAGUCACCGCGUAACAUUUCCCCGAAGGGACAGACAUAGGAAUGAAGUGAAUCACAUGCCGGCAAGUCAAGUGUCCUGAGCUGUAGUGCUGGGCUAGCAGGACUCUGGUGAACCGGGCUGUAGCGGACUACUAUGGCUCAAGGAACACUAGACUACAUUUCCCCAUAAGAAAGGCUGCCAAGGAUAAACAACUAGAUUGCCGGAUCCCACUCAUACCAAGCAUUUCAAUCAUACACGCAAUAUGUCCGAUAUGAGUACAUACAACAUGGCAUCACAACAAAACUCUACAACUCAAGUACUUUAUUUAAAGGCUCUAGAGAGCCAUACAUAACAGGUUCAUACAGAUAGGGGUCACAUGACCCGACACUCAAGUCAUACAAUCAUACAAGCACAUGCGGAAGCAACCGGUCUGAGUACAGACACUAGAAAGAAAGAAGGCUCCUCGAGGCCUGUCUAUCUACAUAGGGCCCUCCAUGGCCAGGAUCACCACCUGGGUGGCUACUUACUCGUCGACGUCAAGGUCUACAUAGAACCCAUCGGAGGGGGCGGUGUUGUCGUCUGAAAACAGUAAUUAAGCAAACAUGAGUACAAAGGUACUCAGCAAGUCUUACAACAGAACCUAGUAUACAUGCUUAUACUCAAGAAGGUGGUGGGGAUAUUGCAGCAAGCCAGCUUUGACUCUUGGCUAAACUAUCCUACGGAACUUCUCUAGUAAAAUAGUUUUCGCACACGAGUCCACUACUCGCCAACACAAUACUCCACAGGGGAUCCUCCCUCGUCAUCCUAUGAGAGGGCCAUCCUCGGUACUCACACUUAUCUUGAGUAUUUUAGUAGUAUCCAUUUACUUGUCUAUGAACUGUAUAGGAAACCAAGUAGUCAUACACGCUAUUCGGAUAGUUUUAUACCCUGCAGGGGUGUACUUCGUCAUACACGCUUUCACCACUUAUCGCCGUUUACAUGACAUGUACUCGGCAACCUUCAAGCGGAAGCCCAGCGAGGGUGUCGGCCACGGCCUACCUAAACACUUAAGUCUCUAGUCCAGGUUUAUCGCCUAUCCAGGUUCCAUCCACAGGGAGUCCGGCCGAGGUUUCCACAUACGGCCCCGAACGAAGUGAACAUGGUUUCGAGACGCCAAACGGGCGCCCGGCAUACCCGGCCACGGUGUAUCUACCGCAACAUAGCCCACCCCUAGGGUCAGCGCUAUGCACGGCCGCCAACACAUAACCUACAAACACCAGAAACUAUUUGCAACUCCUGGACAGAGUACAAGGGUGAUUAAGAAGUCGAGAUGGUCAAUUAAGGAUCCCAAUGCAUGGUAGUAGUGAAUCUUAAAUCGCACAUACAGAUCUCAGUUCUUAGGGACGGUCUCAAUGAAACAACCCACCAUGUACUCCUACAUGGCCUCUCAUCGAUAUCUUUACCAAAACAUGUUCAACACAUUCCUCAUAUUACCGACAUAAUCAUAUCACCCUAGCCCAUCACCCAGAUGAACCAGACCUGACACAACUCUAAGCAUAGCAGGCAUAGCAAGGUAGGAAUUAUAUACAUGGCUCAAUCAACUCCUACACAUGCUAGUGGGUUUCAUCUAGUUACUGUGGCAAUGACAGGUCAUGCAGAGGAUAAGGGUUCAACUACUGUAGCACACAGCAGUUUGAAUCACGUUGUCUUAAUGCAGUAAACAAGAGCACAGGCGAGAACAUGGGUUGUAUCGGAAUGAUCAAUGGGUUGCUUGCUUGAUGGAGUGGUAGUGGAAUACUGCCCUUCAGUGGGAUACUCGUGAAUAUCCUCGGAGCCAGAACCUACCACGAAGAACACAUCGGAACACAAUCAACACAUGACGAUAUGCAACAAUAUGAUGCAUGCUAUGACGUAUCUUGGCCUAAUGCAAGCUAAAAUAGAAAGGGAUGAACUCAUUUGAAUCAAAAAUUCAAAUAUUAGCUCAUUAAACAUGACCUUAGUAGUGCAUUUCCUUAUUCUGCUUAAACAGCAAGGUAAACUUGUUUUGUCAUGCAUGAAACCAUUACAGAUGGAUAGAUUGAAUUUUUCUGAUAAUUUUUCAUAUAUAAAUUAUUUCAUUUGGAGUUACGGUUGAAUCUCUAUGAUUUUUAGAAGUUUUAAACAUUUUCUGGAAAUUACUGAAUAAAAAUAAAUCCAAAAAAUGCAUUACGGCGUCAGCAUUGUGUCAUGCUGACCUCAGCAGGUCAAAGGCGCCAGCCCAGGUCAAACCUGACUGGUGGGCCCCUUCUGUCAGUCUCUCAGUUAAAUAACAGGAUUAGAUUAACACUAAUUAACUGUCAGUGGGGCCUGGGCCCACAUGUCAGUGACUGAUUAAAAUAAAAUUAGUUAAAACUAAUCCUAGAUUAGUUAGCAGACCGGCCCCACCUGUCAUAGACUCAGGGGGGUCUACCUGGGCCCACCCAGGGUCAAACUGGGUCAAACUCGCCGGCGUUGAGCCGCCGGCGAGACCCGAGACAGUGGCGCAGCUCGGAAAACGCCUACAGGGCACGAGCGAGGCCGUUCUUGGGCUCGUUGGAGAGCUCUUGCAGUCGCGCAUCUAGUGCUGGUGGUGGCCGGGCCUACGGUGGCCGGAGACGACGACGGCGAGCUCCAAGGCGGCGGCCGGAGUUCGGCCAUGUGCGGGGUGUGGGCUGCGGCGUGCAAACGUGGAAACUGAGGCGCUAGCGAGGCACUACGUGAUGCGGCAAGCACGUUGCGUAGCACGGGAUGACCAAAUGGUCGCCGGAGCGGCGCUGACGACAAGCUCGAGCGGAGACGAGCUUCGGCCAUGGUGAAACUAUGGCCUAGAGGGUGCAAACGCGUGGAAAAGAAGAGGGGAAAGGUGGCGGAGCUCACAGGGAGGUCGAUGAGCAGCUCAGUGGGCUCGGGGCGACCGGAGUGAGGCGAAUCGACGAGCGGCGUCCGGCGGGUACCGAGGUUGAAGACAAUCCGAUGGCGGCGAUGCAGGGCCUUCGGCGAUGCGUGGCUCGGUGGGGAGGGCGAGGGCGUUACGGCGGAGCUUCUGGACAGGUCAGAGAGGCGAGGUGGUGAUGGAGGGCGCGACUAUGAUGGUGAGACGGCGAUUAAAAAGAAAGAUCUGGUUCACUCGUACGUGAAAAAAGUAGCAAGCGCUCGAUGCCUUCCUUUGCAUCGAUGCCAGACGCGGUGCUGGGAAUCGACAAGAUAACCGCCAAUCUACCACGAUUAAAUUCCUAGCGCCUCCUUCUAGCGCCUCCCACUGAAAAUGCCCUAAAGGUUUUGGAGGGAUUUUUUUACUGUGUCCUACUUCACGAAUCACGAGGCAAAUCAAGUAGCCGGCAUGGCCUGGCCGGUGAGUGCCAUUGCACUUACUUGCCCCAGCAAUUUUCCGCGUGCAUUGUAGAAUUCUUUCUCCGAGUCCUGUGAAUUAAAGAUGGUGCAGACAAAAAUAUAUCCUAUAUGCGUACAUGUGCAUGAUCAGAACAUGUUUUUACGUGCGUCUACUAUAAAUCAUGACCAUUUUUAACACAAAUCAUGACCAUUCAUGAUUAGUGAAUCAUACUGUCUUAACUUAUGUGAAAUCAUGUGGAGUAAUAUAAUAUAAUAUAAUAAAUAGAUAGAUCCAUGUUGUAUUAUUUUUUGUUUACAAAAAAUAUCUGUCAUUACACAUUUUGAUUUAUGCAUUUGUUUACAAAAAAAACAGUAACAUUUCAUGGUGGAAAGUUUGUAUUGUUUCAUACUGAACACCAAUGUUUUCCUGUAAAAGAAAAUAAUGCCUACGCAUAUGCUUUUAUAUUAUUAUUAUUCUUUCAAACUUAUUCAUACAGUAUUUUUGAUUGUGCAACCAUAAUUUUUAUUGUCUCUCUCGUUCCACUACAUGCUCUUACUCAAUGAUUUUUUUAUAACGGGUGUUUUUAUUAACUCAAAAUAUAGUAUCAAGCGGAUACAAAACAUAAUGAGCCACACCUGGUCUCUGCAUAACUAAGAUGCACACAGCCAAAAGCAGAUGUCUGACAAAAAUAAGAUAAGAAAAUCGACAUAUCGACAACAGUGAGUCAUAUAGUCCCGACACUAUGCCCCCGUUGAAGGACGGGGUGGAGCGAUCUGGAGAUUAUGCUGCCCUCCAUGUUGAGUAAAUACCUCCCUGGCCACUUGUUCCAAACGCAUAGACGCCGCCACGAAUAAUGGUCGGUACUCUGUUCAGUGUAGCAUACACCAUGUAGGAAGUGAGUGCUCACUCCUAGUUACUAAAUUAUGUACACACUAGUAGAAAAAGGGCCAUUUGUCCCGGUUCGUAAGGCCCAUUUGUCCCAAUUGGGGAACCGGGACUAAAGGGUCGGUACUAAAGCCCUACACCUUUAGUCCCGGUUCUUACACCAACCGAGACAGAUGGGGCUCCACGUGGCCGCUACAGCUUGCCGUGGCAGGGGGGCCUUUUGUCCCGGUUGGUAGCACCAACCGGGACCAAUAAGCUACCACGCGUCCGCAUUUGAGGGGCUAGGGUUUUUGUUUUUUUUCUGAAGGGGGGGGGGUGGGUUUGUAUGGUUAAUUUUGGGGGGUUUCACAUAUUGUGUUAGGUAGCUAAUUAAUUAAUAGAGAGAAGUGUCCUCACUUAUCUCCGUGCUUGGUCGACGCUACGUACUAUACGUAUAGAGAGGCCCUCAACACGCUAGCCAGUAAGCAAAUGAAGUAAACCAUUAAGUACAGAAGUUCGUCAUGAACAUAUGCAUACAAACAUAAGUGAUAUCGACCUCUCCUUCUCCGAGAGAUAGGUCGAACAACAAGUUUCCGUAUAUCUAUCCGGCGCUACUAGCUACAUAUAUACAAUAUUAAGAUCUCUUACAAUAUAAUCCCCUAAUUAUAUAUGAACUCAGCUUCCAGAUGGUAUUCUCCGGCUUUAUUGAUGGCGUGGUCAAGAAAGAUUCCCUCCAAUUCCUCUUGAAUUGCUUUGAUGCGAUCUUGUGGUAGGAGUUCAUCUCGCAUCUGCCACAUCUAAUUUGAAGAAGGGGGUCAAUCACCAGUAGAAUAACAACCAUUUGUCCUGGUUCAUAAGGUUAAUUUGUCCCGGUUGGGGAACCGAGACUAAAGGGUCUUUACUAAAGCCCUACACCUUUAGUCCUGGUUCUUACACCAACUGGGACAGAUGGGCCUCCAUGUGGCUGCUGCGGCGAGCCCAGGCCGGAGGUCCUUUGGUCCCGGUUAGUGGCACUGAUACGUCUCCAACGUAUCUAUAAUUUUUGAUUGCUCCAUGCUAUUAUGUUAUCUAUUUUGGAUGUUAAUGGCUUUAUUUUACACCUUUAUAUCAUUUUUGGGACUAACCUACUAAUCGGAGGCCCAACCCAAAUUGUUGUUUUCUACCUAUUUUAGGUUUUCGAAGAAAAGGAAUAUCAAACGGAGUCCAAACGGAAUGAAACCUUCGAGAACGUGAUUUUCUCAAUGAACAUGAUUCAGGAGAAUUGGAGUGUGCUCCAAGAAACAAGGGAGGAAGGCACGAGGCAGGGGGCGCGCCUACCCCCUUGGGCGCGCCCUCCACCCUCGUGGGCCCUCCGCUGCUCCACCGACGUACUUCUUCCUCCUAUAUAUAUCCACGUACCCCCAAACAUCCAGGAGCACCACGAAAACCUAAUUCCACCGCUGCAACCUUCUGUACCCGAGAGAUCCCAUCUUGGGGCCUUUUCCGGAGGUCCACCGGAGGGGGCAUCGAUCAUGGAGGGCCUCUACAUCAACUCCAUGGCCUCUCCGGUGAUGUGUGAGUAGUUUACUUCAGACCUAGGGGUCUAUAGUUAUUAGCUAGAUGGCUUCUUCUUCUCUCUUUGGAUCUCAAUACAAAGUUCUCCUCGAUUUUCUUGGAGAUCUAUUUGAUGUAACCUUCUUUUGCGGUGUGUUUGUCGAGAUCCGAUGAAUUGUGGGUUUGUGAUCCAGAUUAUCUAUGAACAAUAUUUGAUUCUCCUAUGAAUUCUAGUAUGUAUGAUUGGUUUAUCUUUGCAAGUCUCUUCGAAUUAUCAGUUUGGUUUGGCCUACUAGAUUGAUUUCUUGCAAUGGGAGAAGUGCUUAGCUUUGGGUUCAAUCUUGCAGUGUUUGAUCCCAGUGACAGAAAGGGAACCGAUACGUAUUGUAUUGUUGCCAUCGAGGAUAAAAAGAUGGGGUUUAUAUCAUAUCGCAUGAGUUUAUCCCUCUACAUCAUGUCAUCUUCCUUAAAGCAUUACUAUGUUCUCUUGAACUUAAUACUCUAGAUGCAUGCUGGAUAGCGGUCCAUGUGUCGAGUAAUAGUAGUAGAUGCAGAAUCGUUUCGGUCUACUUGUCUCGGACGUGAUGCCUAUAUACAUGAUCAUACCUAGAUAUUCUCAUAACUAUGUUCAAUUCUGUACAAUAUGGUGCACGGGGUUACAUCGGCCUGCAAAGACAUUUCUGCGAUGUGAGACAUCCGAAAAGCAACGAAAACGGGAGAUUAUACAUUUAUUGAAGAGGGCAGGUGUGACAGAUACCGUGAGGGCGUCGAGCUCAGCCAAAGACGAUGGACAGCUGAGCACGGCCUGUGUCAGAGCCGGUGCGGGAGCAGGUGCAGGUGCAGGUGCUGGUGCAACGCUAGUCGAGCUGCUCCUGAAGAAGUCAACAAUGGGAAAGUCCGCUGCAUUUUUUCUGCAUUUUGCGUGCUCCAAUUGAAAAUGGCUGGAACCAAGACAGUAGACAUAUCUGCAACCACCUGUUUUCCGGCAGCUACCGCUGUCGCGACUGUCUCAGAUGAUUUCUUCUCAACCGCAAUCUCAACCUUCUUGUCGAUGUUUUAUUCGGUUAACCUCCAUCUUUCCUUUCUCUCCUCCGUGGUCUCACGGUAGUACUUCUUCCACGUGGCCCCGUCUCCGACACCGUGAACGCGUCCAUACGACGACCGAGUCUCCACGGGGAGUCCUUUCAAUAUGUUCAAUGCCCGGUUGAAUGGAGUGUCCCACUUGGGCCUUGCCAAUGCCUCAGACGGCGAGUCGCUUUCGGCCGCAAUCUUAUGCUGCUCUCUCUACAAAAGGAACACGGAUCAUUUACAAAUAUGACUAAACGUGCAGUCGAACUGAUCAGAAACUAAAAUUACCAGCAGUCUCAUGAACUCCGUCGUGAUCGGGUCCGUCUUGAAAACCUUCUUGACUGAGUCCCAAUGGUGUCGUGCCCUGAGGACGUCAUGCUCCUACGGGACGGUGAAGUCCGCCAAGGGGUCUGGGAUGCCAGAUUUUCGCGUUUCGUGUCCUCCUUGGCCCAUAUGGACCUCUUCCUGCCGUAACCACUGCUUCCGAGGUGGUGGCGCCCCAUGUUCCUUUGUGGAAGCCCCUUCAUGUACUUCGACUUUGUUUUGGCAGCUUCGGCCUCGCAAGCCGCCUUGAAUAUUUCAAAGUGUUCUCUAGUGAUUGUCAGAUUAUCCUUUACAAUCUCGGAGUAGGGUUGAUACGUCUCCAACGUAUCUAUUAUUUUUGAUUGCUCCAUGCUAUAUUAUCUACUGUUUUGGACAUUAUUGGGCUUUAUUAUCUACUUUUAUAUUAUUUUUGGGACUAACCUAUUAACCGGAGGCCCAGCCUAGAAUUGUUGUUUUUUGACUGUUUUAGGGUUUCGAAGAAAAGGAAUAUCAAACGGAGUCCAAACGGAAUGAAACCUUCGGGAACGUGAUUUUCUGAAUGAACAAGACCCUGGAGACUUGGACCCUACGUCAAGACACAAAAGAGGAGGACACGAGGUAGGGGGCGCGCCUAACCCCCCCCCCCCCUCGAGGCACGCCCUCCACCCUCGUGGGGCCCCUGUUGCUCCACCGACGUACUCCUUCCUCCUAUAUAUACCUACGUACUUCCAAACGAUCAGAUACGGAGCCAAAACCCUAAUUCCACUGCCGCAACUUUCUGUAUCCACGAGAUCCCAUUUGGUGCCUGUUCCGGAGCUCCGCCGGAGGGGGCAUCGAUCACGGAGGGCUUCUACAUCAACACCAUAGCCUCUCCGAUGAAGUGUGAGUAGUUCACCUCAGACGUACCGGUCCAUAUUUAUUACCUAGAUGGCUUCUUCUCUCUUUUUGGAUCUCAAUACAAUGUUCUCCCCCUCUCUUGUGGAGAACUAUUCGAUGUAAUCUUGUUUUUGCAGUGUGUUUAUUGAGAUUGAUGAAUUGUGGGUUUAUGAUCAAGUCUAUGUAUGAAUAAUAUUUGAAUCUUCUCUAAAUUCUUUUAUGUAUGAUUGUUUAUCUUUGCAAGUCUCUUCGAAUUAUCAGUUUGGUUUGGCCUACUAGAUUGAUCUUUCUUACAAUGGGAGAAGUGCUUAGCUUUGGGUUCAAUCUUGCGGUGUCCUUUCCCAAUGACAGUAGGGGCAGCAAGGCAUGUAUUGUAUUGUUGCCAUCGAGGACAACAAGAUGGGGUUUUCAUCAUAUUGCAUGAGUCUAUCCCUCUACAUCAUGUCAUCUUGCUUAAGGCGUUACUCUGUUUUUAACUUAAUACUCUAGAUGCAUGCUGGAUAGCGGUCGAUGAGUGAAACCUAUGGCCCCCGGGUCUAUCUUUAUCAUAUUAAUCUCCUACUACUUAGUUAUUUCCUUUGCUUUUUCCUUUGCCUUUAUUUUACUUUUGAUCUUUAUCACAAAAAUACCAAACAUAUUAUCUUUAUCAUAUCUAUCAGAUCUCACUCUCGUAAGUGGCUGUGUAGGGAUUGACAACCCCUAUUCGCGUUGGUUGCGAGGAUUUAUUUGUUUUGUGCAAGUACGAGAGACUCGCGCGUAGCCUCCUACUGGAUUGAUACCUUGGUUCUCAAAAACUGAGGGAAAUACUUACACUACUUUGCUGCAUCAUCCUUCCUCUUCGCGGAAAACCAACGUAGUGCUCAAGAGCUGGCAAUAAGGAUUUCUGGCGCCGUUGCCGGGGAGGUCUAAGCAAAAGUCAACAUACCAAGUACCCAUCACAUACCCUUAUCUCCUGCAUUACAUUAUUUUCCAUUUGCCUCUCGUUUUCCUCUCCCCCACUUCACCCUUGCCGUUUUAUUCGCCCUCUCUCUCUCUCUCUAUCCUCCCUCUCUUUCUCUAUUUGCCUCUUUUUUCCCACUUGCUUUCUGUUUGCUUGUGUGUUAGUUGCUUGCUUGUCACGAUGGCUCAAGAUAAUACUAAAUUACGUGACUUCACCAAUACCAACAACAAUGAUUUUAUUAACACUCCGAUUGCUCCUCUUACCGAUGCUGAAUCUUGAGAAAUUAAUACUGCUUUGCUGAAUCUUGUCAUGAAAGAUCUGUUUUUCGGCCUUCCUAGUGAAGAUGCCGCUACCCACCUAAAUAGAUUCGUUGAUUUGUGUGACAUGCAAAAGAAGAAAGGUGUGGAUAAUGAUAUUGUUAAAUUGAAGCUAUUUCCUUUUUCGCUUAGAGAUCGUGCUAAAGCUUGGUUUUCGUCUUUGCCUAAAAAUACUAUUGAUUCAUGGAAUAAGUGCAAAGAUGCUUUUAUCUCUAAGUAUUUUCCUCCUGCUAAGAUCAUCUCUCUUAGAAACGAUAUUAUGAAUUUUAAGCAACUUGAUCAUGAACAUGUUGCACAAGCUUGGGAGAGAAUGAAACUAAUGAUACGUAAUUGCCCUGCCCAUGGUUUAAAUUUGUGGAUGAUUAUACCAAAUUUUUAUGCCGGAUUGAACUUUGCUUCUAGAAAUCUUUUAGAUUAGGCCGCGGGAGGCACUUUUAUGGAAAUCACUUUAGGAGAAGCUACUAAACUCCUAGAUAAUAUUAUGGUUAAUUAUUCUCAACGGCAUACCGAAAGAUCUACUAAUAAAAACGUGCAUGCGAUAGAAGAAAUUAAUGUUUCGAGUGGAAAGAUGGAUGAACUUCUGAAAUUAUUUGCUAAUAAGAGUAUUUCUUCUGAUCCUAAUGAUAUGCCCUUGUCUACUUUGAUUGAGAAUAAUAAUUAAUCUAUGGAUGUGGAUUUUGUUGGUAGGAACAAUUUUGGUAACAACGCGUACAGAGGAAAUUUCAACCCUAGGCCUUAUCCUAGUAAUCUCUCUAAUAAUUAUGGUAAUUCCUACAACAAUUCUUAUGGAAAUUAUAAUAAGAUGCCCUCUGAUUUUGGAUCUAAUAUUAGAGAAUUUAUUACUUUCCAAAAGAAUUUCAAUGCUUUGAUUGAAGAAAAAUUGCUUAAGAUUGAUGAUUUGGCUAGGAACGUUGAUAGAAUUACUCUUGAUGUUGAUUCUUUGAAACUUAGAUCUAUUCCACCUAAGCAUGAUGUCAAUGAGUCUCUCAAAGCCAUGAGAAUUUCCAUUGAUGAGUGCAAAGAAAGAACCACUAGGAUGCGUGUUAAGAAAGAUGCCUUUAUAAGAGCGUGUUCUUCUAAUUCCUAUGAAAAUAAUGAUGAAGAUCAAAAAGUUAUUGAUGUCCUCCCUAUUAAAUCUUUGUUUUGCAAUAUGAAUCUUGAUAAUCAUGGGACUGAAUAUGAUCCACCUUUACCUAGAAGGCGUUCCAAUAAUUCAGAAUUUGUUGAUCUUGAUGCUAAAAUUGAUAAAGGUGGGAUUGAAGAAAUUAAAACCCUAGAUGUUGCUAAACCCACUAUUAUGGAUUUCAAGGAACUUAACUAUGAAAACUGCCCUUUGAUUGAUUGUAUAUCCUUGUUACAAUCCGUGCUAAAUUCUCCUCAUGCUUAUAGUCAAAAUAAAGCAUUUACUAAACAUAUUGUUGAUGCCUUGAUGCAAUCUUAUGAAGAAAAACUUGAAUUGGAAGUUUCUAUCCCUAUAAAGCUUUAUGAUGAGUGGGAACCAACUAUUAAAAUUAAAAUUAAAUAUCAUGAAUGCUAUGCUUUAUGUGAUUUGUGUGCUAGUGUUUCCACGAUUCCAUAGACUUUGUGUGAUUUGUUAGGUUUCCGUGAUUUUGAUGAUUGCUCUUUAAACUUGCACCUUGCGGAUUCCACUAUUAAGAAACCUAUGGGAAGAAUUAAUGAUGUUCUUAUUGUUGCAAAUAGCAAUUAUGUGCCCGUAGAUUUUAUUGUUCUUGACAUAGAUUGCAAUCUUUCAUGUCCUAUUAUUCUUGGUAGACCUUUCCUUAGAACGACUGGUGCAAUUAUUGAUAUGAAGGAAGGAAAUAUUAGAUUCCAAUUUCCAUUAAGGAAAGGCAUGGAACACUUUCCUAGAAAGUAAAUUAAAUUACCUUAUGAAUCUAUUAUGAUAGCCACUUAUGGAUUGCCUACCAAAGAUGGCAAUACCUAGAUCUAUCCUUGCUUGUUAUGCCUAGCUAGGGGCGUUAAACGAUAGCGCUUGUUGGGAGGCAACCCAAUUUUAUUUUUAUUCCUUGAUUUUUUCUCCUGUUUAGUAAUAAAUAAUUUAUAUAGCCUCUGUUUUGGUUCUGUUCUUUGUGUUUAAUUAGUGUUUGUGCCAAGUAGAACCGUUAGGAAGACUUGGGGAAAGUCUUGUUACACUUGCUGUAAAAAACUGAAACUUCAGCGCUCACGAGAACUGCUGCCAUUUUUAUUUGGAAAGUGCUAUGUAGUUAAUUAUUUUUCAGAUGAUUAACAGAUAAAUUCCUCACGUCCAGAAAUUUAUUUUAGAAUUUUUGGGGUUCCAGCUCUUGAGCUAGCUACAGAGUACUACAGGCUGUUCUGUUUUUGAAAGAUUCUGUUUUUCGUGUGUUGUUUGCUUAUUUUGAUGAACCUAUGGCUAGUAAAAUAGUUUAUAUACCAUAGAGAAAUUGGAAUACAGUAGGUAUAACACCAAUAUAAAUAAAUAAUGAGUUCAUUACAGUACCUUGAAGUGGUCUUUUAUUUUCUUUCGCUAACGGAGCUCAUGAGAUUUUCUACUUUAAGUUUUGUGUUGUGAAGUUUUCAAGUUUUGGGUAAAGAUUUGAUGGAUUAUGGAACAAGGAGUGACAAGAGCCUAAGCUUGGGGGUUCCCAUGGCACCCCCAAGAUAAUCUAAGUACACCUAAAAACCAAAGCUUGGGGAUGCGCCGGAAGUCAUCCCCUCUUUCAUCUACUUCUAUCGGUAACUUUACUUGGAGCUAUAUUUUUAUUCGCCACAUGAUAUGUGUUUUGCUUGGAGCGUCUUGUAUUAUUUGAGUCUUUAUUUGUUAGUUUACCACAAUCAUCCUUGCUGUACACACCUUUUGAGAGAGCCAUACAUGAUUUGGAAUUUGUUAGAAUACUCUAUGUGCUUCGCUUAUAUCUUUUGAGUUAUAUAGUUUUGCUCUAGUACUUCACUUAUAUCUUUUAGAGCACGGUGGUGGAUUUGUUUUAUAGAAACAAUUGAUCUCUCAUGCUCCACUUAGAUUAUUUUGAGAUUCUUAAUAGCAUGUUAAUUUGCUUAAAAUCCUAAUAUGCUAGGUAUUCAAAGUUAGUAAAAUUUUCUUAAGAGUGUUUUGAAUACUAAGAGAAGUUUGAUGCUUGAUGAUUGUUUUGAGAUAUGGAGGUAAUAAUAUCAAAGUCGUUCUCGUUGACUAGUUGUGAAAUUGAGAAAUACUUGUGUUGAAGUUUGCAUGUCCCGUAGCACGCACGUAUGGUAAACGUUGUGUAACAAAUUUGAAACAUGAGGUGUUAUUUGAUUGUCUUCCUUGUGAGUGGCGGUCGGGGACGAGCGAUGGUCUUUUCCUACCAAUCGAUCCCCCUAGGAGCAUGCGAAUAGUACCAAGGUUUUUGAUGACUUGUAGAUUUUUGCAGUAAGUAUGUGAGUUCUUUAUGACUAAUGUUGAGUCCAUGAAUUAUACGCACUCUCACCCUUCCAUCCUUGCUAGCCUCUUCGGUACCGUGCAUUGCCCUUUCCCACAUUGAGAGUUGGAGCAAACUUCGCCAGUGCAUCCAAACCCCGUGCUAUGAUACGCUCAUUCACACAUAAACCUCCUUAUAUCUUCCUCAAAACAGCCACCAUACCUACCUAUUAUGGCAUUUCCAUAGCCAUUCCGACAUAUAUUGCCAUGCAACUUUCCACCAUUCCGUUCAUCAUGACACAUUCAUCAUUGUCAUAUUGCGUAGCAUAAUCAUGUAGUUGACAUAGUAUUUGUGGCAAGGCCACCGUUCAUAAUUCAUUCAUACAUGUCACUCUUGGUCCAUUGCAUGUCCCGGUACACCGCCGGAGGCAUUCAUAUAGAGCCAUACUUUGUUCUAGUAUCGAGUAGUAAUUAUUGAGUCGUAAAUAAAUAGAAGUGUGAUGAUCAUCAUUAAUAGAGCAUGGUCCCAAAAAGAAAAAAAAGGAAGGGCCAAAAAAAGGCCAAAUAAAAAAAUAUAAAAAAGGGGGCAAUGCUACUAUCCUUUUUUUCCAAACUUGUGCUUCCAAGUAGCACCGUAAUCUUCAAGAUAGAGAGUCUCUUGAUUUGUCACUUUCAUAUACUAGUGGGAAUUUUUCAUUAUAGAACUUGGCUUGUAUAUUCCAACAAUGGGCGUCCCCAAGUUCCCUAGGUCUUCGUGAGCAAGCAAGUUGGAUGCACACCCACUUAGUUUCUUUUGUUGAGCUUUCAUACAUUUAUAGCUCUAGUGCAUCCGUUGCAUGGCAAUUCCUACUCCUUGCAUUAACAUCAAUCAAUGGGCAUCUCCAUAGCCCAUUGAUUAGCCUCGUUGAUGUGAGACUUUCUCCUUUUUGUCUUCUCCACAUAACCCCACUCAUUAGAUUCUAUUCCACCCAUAGUGUUAUGUCCAUGGCUUGCAAUCAUAUAUUGCGUGAAAGUUUAUAGGUUUGAGAUCACUAAAGUAUGAAACAAUUGCUUGGCUUGUCAUCGGGGUUGUGCAUGAUGAGAGCAUACUUGUGUGACGAAAAUGAAGCAUGACUAAACUAUAUGAUUUUGUAGGGGUGAACUUUCUUUGGCCAUGUUAUUUUGAGAAGACACAAUUGCUCAGUUAGUAUGCUUAAAGUAUUAUUAUUUUAUGUCAAUAUGAACUUUUGUCUUGAAUGUUUCAGAUCCGAAUAUUCAUACCACAAUUAAGAAGAAUUACAUUAAAAUCAUGCCAAGUAGCACUCCACAUCAAAAAUUCUGUUUUUAUCAUUUACCUACUCGAGGACGAGCCGGAAUUAAGCUUGGGGAUGCUUGAUACAUCUCCAACGUAUCUAUAAUUUUUGAUUGCUCCAUGCUAUAUUAUCUACUGUUUUGGACAAUAUUGGGCUUUAUUAUCCACUUGUAUAUUAUUUUUGGGACUAACCUAUUAACCGGAGGCCCAGCCCAGAAUUGUUGUUUUUUGCCUGUUUUAGGGUUUCGAAGAAAAGGAAUAUCAAACGGAGUCCAAACGGAAUGAAACCUUCGGGAACGUGAUUUUCUCAACGAACAAGAUCUAGGAGACUUGGACCCUCCAUCAAGACAUAAAAGAGGAGGCCACGAGGUAGGGGGCGUNNNNNNNNNNNNNNNNNNNNNNNNNNNNNNNNNNNNNNNNNNNNNNNNNNNNNNNNNNNNNNNNNNNNNNNNNNNNNNNNNNNNNNNNNNNNNNNNNNNNNNNNNNNNNNNNNNNNNNNNNNNNNNNNNNNNNNNNNNNNNNNNNNNNNNNNNNNNNNNNNNNNNNNNNNNNNNNNNNNNNNNNNNNNNNNNNNNNNNNNNNNNNNNNNNNNNNNNNNNNNNNNNNNNNNNNNNNNNNNNNNNNNNNNNNNNNNNNNNNNNNNNNNNNNNNNNNNNNNNNNNNNNNNNNNNNNNNNNNNNNNNNNNNNNNNNNNNNNNNNNNNNNNNUGGGCCCCCCUGUUGCUCCACCGACGUACUCCUUCCUCCUAUAUAUACCUACUAUUGGGGAACGUAGCAGAAUUUUAAAAUUUUCUACGCAUACCAAGAUCAAUCUAUGGAGUCAUAUAGCAACGAGGGAGAGAGGAGUGCAUCUACAUACCCUUGUAGAUCGCGCGCGGAAGCGUUCAAGAGAACGGGGUUGAUGGAGUCGUACUCGUCGUGAUCCAAAUCACCGAUGACCAAGUGCCGAAUGGACAGCACCUCCGCGUACAACACACGUACGGUUGGGAAGACGUCUCCUCCUUCUUGAUCCAGCAAGGGGGAAGGAGAGGUUGAUGAAGAUCCAGCAGCACGACGGCGUGGUGGUGGAUGCAGCAGGAUCCCGGCAGGGCUUCGCCAAGCGCAAGCGGGGAGGAGAGGUGUUACGGAAGGAGAGGGAGGCGCCAAGAGCAAGGGUGCGGCUGCCCUCCCUCCCCCCCCUCUUUAUAUAGGGGCCUUGGGGGGGCGCCGGCCCUAGGAGAUGGAUCUCCAAGGGGGGCGAAGGCCAAGGGGUGGCUUCCCCCCCAAGCCAAGUGGGGGGCGCCCCCACCCCUAGGGUUUCCCAACCCUAGGCGCAUGGGAGGCCCAAGGGGGGCGCACCAGCCCACUAGGGGCUGGUUCUGCUCCCAAUUCAGCCCAUGGGGCCCUCCGGGAUGGGUGGCCCCACCCGGUGGACCCCCGGGACCCUUCCGGUGGUCCUGGUACAAUACCGGUGACCCCCGAAACCUUCCCGAUGGCCGAAAUUGUACUUCCUAUAUAUAAAUCUUUACCUCCGAACCAUUCCGGAACUCCUCGUGACGUACGGGAUCUCAUCCGGUACUCCGAACAUAUCCUUGGUUACUACAUACUAAUAUCUCUACAACCCUAGCGUCACCGAACCUUAAGUGUGUAGACCCUACGGGUUCGGGAGACAUGCAGACAUGACAGAGACGCCUCUCCGGUCAAUAACCAACAGCGGGAUCUGGAUACCCAUGUUGGCUCCCACGUGCUCCACGAUGAUCUCAUCGGAUGAACCACGAUGUCGAGGAUUCAAUCAAUCUGUGUAGAAUUCCCUUUGUCAAUCGGUACGUUACUUGCCCGAGACUCGAUCGUCGGUAUCCCAAUACCUCGUUCAAUCUCGUUACCAGCAAGUCACUUUACUCGUGCCGUAAUGCAUGAUCCCAUGAUCAACCACUUGGUCACAAUGAGCUCAUUAUGAUCAUGCAUUACCGAGUGGGCCCAGAGAUACCUCUCCGUCAUACGGAGUGACAAAUCCCAGUCUCGAUUCGUGCCAACCCAACAGACACUUUCGGAGAUACCUGUAAUGUACCUUUAUAGUCACCCAGUUACGUUGUGACGUUUGGCACACCCAAGGCACUCCUACGGUAUCCGGGAGUUGCCCAAUCUCAUGGUCUAAGGAAAUGAUACUUGACAUUCGGAAAAGCUACAGCAAACGAACUACACGAUCUUUGAGCUAUGCUUAGGAUUGGGUCUUGUCCAUCACAUCAUUCUCCUAAUGAUGUGAACCCGUUAUCAAUGACAUCCAAUGUCCAUAGUCAGGAAACCAUGACUAUCUUUUGAUCAACGAGCUAGUCAACUAGAGGCUCACUAGGGACGUGUUGUCGUCUAUGUAUUCACACAUGUAUUACGAUUUCCGGAUAACACAAUUAUAGCAUGAAAAAUAGACAAUUAUCAUGAACAAAGAAAUAUAAUAAUAACCAUUUUAUUAUUGCCUCUAGGGCAUAUUUCCAACAGUCUCCCACUUGCACUAGCGUCAGUAGUCUAGUUACAUUUUGAUGAAUCCAACACCCAUGAAGUUCUGGAGUUGAUCAUGUUUUGCUCUAGGGAGAGGUUUAGUCAAUGGAUCUGCCACAUUCAGGUCCGUAUGUACUUUACAAAUCUCUAUGUAUCCAUUUUGAACACUUUCAUGAAUGGAGUUGAAGUGACGCUUGAUAUGCCUGGUCUUCCUGUGAAAUCUGGGCUCCUUGGCAAGUGCAAUAGCUCCAGUGUUGUCACAGAAUAGAGUCAUCGGGCCCGGUGCAUUGGGUGUGACUCCUAGGUCGGUAAUGAACUCCUUCACCCAGAUUGCUUCUUGUGCUGCCUCCGAGGCUGCCAUGUACUCUGCUUCACAUGUAGAUCCCGCCACAACGCUUUGCUUGCAACUCCACCAGCUUACUGCCCCACCAUUCAAAAUAUACACGUAUCCGGUUUCCGACUUAGAGUCAUCCAGAUCUGUGUCGAAGCUAGCAUCAACGUAACCCUUUACGACGAGCUCUUCGUCACCUCCAUAAACGAGAAACAUAUCCUUAGUCCUUUUUAGGUACUUGAGGAUAUUCUUGACUGCUGUCUAGUGUUCCAUGCCGGGAUUACUUUGGUACCUUCCUACCAAACUUACGGCAAGGUUUUCAUCAGGUCUGGUACACAGCAUAGCAUACAUGAUAGACCCUAUGGCCGAGGCAUAGGGGAUGACACUCAUCUUUUCUCUAUCUUCUGUCGUGGUCGUGCAUUGAGCCUCGCUCAAUCUCGUACCUUGCAAUACAGGCAAGAACCCUUCUUUUACUGAUCCAUUUUGAACUUCUUCAAUAUCUUAUCAAGGUAUGUACUCUGUGAAAGACCAAUGAGGCGUCUCGAUCUAUCUCUAUAGAUCUUGAUGCCUAAUAUAUAAGCAGCUUCUCCAAGAUCCUUCAUUGAAAAACACGUGUUCAAGUAGGCCUUUAUGCUUUCCAAGAAUUCUAUAUCAUUUCCCAUCAACAAUAUGUCAUCCACAUCCAAUAUGAGAAAUGCUACAAAGCUCCCACUCACUUUCUUGUAAAUGCAGACUUCUCCAUAAGUAUGCGUAAACCCAAACGCUUUGAUCAUCUCAUCAAAACGAAUGUUCCAUCUCCGAGAUGCUUGCACCAGCCCAUAAAUCGAAUGUUGGAGCUUGUACACCUUGUCAGCAUUCUUAGGAUCGACAAAACCUUCCGGCUGCAUCAUAUACAAUUCUUCCUUAAGGAAACCAUUAAGGAAUGUUGUUUUGACGUCCAUUUGCCAUAUUCAUAAUCAUAGAAUGCGGCAAUUGCUAACAUCGUAGUCAACCCCUUGAACUUGCCGAUAACCCUUAGCGACAAGCCGAGCUUUAUAGAUGGUCACAUUACCAUCCGCGUCUGUCUUCUUCUUAAAGAUCCAUUUAUUUUCUAUGGCUCGCCGAUCAUCGGGCAAGUCAGUCAAAGUCCAUACUUUGUUUUCAUACAUGGAUCUUAUCUCGGAUUUCAUGGCUUCCAGCCAUUUGUUGGAAUUCAGGCCCGCCAUCGCUUCUUCAUAGUUCGAAGUUCACCGUUGUCUAACAACAUGAUUUCCAAGACAGGGUUGCCGUACCACUCUGGUGCGGGACGUGUCCCCGUGGACCUACGAAGUUCAGUAGCAACUUGAUCUGAAGUUUCAUGAUCAUCAUCAUCAAUUUCCUCUCUAGUCGUUGCAGGCACCUUAGGAACAUUUUCUUGAGCUGCGCCACUUACCGGUUCAAGAGGUAAUAAUACUUCAUCAAGUUCUACUUUCCUCCCACUUAUUUCUUUCGAGAGAAACUCUUUCUCUAGAAAGGACCCAUUCUUGGCAACAAAGAUCUUGCCUUCGGAUCUGAGGUAGAAGGUAUACCCAAUAGUUUCUUUAGGGUAUCCUAUGAAGACGCAUUUUUCCAAUUUGGGUUCGAGCUUUUCAGGUUGAAGUUUCCUUACAUAAGCAUCGCAUCCCCAAACUUUUAGAAAUGACAUCUUAGGUGUCUUCCCAAACCAUAAUUCAUACGGUGUCAUCUCAACGGAUUUCGACGGAGCCCUAUUUAAAGUGAAUGCGGCAGUCUCUAAAGCAUAGCCCCAAAAUGACAGCGGUAAAUCGGUAAGAGACAUCAUAGAUCGCACCAUAUCUAAUAGAGUGCGAUUAUGACAUUCCGACACACCAUUACGCUGAGGUGUUCCAGGCGGCGUGAGUUGUGAAACUAUUCCACAUUUUCUUAAGUGUGUGCCAAAUUCGUGACUCAAGUAUUCUCCCCCACGAUCUGAUCGCAAGAACUUGAUUUGCCUGUCACGUUGAUUCUCAACCUCACUUUGAAAUUCCUUGAACUUUUCAAAGGUCUCAGACUUGUGUUUCAUUAAGUAGACAUACCCAUAUCUACUCAAGUCAUCAGUGAGGGUGAGAACAUAACGAUAGCCACCGCGCCUCAACACUCAUUGGACCGCACACAUCAGUAUGUAUGAUUUCCAAUAAGUUGGUUACUCGCUCCAUUGUUCCUGAGAACGGAGUCUUGGUCAUUUUACCCAUGAGGCAUGGUUCGCACGUGUCAAAUGAUUCGUAAUCAAGAGACUUUAAAAGUCUAUCUGCAUGGAGCUUCUUCAUGCGUUUGACACCUAUGUGACCAAGGCGGCAAUGCCACAAGUAUGUGGGACUAUCAUUAUCAACCUUACAUCUUUUGGUAUUCACACUAUGAAUAUGUGUAACAUUAUGCUCGAGAUUCAUUAAGAAUAAACCAUUCACCAAUGGAGCAUGACCAUAAAACAUAUCUCUCAUAUAAAUAGAACAACCAUUAUUCUCGGAUUUAAAUGAGUAGCCAUCUCAAAUUAACCGAGAUCCUGAUACAAUGUUCAUGCUCAAAGCUGGCAGUAAAUAACAAUUAUUGAGGUUUAAAACUAAUCCCAUAGGCAAAUGUAGAGGCAGCGUGCCGACGGCGAUCACAUCAACCUUGGAACCAUUCCCGACGCACAUCGUCACCUCGUCCUUCGCCAGUCUCCGUUUAAUCCGCAGCUCCUGCUUUGAGUUACAAAUGUGAGCAACUGCACCGGUAUCAAAUACCCAGGAGCUACUACGAGUACUGGUAAGGUACACAUCAAUUACAGGUAUAUCACAUAUACCUUUAGUGUUGCCGGCCUUCUUGUCCGCUAAGUAUUUGGGGCAGUUCCGCUUCCAGUGACUACUUCCCUUGCAAUAAAAACACUCAGUCUCGAGCUUGGAUCCAUUCUUUGGCUUCUUCCCGGAAACUUGCUUAGCGGGCGCGGCAACUCCCUUGCCGUCCUUCUUGAAUUCUUCUUACCCUUGCCUUUCUUGAACUUAGUGGUUUUAUUCACCAUCAACACUUGAUGUUCCUUUUUGAUUUCCACCUCUGCUGAUUUCAGCAUUGAAUAUACCUCAGGAAUGGUCUUUUCCAUCCCCUGCAUAUUGAAGUUGAUCACAAAGCUCUUGUAGCUCGGUGGAAGCGACUGAAGGAUUCUGUCAAUGACCGCGUCAUUCGGGAGGUUAACUCCCAGCUGAGUCAAGCGGUUAUGCAACCCAGACAUUUUGAUUAUGUGCUCACUGACAGAACUAUUUUCCUCCAUCUUAUAGCUGAAGAACUUGUCGGAGACUUCAUAUCUCUCGACCCGGGCAUGAGCUUGAAAAACCAUUUUCAGCUCUUCGAACAUCUCAUAUGCUCCAUGUCUCUCAAAAUGCUUUUGGAGCCCCGGUUCUAAGCUGUAAAGCAUGCCGCACUGAACGAGGGAGUAAUCAUCAGCACGUAACUGCCAAGCGUUGAUAAUGUCUUGGUUCUCUGGGACAGGUGCGUGACCUAACGGUGCUUCUAGGACAUAAUAUUUCUUGGCAGCUACGAGGAUGAUCCUCAGGUUCCGGACCCAGUCCGUAUAGUUGCUGCCAUCGUCUUUCAGCUUGGUUUUCUCUAGGAACGCGUUGAAAUUGAGGACAACGUGGGCCAUUUGAUCUACAAGACAUAUUGUAAAGAUUUUAGACUAAGUUCAUGAUAAUUAAGUUCAUCUAAUCAAAUUAUACAAUGAACUCCCACUCAGAUAGACAUCCCUCCAGUCAUCUAAGUGAAACAUGAUCCAAGUUAACUAGGCUGUGUCGGAUCAUCACGUGAAACGGACUAGUCAACAUCGGUGAACAUCUUCAUGUUGAUCGUAUCUUCUAUACGACUCAUGCUCGACCUUUCGGUCUUCUGUGUUCCGAGGCCAUGUCUGUACAUGCUAGGCUCGUCAACUAAACCUAAGUGUAUUGCGUGUGUAAAUCUGGCUUACACCCGUUGUAUUCGAACGUUAGAAUCUAUCACACUCGAUCAUCACGUGGUGCUUCGAAACAACGAACCUUCGCAACGGUGCACAGUUAGGGGGAACACUUUCUUGAAAUUAUUUCGAGGGAUCAUCUUAUUUAAGCUACCGUCGUUCUAAGCAAAUAAGAUGUAAAACAUGAUAAACAUCACAUGCAAUCAAAUAGUGACAUGAUAUGGCCAAUAUCAUUUGCUCCUUUUGAUCUCCAUCUUUGGGGCUCCAUGAUCAUCGUUGUCACCAGCAUGACACCAUGAUCUCCAUCAUCAUGUCUUCUUGAAGUUGUCUCGUCAUCUAUUACUUCUACUACUAUGGCUAAUGCUUUAGCAAUAAAGUAAAGUAAUUACAUGACGUUUAUGUUGACACGCAGGUCAUAAAAAAAUAAAGACAACUCCUAUGGCUCCUGCCGGUUGUCAUACUCAUCGACAUGCAAGUCGUGAUUCCUAUUACAAGAACAUGAUCAAUCUCAUACAUCACAUAUAUCAUUCAUCACAUCCUUUUGGCCAUAUCACAUCAGACGGCACAUGCUGCAAAAACAAGUUAGACGUCCUCUAAUUGUUGUUGCAAGUUUUUACAUGGCUGCUAUAGGUUUCUAGCAAGAACGUGUCUUACCUACGCCAAAACCACAACGUGAUAUGCCAAUUUCUAUUUACCCUUCAUAAGGACCCUUUUCAUCGAAUCCGAUCUAACUAAAGUGGGAGAGAUAGACACCCGCCAGCCACCUUAUGCAAGUAAUGCAUGUCAAUCGGUGGAACCAGUCUCACGUAAGCGUACGUGUAAGGUCGGUCCGGGCCGCUUCAUCCCACGAUGCCGCCGAAUCAAGAUAAGACUAGUAACGGCAAGCAAAGUGACAAUAUCCACGCCCACAACUGCUUUGUGUUCUACUCGUGCAUAGAAACUACGCAUAGACCUGGCUCAUGAUGCCACUAUUGGGGAAUGUAGCAGAAUUUUAAAAUUUUCUACGCAUCACCAAGAUCAAUCUAUGGAGUUAUCUAGCAAUGAGGAAGAGAGGAGUGCAUCUACAUACCCUUGUAGAUCGCGCGCGGAAGCGUUCAAGAGAACGGGGUUGAUGGAGUCGUACUCGUCGUGAUCCAAAUCACCGAUGACCAAGUGCCGAACGGACAGCACCUCCGCGUUCAACACACGUCCGGUUGGGAAGACGUCUCCUCCUUCUUGAUCCAGCAAGGGGGAAGGAGAGGUUGAUGAAGAUCCAGCAGCACGACGGCGUGGUGGUGGAUGCAACAGGAUCCCGGCAGGGCUUCGCCAAGCGCAAGCGGGGAGGAGAGGUGUUACGGAGGGAGAGAGAGGCGCCAAGAGCAAGGGUGCGGCUGCCUUCCCUCCCCCCUCUUUAUAUAGGGGCCAUGGCGGGCGCCGGCCCUAGGAGAUGGAUCUCCAAGGGGGGCGAAGGCCAAGGGGUGGCUCCCCCCCCCAAGCCAAGUGGGGGGCGCCCCCACCCCUAGGGUUUCCCAACCCUAGGCGCAGGGGAGGCCCAAGGGGGCGCACCAGCCCACUAGGGGCUGGUUCCCCUCCCAAUUCAGCCCAUGGGGCCCUCCGGGAUGGGUGGCCCCACCCGGUGGACCCCCGGGACCCUUCCGGUGGUCCCGAUACAAUACCGGUUACCCCCGAAACCUUCCCGAUGGCCGAAACUGUACUUCCUAUAUAUAAAUCUUUACCUCCAAACCAUUUCAGAACUCCUCGUGACGCCCGGGAUCUCAUCCGGGACUCCGAACAACUUUCGGCUUACUACAUACUAAUAUCUAUACAACCCUAGCGUCACCGAACCUUAAGUGUGUAGACCCUACGGGUUUCGGAGACAUGCAGACAUGACUGAGACGCCUCUCCAGUCAAUAACCAACAGCGGGAUCUGGAUACCCAUGUUGGCUCCCACAUGCUCCACGAUGAUCUCAUCGGAUGAACCACGAUGUCGAGCAUUCAAUCAAUCUGUAUACAAUUCCCUUUAUCAAUCAGUACGUUACUUGCCCGAGACUCGAUCGUCAGUAUCCCAAUACCUUGUUCAAUCUCGUUACCGGCAAGUCACUUUACUCAUACCAUAAUGCAUGAUCCCGUGAUCAACCACUUGGUCACAUUGAGCUCAUUAUGAUGAUGCAUUACCGAGUGGGCCCAGAGAUACCUCUUCAUCACGCGGAGUGACAAAUCCCAGUCUCGAUUCAUGCCAACCCAAUAGACACUUUCGGAGAUACCUGUAAUGUACCUUUAUAGUCACCCAGUUACGUUGUGACGUUUGGCACACCCAAGGCACUCCUACGGUAUCCGGGAGUUUCACAAUCUCAUGGUCUAAGGAAAUGAUACUUGACAUUCGGAAAAGCUACAGCAGAUGAACUACACGACCUUUGAGCUAUGCUUAGGAUUGGGUCUUGUCCAUCACAUCAUUCUCCUAAUGAUGUGAUCCCAUUAUCAAUGACAUCCAAUGUCCAUAGUCAGGAAACCAUGACUAUCUUUUGAUCAACAAGCUAGUCAACUAGAGGCUCACUAGGGACGUGUUGUGGUCUAUGUAUUCACACAUGUAUUACGAUUUCCGGAUAACACAAUUAUAGCAUGAACAAUAGACAAUUAUCAUGAACAAAGAAAUAUAAUAAUAACCAUUUUAUUAUUGCCUCUAGGGCAUAUUUCCAACACCUACGUACCCCCAAACGAUCAUAUACGGAGCCAAAACCCUAAUUCCACCGCCGCAACUUUCUGUAUCCACGAGAUCCCAUCUUGGGGCCUGUUCCGGAGCUCCGCCAGAGGGGGCAUCGAUCACGGAGGGCUUCUACAUCAACACCAUAGCCUCUCUGAUGAAGUGUGAGUAGUUCACCUCAGACCUACGGUUCCAUAGUUAUUAGCUAGAUGGCUUCUUCUCUCUUUUUGGAUCUCAAUACAAUGUUCUCCCCAUCUCUUGUGGAGAACUAUUCGAUGUAAUCUUCUUUUUGCGGUGUGUUUGUUGAGACCGAUGAAUUGUGGGUUUAUGAUCAAGUCUAUCUAUGAAUAAUAUUUGAAUCUUCUCUGAAUUGUUUUAUGUAUGAUAGGUUAUCUUUGCAAGUCUCUUCGAAUUAUCAGUUUGGUUUGGCCUACUAGAUUGAUCUUUCUUGCAAUGGGAGAAGUGCUUAGCUUUGGGUUCAAUCUUGCGGUGUCCUUUCCCAGUGACAGUAGGGGCAGCAAGGCACGUAUUAUAUUGUUGCCAUCGAGGACAACAAGAUGGAGUUUUCAUCAUAUUGCAUGAGUCUAUCCCUCUACAUCAUGUCAUCUUGCUUAAGGCGUUAAUCUGUUUUUAACUUAAUACUCUAGAUGCUUGCUGGAUAGCGAUCGAUUAGUGGAGUAAUAGUAGUAGAUGCAGGCAGGAGUCGGUCUACUUGUCUCGGACGUGAUGCCUAUAUACAUGAUCAUACCUAGAUAUUCUCAUAACUAUGCUCAAUUCUGUCAAUUGCUCAACAAUAAUUUGUUCACCCACCGUAGAAUAUUUAUGCUCUCGAGAGAAGCCACUAGUGAAACCUAUGGCCCCGGGUCUAUCUUUAUCAUAUUAAUCUCCUACUACUUAGUUAUUUCCUUUGCUUUUUACUUUGCCUUUAUUUUACUUUGCAUCUUUAUCACAAAAAUACGAAAAAAAUUAUCUUUAUCAUAUCUAUCAAAUCUCACUCUCGUAAGUGGCCGUGUAGGAAUUGACAACCCCUAUUCGCGUUGGUUGCGAGGAUUUAUUUGUUUUGUGCAGGUACGAGGGACUCGCGCGUAGCCUCCUACUGGAUUGAUACCUUGGUUCUCAAAACCUGAGGGAAAUACUUACGCUACUUUGCUGCAUCAUCCCUUCCUCUUCGGGGAAAACCAAGGCAGUGCUCAAGAGGUAGCAAGGGUUCCUUUUUGUCGACGAUCCGAUGUUUCAACCCUGUUUUCCAGGUGGCCAACGCGUCGCUAAACUUGGUGACGGCGUGUUUGUUUAUCUUCUUCAUUGCCAGGUCCUUAUCUGGAUCUUUAUUAUCCUUUUCACUGCGGUCUGGGAACAAGAUUAUCUGGUGCAGUUUCUUAAGGAGGGAGGGCCUCAUAUUAUCUAUCUUCUGUAGUUUCCCAUCGUUGAUCGUGGCAGUUGUCCGUACGAUGCAACCUAUUUGAUUGCCGUAGCACGAUCGCGCUUCCUCGGGCGCUAUUGUCUCAAAAAUACCGCCGUCCAUCUCCGUGACCGCCAGUCUACUACUCAUGAGCUGGUUUGGGCGCUGUGGCCUCUUUGCUUUCGGUUCUAGACCAGCUCCGCUAGUCUCGGCGCCUGUCUCAGUUUCAUCAUCGGUCCGCAUGUCGGUAUCAGUCCCCGAUGCGACACCACAGUUGCUGCAACAUGGGUAAGGGAGACCACGUCAGUGGUGGGGGGUCUGAAAAUCAGAACACACUUUCGCGCGUCGCGGGCCGCCUCUCAGACAGCUACUGGGGAGGCGGUGGAGUACCUGGGUGCGCGGCGAAUCCCCGGGAACUCGGUGACCAACUUCCUUCCCGUGUGGCGCAUGGAGACGACGGCGACCCCGGCGAAGAGCAGCUUAGCCGCGAGCUGCACAGCCUCGUCCACCUCCUAAGUUGGGACCUCCGCGCGAGCGUUGCGGGGCCGCCACUCGGAUGGCUUCUGGAAGGCGGUUGUACAUGGGCACAUGGUGAAUCCCGGCGAGAGCUGGCCAUUGGCGCGCGCAAGUAGACGACGAUGUCCUCGAAGAAGAGCAGCCCGGCCAGCUCGCCUCACUAUCCUUUGAUUAGAAAUGAAAGAUUGGGAAGAAGCAGACUUGAGCCUGCAGGGAAAGGAUAAGGUGACGAUGCAGUCUCCACUCGUUCGGGGCGACACUCGUACUGAAUGUAUGAGAAACGUGACGUGGCAGAGACCCCAAGAUACUCCCUCCAUUUAUUUUUAGUCUGCAUAUAAAGUUUGGUCAAAGUCAAGAUUUGUAAAUUUUAACUAACUUUAUAAUAAAAAAAUAUCAACAUUCACAAUAUGAAAUCAAUAUUACCAGAUGCGUCAUGAAAUGUAUUUCCAUACUAUAUAGUUUUGGUAUUGUAGAUGUUCAUAUUUUUUUAUAUAUAUGGGAAGUAGAGGCACUCUUCUAUAUAAUGAAGUUUAUAAUAUAUGUGCUUAUAUUGUACUAUAAUUGUUUGAAUAACUUAGCAUAUAUUCAGAUGUAUGAUAUCUGUAAUUUAAACGCUUGAAUUUUACAUAUGAAUAUUUAUUAAUAAAUAUGUACCCCUAUAAUAGCUAGGCCGUGCAGUUGCACGGGUAGAUGACUAGUGAUUACAAUCUUGCUUGUGUGCAAGUCAAGCUUAUCUAGUUUACACGUAACAACUUAUAGAACAUUACAAAAUUUAUGCUUGCUAAUAACUUCUAGAACACUACAACACUUGACAUGUAAAAGGAAUUUGAUGAGUCAUGGCCUACUAAAGCAAGUUACAUUACUAGUCUUAUCUAUCUUAACAGACCACACAAGAUUACAAACUAUGUACCGUGACAGCCAUGCUUAUCUAGUUUAUGCGUAACAAUUUGCAGAAAAUUACAAACUUAGUUUCAGAAAGAUAGGCAAUCUAGAUUAGUGUUUGAGCUGUAAAGUGAAUAAGAUGAGUCAUGCAUGUCAUCACACCUUUUUGGUGGUGGAAUGAUAGUGCAACAACAAGGAACUUUAAUGACCAGUCCAAGAAUACACUUGUAAGUAGUGCCACCAAACAGAACAUACCAAAUGAUGAUUUUGAGAAGCAUCCAAGCACUUUCCACACAAACAAAUGCCAAUUGUGAAAGAGAUCAUUCCAUGGCAGCUAUAAAUAGCCCCAUAGCAUGACGAUCAUCCUUCCUCAUCCAUCAUUCUCAUAAGUAGAGCACAUCAUUUAAGCCAAGCAAGUUGUGGUCAAUACAAAUCCACCAUGAAGACCUUUCUCAUCCUUGCCCUCCUUGCUAUCGUGGCGACCACCGCCACAACUGCAGUUAGAGUUCCAGUGCCACAAUUGCAGCCACAAAAUCCAUCUCAGCAACAGCCACAGGAGCAAGUUCCAGUGGUACAACAACAACAAUUUCUAGGGCAGCAACAACCAUUUCCACCACAACAACCAUAUCCACAGCCGCAACCAUUUCCAUCACAACAACCAUAUCUGCAGCUGCAACCAUUUCCGCAGCCGCAACUACCAUAUUCGCAGCCACAACCAUUUCAACCACAACAACCAUAUCCACAACCGCAACCACAGUAUUCGCAACCACAACAACCAAUUUCACAGCAGCAGCAGCAGCAGCAGCAGCAGCAACAACAACAACAACAACAACAACAACAACAACAACCACAACAAAUCCUUCAACAAAUUUUGCAACAACAACUGAUUCCAUGCAUGGAUGUUGUAUUGCAGCAACACAACAUAGCGCAAGGAAGAUCACAAGUUUUGCAACAAAGUACUUACCAGCUGUUGCAAGAAUUGUGUUGUCAGCACCUAUGGCAGAUCCCUGAGCAGUCGCAGUGCCAGGCCAUCCACAAUGUUGUUCAUGCUAUUAUUCUGCAUCAACAACAAAAACAACAACAACAACAACAACAACAACAACCAUCGAGUCAGGUCUCCUUCCAACAGCCUCAGCAACAAUAUCCAUUAGGCCAGGGCUCCUUCCGGCCAUCUCAGCAAAACCCACAGGCCCAGGGCUCUGUCCAGCCUCAACAACUGCCCCAGUUCGAGGAAAUAAGGAACCUAGCGCUACAGACACUACCUGCAAUUUGCAAUGUCUACAUCCCUCCAUAUUGCACCAUCGCGCCAUUUGGCAUCUUCGGUACUAACUGAGAAGAAAAUAACUCUAGUACUAGAUAUAUGAAACACCGUUUUCUCAGUCCAUGGUUUGGUCGUUGUAGCGGUGAAAAAAUAAUGUGGCAUGCACUAUCAUGUAAGAACCCAAACUAUACUAGUUCAAACUUGGGAAUAAAAGACAAACACAGGUCUUGUCUACAUAUUUAUGUCGCAUCUAUUUAUAUAUUAAAAGUAAUAUAAGGUGAACCAGGAGCAAGGUAAAUAUGCUAGAAAAUUGCACGUUAAUUAGAAAUUACUAGCCCUCAAUCCGGUAAAUCUUAACAAAUAGAAUUAUCUUGACCGUUAGAUUUAUGUAACAUAUAUAAUUCUCUGGGCCUCCAACGACUGUACGUGACACAUCUGAACGCACAUAUGUUAAAGAAAAUAUAUUUGGUAAAUGGUGGGCCUCUUUAAAAAGAGAACUCACGUACAUGCACCAACUAAGAAAAACACAUACAUGUAAACGGGAAAAGGGCUCCACCCCGUUGAAAAAAUAUACAUCUGGAGGCCACUUUGUUUCCUCAUAAAAAAAAACUUACGUUAAAAAGAUUGCAUGCAUCCCAGGGAAAAUAGUCAAGAAGAAGUCGGACUCUUCCUUACAAAAACAAGGAACGUGUUAAGUUGACUUCAAAGAAAAAAGGAACAUGUUAAGUUAAAAAAAACAAGAAACCUGUUAAGUUAGAAAAAAACAAGGAACGUGUUGUCCUAGGAAAGAUAUGUGUCAAAUCUUACAAAAAAAAGAAUACACACACGUACGUUCAUGCACUUGGAAAAUAGAAAAAAAAAGGAACAUCACGUAUGUAUACACUUCGGAAACUCAUUACAUGACCAUGUCUGAUAUACUCCUCUAAUGCUUAAUAUUAGUGCCUAAUAAUUUAUAUUUAAAAUUUAAUUUACUGAUCAAAUAUCCCCACUGUUUAAAUUUUAAUUUGGCACAUUGUUUGGCUAUAGUAUGAACCUAAAUUUCCUCUUAUUAUUAUAUAUCAUGAUAAUAAUCCAAAGGCGACUAAUCUGCGCCGGCGCACCGGCGCAAUCAAUUCGGCCCGACACAGCGCGGCCGUUUGAUUAAAUUGCAUUUAACCGUCAGAUCUAGAAUCAUUUUAUUUCCAAUUAAACGGAUUCAACCAAACAGCAGAGGGGAAAACAAAGCAGCACCGCCGCCAACACUAGUCAUGGACGACCGAUGUAGCAAAACCUUGAAGAACCGCCGCCGGUCGCCACCCUCGCCGCUGGUCGCCGCCCUCGCCGCCUGCGUUUCUCAUCGGCUUCAUGCAUGCAACAACAUGCACUCGUGAUUGCAGGCUUGCAGCUCCGGCUCCGGGGGACAUGGCCGCAUCUCCGGUAGCGCCGGCCGCCAGCCGCAGCACCUGUCGUUGUGGUCACGCUGUACCUCGCCGUGUGCCCUCCCAAGGCUCUUGCUGGUUCCAACAAAAAACGAUACCUAUUGUAGCAAAAAAGUUUAUCGCUUCCAGCAAAAAAGCUUACCGCUAUAGCCCGCCAUCAUCAUUGUAGCAAAAAUGUUAACUCGAUGUAGCUUCUGUGGUUGCCGACUGCGGCCAAAAAUGACGUGGUUGUAGCAAAACACAAAAGAAAAACGCCGGCCGUCCGCUGUGUAUGGUGGUAACAAACCCUAUAGCCGGUGGUAGCGAAAAACUUCACUGUUUGCAGCAAAAAAAUGUUGUCGCCCGUCGUCGAGGUUGCAUCAUCUUCAUGAAUUAUGUCGCAAAAAAACGUUGUCGCCGGUAGUAGCAAAUGAAGCCGCCGGUAGUAACAAAACAAGACACUGGUUCCAGCCAAAAAAAUCAGCGACAGAACCUUUUGUUGGUUCCAACAAAAAAACUUGUCGGUUGUAACAUCCCUCGCCGCCGGAUGUAGCAUCUCCCAGGGCUAGUUGCAACACUCCAUAAAAAAAGUUGUCUAUGAGCGCAUCCAUGGCAACUGCUGCACCGUCAGCAACGAGGGGAAGAGGAGGCAAUGAAAAUCGUUCGAGUCGUAGCUCCACUGGACACGGCUGCAGCAUGGGGAGUCCAAAAAUCUGUCACAAGCAAGAUGCGCCUCGCCAUCCUCCUGCGCAGGAGAGAGAAGAAAAAGGAAUAAGAGGAAGAAGAAACGAAACGGGAGAAAGAAAAAAAGAAACGAUUGGUUGUGGGCUCAGGCAAUUAGUCAAAUGAGGGGCACGCGGGGCCGUAGGAUACAGCGCAAUCGAACGAAGUGCGCGCGUCCGGCCGAAGACUCAGCUGGACUGCCGGUCCAGCUGGAAAUGUUUCCCUAAUACAAAGGCUUUUCUGAAUGACAAGUCGUCUGAGUUAUCGGCUAACUAGAAAAAAGAUAAAUAUGCUAGAUAAUUCCAUAAUAAUUAGAAAUAUCUAGCCUUUAAUUAUGUAAAUCAGAAAAUCACAACCGUUGGAUUUACUUUAAAGGUAAAUUUCUCUAAAUUCCCACCAUUGCCAGUAUGUAGAAACAUGUGCUGCUUCAAUUCUCCCUUAAUCACCAAUCAAUCAACAACUGAAAACAUACCUCAGUUAAAAAAACUGAACAAAAAAAAGAAAAAAAGAAGAAAGGACAAGAUACACGCAUGUACACGACAGCCUUGGCUUGAAACACAUCAGUAGAUCAAGUGUCCGCCUCCCUUACACAGAAUAAAUUCUAGGGAAGAAAAUAAUAGUGCAACCUAACCUUAUACGUACUAUUCUAUCCUCACGUCCCAUGAGGUUUACUAGCCUACUGCCGCCGCAUCAUGCCAUCCUCUCCUUUCAGCUCCCUCCUUGCGGCGCCACUACUCGCCUAGGGAUAUUGCUGCUCAGACCGUGGAGCUUAACCUGCUUCUUCUUCAGCAAAUAUGGAACUGCUUUAGGAUCCUUCUGACAUCAGCGCGUAUGGGCCUCAUUAUACUGCAGCUCCUGGACCUCCUACAAUUGGUUGGCUAUGGCCAGUUGAUCGAUGUGCUGAAGUCCAGGUCUGUUUGCUGGCACAUAUGCUUUGGAAAUAGGCCACUAUGUUUGUACUUCGAAAUUGUUUCUGUAUUCUUCAGUGGUACAUCCUUUUAAGCGCCAGUUUUUUAUGUUAAUUCAUGCUGACAACACUUAACCUAGCCUUUCAUGUUCACGUACUAAAUACAGGAGCAAGUAAAAACAACAGACCACCUAAUUGCUCUGCAAGUUCUACAUAGGAAAAUUUGUCAUGUUCUACGAUCGCACCAUCCCACCCUUCUCUCUUGGUAUGGGCGCCAAUUGAGGGAUUGAUAAAACUGAAACGAAGACGUCACAGGGCUGGAAGUACCGCUAGCCUGGUUCGCACUGCAACCUACCCAACGCCAUCAGAAACUAGCAACUGAGUCAGGUGUUGAUCGAUUCUCUCAAAUUGCUCUCAUGUAAGUACUACCCCUUGCAUGUGCGUACAUACCUUUGUUGCAUUCUCAAACAGAUAGAACAUGUAUGAUCGGUGCAUGGCUAUUUUUCAUCACAUGACAUCCAGAUAACAAGCAUGAAAGGACUACAUUGGAGAUCAAAAAAUAUUGGUUCCUGGCUAGAGUACCACUACCUAUGGACUUGUCUCCAUAGAAUUUGUUCCCAAGAUGUUAUUUUAAUUAACCUCUUUAGCUUUCUUCCGUUGCAAACGGUGAUGUGCAUCAUGGUAUAUACGUGACCAUCUUGCACAUGUAUACACAAGAGGCUCAGACGGAGGUGCUGGAUUCUGGACGAGGGAAUAUGAAGCAGGAGUGAGCGAAGAGUAAAUAAUGGUGGGAGUACCGAUUGGUGUUAUGAAGAAAAAUGCCAUCCAAAGAUUGAUUAGUGUCAUGGAAGAUUAAUUUCUGAAUGCGAAUAUAUAUGUUACAUUGGUUUGGAUCUUUUUGAGAUAAUUGCACCUAAAUUAGGUUCUUUCUUAUUUCAUAUGUAUACCUUAUUUCAGUAAAAGUUCACAACGAACUUAGUAGGACAAAUAUAAUUUUGUUUGUUCUUUCUGUUGUCCGCCACCAAAGCUCAGUUUGAACUCUCUAGAAAUGGACAAUGAUUUAUGCAUUCUAUAUCUUCUUGAUUGAUUAGCCAUGACAAGGAAAUAAAAGGAUUGACUGAUAUAGCAUAACUUUGGAACGAUCUGUUCGUAGAGGUUACUACAAAUUAGAGUAGUGUCUGUUGGAAUUUUGCUAGUAGGCCUUUGGCCCAAAGCCCAACUAAAAUUCUGAAAUUCUCUUCGCUCAUUCAUGCACACAUGUGAGUGGAGUGAGUGAGACUAAAGUUUAGAGAGAGUUGCACCUCUUUAUAAGGUGAGCUCUUCUACCACUUGUAUGAGCAUGAGAAGAGGAGACCUAUACACGCGCUCCUCCUCCUCGCUCACCACGUCUCGUCACGCCGCGCCGCGCCGCGGAUUGCGGGAUUGAGCCGAGCCGAGGACGUUGUCUAUAUUUUUGCUGUUUGGGAAAAAUUAAUAAGUCAUUAAUUAAUAAUUAAUGGAUGCGUUAAUUACUGAACCAUUUUCGAUUCUUUUGGAUCGUGACGACUCGGACGUGGGGUUUACUCCCACGAUCUACCCGGCCCACACUAUAUAGUCAGGCAGACGUCUACCCUAGCCGCCGCCACUUCGUAUGGUUUCUCACCACCGUUACAGAUCGUUGCGCCGCCAAGCAAGUUUUCUCCAUUCCUCCUGUCGGCAUGCACUGGGAGAAGGGACAGCAGGCCUCCGGAACCCCGCCUCUCGUGAUCCUGUACGGGAGAGGGGCGAUCAGAUUUUUGGGGAGCGCACUCGCACGACUGCUGGCAGCGACGACUUCGCAAACGACGACUUCUUCCCCGACCUCGGCAACCUCAUCCUCGACUUCUGCACCGUAUGUUAUUCUAUCCUUCUUGUUCGAGAUCGUGGUAGAAUUCAGAUUUCUAGCAUGUUCCCUAGAUGUGAUUUGUUCAUCUACUAUUCUAAUUCGCAUGAUUAGUUUAAUCUUUGCUAUUGCUGUCAUGAUCUAUUUCCUAUUUAUUCGGAUUAAAUCUCGUAGUAAUUUGCUCAUUUUUCCAACAGUGCCAUCUAAUAGAUGAUGUAAAUCUCCUCAAGUUUGACGUUGUUGAGCUAAUUUACAAAAAAAACCUCAUCAUUAUUGGAUGUCCUUAACAGCUCAAGAACAAGUUGGGGUCGAAAUAAUGGAUUUUACACUUUUACAUUAAAGGUUUAGCUAAAGCAAGCAGGUGUUUUUAAACCUGAAUUUUUUUCCUCCUGAAUUUCUUUGUAUUUUCUUAUUGACACUAUUUAUACAAUCAUCUGACAAAGAUUAGCUAAAGCUGUUUGUAGAUACGUUCAAACCUGAAAAGCUUCUUUGGUUAUCCUUUUAAUAGUUCUACGUUUAUUUUCUCAUAGGUCUUAAUUCUUAUGUAAUACCAAGAUGCAUUGUGGUAGUGUACAUGUGUUAAAUUCAGGUUGUUAUUCACAAUUUGCGACAAAAUUUAGCUCACGCUACAUUUAAAUAUGUUGAAAUGUGAAAGCUCUUUUUCUUCUCCUUUCUACACCUUGCAUCGGAUUGCAUCCCUUUAGUUAUCCAACAUUUUGUACAACAUGUAGAGAUUAGGAAGUUCAUCAUAGUUUGUCUAUUUCCGUGCUAAUAAAUGUAUGAAAUCUGCAUUUCCAAGCUACUAGGACAAGUAAAAAAUAAUAAUUUUACUAUAGGAUUCAAAAACAGCAGUUCUGAAGUGCACUUUAUUUAUUUGUGAAAGUGAUCACAUUUUGUUUCAUUUUUCUAUAGACAAAUCUACUAAUACAUACUCACGAUAAAACUAUAAAAGUUCUAGUCCGCACAUUGGGCGGGCCACCCGGCUAGUUAGUCUAAAGAUAACAAAAUGAGUCUGGAAUUUGAAUUAAAUUGAAGUAUUUUCUUGGACUAUCCACAUCCUUGGCUUGCCCCUGAUCAAUUAUUUCCAGAGAAGCAUUCAAUUCAUCAAUCAAUUACAUUGAUUUUAGUGGCUGGUACUUCUCCUCGACAUCAGUAUAUUCACCGUGGCCACUCCAAAUCGGCAAGAAUGAGGUACCAGUGCUCUGGAGCAGUGCAAGCUAAUUGCUUCUCAUGUGAAGGGGUGCGGGCGCGGGAGAGGUAUUUCUGGUGGGCCAAGGGAUAAGAAGCGACCGUGGCAGCGGUACAGACGCCCGCAAAGCCCCAUAAUUUGUUUUUGGUUUACAGGAAAAAUGCACAUCCAUACCGGCCUGGGGAAUAUAGCACUGUAUUGCAUGGAAAACCAUGUCCGGAUGGUUGUGAGCGGUUUGAGGGUUAGCUUUUGUAACGCCCGGUUAGUUAUGCUAUAGCAAUUCCCUGCUAAUGAUGUCACGUCACCACGAUUACUGUUGUUAACCUCACAAUGAUUCAAUCCCGUUCAAAUUCAAAUUUGAAAUAAAGGUAAACAUCAAAAGUUUUCAAACAUUAAAACUAAAAUCUUUGAGAGGUGACAAAUAAUGCAUAAGUAAUUAUGGUGAAGAAACCACACUUUAAUCAAAUGUUUAAAUACUCUAAAAUGAAAAAAAAACAGUGACUUAAACUAUUAUUUAAAUGCUUUUAAAAUAGUAAAAAUCUUCUAACUAAAUUAUUUGGGUACCAAACUUUUGGUGGCAGUGGUAUAUUUAGUAGAACUAAUUUAGAUGCUAAUUAUAUAAUUUACAAAAUUAGAGUAAAUUGAAAAAUAGGAUAAAACGGAAAAAGGAAAGACAAAACAAAUAAAAGCAAAAGGGGGCAACCCCUCGCUGGGCCUCGGCCUAGCUGGCCACUAGACUAGCUAGGCUGGCCCCGCCGCCUCCCUUAACCCCCCACUCCCCAUCGAACCCAAGCCCGAUCGCCCCAUUUCCCACACACCCCCUCGCUAGUCUCCCCACCUCUUGAUCCCAUCUGGAUCGGGGAGGGUAUUGCCCCCAUCAACCCCGUUGCCGUCGCCGGAUCGCCCGCCGACGUCGGCAGGCCUCCUCCCCGUCGCCCGUCUCCGGCUCACCUCCCCUCUCGCUCCUCUUCCCCGACCCGAUCUGGAUCGUGAACGAGCAAUGAGCUCGAAGCCCCCCUUCACCAGCGCCAUCACCGUGCGCCACCACCACCACCUGAAGACCUCACCGUCGCUGAACCUUGCGUCGCCUCCUUGUAUCCCUCCCCUACUCGCAUCCUCAAGCCAGGCCGAGCCCCUUCUCGGCAACGCUGUGAGACGCCCCCGUUUCCCUCCUCUUUCCACCGCGUUCACCGCGCCGCCCGCCGUGCCCCUCGCCGUGCAUGAGCCCACCACCGCACCAGCCCCCGCUCCGCGCACGACCCUACCCGCGCCCGCGCCAUGAUCCCCUUUUCCGCCCUACCUUCACGCGCUCGCCGCGAUCCCCAUGCUCCCCCGCGCCCUCUUUCGGGGGCGCCGACUGCCCCUGUCCCGGUGCUCGCCGCCGUGCCUCGCCACCGCUCUACUGCUACGUUACUACUGCGCUGCGGCCGCCGCCUCUUCCCGCUGCUCCGCUAGCGCCGAAGCUCCCGGUUGGCUCCACCACUGCUCACGUUAAACCGCCGGCCUAAAUGGCCUAACCCUCGGCUAAUGAACCCCCACUAACCCACUGACACCGGGACCCACAUUCCCUAAUUAACCAUUUAAUAAAUUAACAUUAGUGUAUGACAUGUGCGUCCCCUGUUAAUUAAUAAUUUUACUGCUAGUUUUAUUAGUUUCUGUUUUUCUGCAUAUUUCUUUUGUAUUUGAACAGGCUUUAUACAAUAAUAUUUAGCGUAUCAUACACAUACAAAUGUAAUCAUAGCAUAUACAUACAAAUAGUCUCAUCAAAUCAUGUCAUCAUCAUAAUCAUCAUCCAUCACAAAGUGGUCUCUGGUCAUCAUCUCGAAAAUAGCGAUACAAGUCUCGAUUACUUGCAACUACAUCGUCAUCCAUCUAAACAAUGAUAUACACGAGAAGAGCUCUCACUAUGAGUGAGAGCGGAACUAUGCAGUACAUGAGUUUGUAUCCCUCUCUCGCAUUAGCGUGAACCUAAACUAACGACUGGCUGUUGCUCGGAAACCGGAAACCGGUACACCUGGGCCUGACACUCCGGCCACUCAUCGUAUACUCCUGGCGUAGCACUUCUUCGCCAUCGAUGAUCUAUGCACCUGCAUCGUCACAUGAGUCGAUGAUAUGCAACAUAUAUAGUUGAGCAACAGAAAGAGACAGACUUGGCAAAAAUAGAAGCAACAUAUCACAAGUAUAAAUAACAAAGUUAAUGUUUUGCAGGAUUACAACUCAACCCAUUGCAGAUUAGAAAACAAGCCCGUAUGAAUGCACAGGCUGACGACUAGUCUAUCUAUACCUAUACCUAUACCUAUACCUAUACCUACCUAUACUAAUUACAGACUCCCAAGGAAUUCCCACGUUAAUUAGUAAUUAGGAGUCGUUAAUCUUGUGGGACCAAAUUAUUACGACAGUCCACGAUCUCUUUUCUCUCUGUGUAAAAAAAGGUCCACGAUCUCUUUUCUCGGUUGUAAAAGAUAAAGGCAACUCAGGUCCACGAUCUCUUUUCACGGUUGUGAAAGAUAAAGACAACUCCCGUCUUCUUCUAAUCUAUAGUUCUAUACCUCCACGACCCCUUUCUCUCCCCAUUUAAAAGGAACAAGCUGAACCAAUAUCUAAGCAUGCAAUUGGUUCCUGUGCGGUCUUGACCUUCCAUCCGUCCACUGCUCGAUCGGCCCUCCCUCAACUACAAGCUGACAAGCCACCAUCGCCAUCCAGCGGCACGCCACCGUUCAUGCAUGUGUUUUUGCCCUUCAAUCUGAAGGAGAUGCGUUGGCUACUCAAGUAACUCUGUUUGUUUUGUUCAAACCAAUUUCGUUAAUUCGGUUCUUUGAUUAUCUAAUUGACAUGGCCUGUGAGUUUUGUGCUAGUGAUACAGGGCCUGUCUACUAGAUUCUCUCCUUGCAACUUCUAUUGUUGUCUCGAUUUGGUGUGGUCAAGAUCCUUGCCCCACCACAAGCAGCACCUUUGCACCAUCGGGGAAAUCUGUCAUAGCAAACAGAGGUAUGUAACAUGCUUUGGUGUUUUCCUCUUUCGUUUAGAUCACUAGAGUUGCUCAACCACACCAUUCAUUGAUUAGUAGUUGGCCUGAGAAGUUGCUCGGUCACCUGCAGCGUCUGAUCCCCUUCUUGACCCUCUCCUUCUGGUCAUUAUCCACCGGCAGGUCAAUGCAAAACGGAUCGUUCGUUGCCGCCACCUUGCGGAGACCGAUGUUUGGCUGCCCUCCUGCCAUCCUGGCACUCUGGUACCGGUCACUGUGCCGUUGUUCUAGAAGAACUAUGUCACACGAAGCGAGAUAUCUUCUUACUAAUCUGGAACAUAAGUGUUUCUUCUUACUAGGAUUCGCUCACCGGUGCAUUCAUCUCUUUUUGGAAAAUACGGCCUUCAUAUUUCACACGCCUAUACAUGGGUGCUGUCCCAACAAUAAUCCAUCUAAUCCAUGAUGCACAUUCAUGAAGACUGAUGUGACUGAAUUAAUAUAUCAAUCUGGUGCUUCCGGAUCAGCACUUGAAGAAGCAACCCCUUUAGUUCAUAAAUUUAUCAUACGAAAGUCAGGGGAAAAAUCAACUAAGUCAUGUGUGCUUUUCUAAUUAAUUACUAUACACUAAUUCCAUUUUUUUCAGUAGCAGGCUAGGAUACGUGGAUUGUGGCAGCACAGAAGUAAACCGAUGAGCUACAUUGGCCGUUCACCAGUCAUCGGAUCAGAAGCCAUGUCGACCAGAGGGACGGAACAGUUCUAUAUUAGGCGAUGGAUACAUGUGGAAGCAACUAAGCAUAUGUGGAUGCAUGUGAUCGCAUAGGUAAGGCCAUAGCUGUUCAAGCCCUACAGGAUCUUUAUUGCUGGUUUUAAUUAUGAGUUUACAACACCAUCUAUACAUACUACUUAUCCAUUUAUUUCCUUACCUUCUUUGUUUCUUUCUCUCCUUGAUCCCCUGUCAAAAGGGCAUCAACAUCCAUAUGCGCAACGGCACACGCAACAAACUAUGACUUCGGUUGCACGUCCAAUGGCAACCACAGUACAUGAUGAUAUCAUGUUUGCUGCAAGACGAAGUACAAGUUCAUAAUUUGGUCUUUUGCAUGGUCCCUUAGUAAAUUAUAUUUGUCCACAUACACCACAUACAUAAAAACAGGUAGAAGCGGUUGCAUGAUGAAAAUGUCCUCUCAAUAUGCAUGCCUAUGAAUACUAUCACCAGAAAGCCAAGGACUAACAAUUAUUCAGGGGUCAAGAUUGAAGACAGACGUCCAAGAUUGGCAGUCGGCCGGCCUAAGAGGGGCAAAACCGUUGUACAUUAUAUUGUAUGGACCUAGCAAGAUCCUAAAGAUAAGUGAUAAUGGAGAUCAUGGGGGCCACCCUUAUAACCAUAUGUCCAAAUGUUCUUAUUUGUUUAUUUUUCUUUUCUCUUUUCGGAAGAAUCCAUCCUGCCUCUAUGGUCAUCCUGACCACUUCGUAUUGUUAUCUAAUCUCCUCCCUUAAUUAAUAUAAAGAAUUACCGCAGCUGAAUUCACUAAAAAAAGUAUUCAGUUUAUUUUAAUUUAUUCAACUAUUAUGGCAUAUCAAUUGGAUUGCAAGUUCUUGGCGGUUGCAUUUGAAUCAUAUUUGAUGUGCACAAAGGCUUCAGUGUCAAGGUGGUCGGACGAGUAUUUAUGUCCAUUAUAUAUGUGUUAGCUUGAGAUCAUCAGGCACCUGUUAUGCAUCUGUCCAGUUAAAAGGAUGUUCAGACUCAGGCUUGCCCUACCAUAUAUGGCUGUGACACUCUGAACCAAGCAAGUUGGUCAUAUGUGUCGAGCACUAUUAACUCUUUGGAAGAGGAUCCACCAAGUACAGGAAACAAAUCAAAUAUCUUCUUAACCUUAUCACCAGAAAAAUUAGCAAGAGAUGAAUAGUAACAUUUUAAAGAAGAAAGAUAUGUUUGAAAAGGGAUAUAUAUUAUGGCGACGAUUAGAAGAGCCCUUGACGAAUGGUGCCUAGCCUGCGAAAGUUUCUUAUGAAUAUAGUCAACACUCUAUAUCAACUGUUGUAAGAUUUUAGAAAUAUUUUUGGGGACAUAUGAUACAUGUCUAUUAUACAUAUGAUUCAACAGAAGUUUGAUUGAAUACAUAUUUAAAACGUGACUGACUUCUAUAUGGACGGAGUAUUUCACAAAGGACUCACUGCCAACUGUGUGAAUAUUCCAAGAUAGUUAGUGCACAUAAAUGUUCAAAUCCAUAGCCUGCAUAAAUAUACAAAAGCAAUGUGUUAGACCACUACACAUGCUUCUGAAAGGAGGCAAAAAAAUGUAUGCUUGAUUGAUGACCGUUCAUGCAUGAAAUUAAUUUCUGAUUUCUAAUUAUUUUGGUCAUAUAAUGGAAAUAGAGACAUUAUAAAGAUCCAACAGCAUGCUAUCACACACGUGUGAACACAGACACACACAAAUAACAUUUGCCGAGCACUCACAAAUAAAAGGUGUGGCUACUCUUGGGUGUUCUACAGCUGGCUUAAAAAAACACGUAUGAAACAUGAUCCCCAAAAAUCUGAAAUUCGCAACAUAUGAAAAUCCACCCUCAAACAUAUUUCUGGUGUCUCAAUUCUUUUAGUUUCAGAUGGUAUGUCCAGCCAAAGUAGUUGUACACAUACAUUACUAUGUUCUAUUAUUUGAGAUUCUAAGACAACAUUUAGUAACUAGCCCGUGCGAUGCACGGGUUCACGACUAGUAUAUAUAAAGCUUAAUGGUGCCUAAGAAAGCUCGCACAAUUUUACAGUGGCUGUGGAGAUGUGUUGCCAAACUGAGACAUAAGAUUUUCGUUUGGCAUCCAGAGUUGCAGACCGCUUGUGUUAUCCUUAAUCCAUGGCCACUCUAAUUUUUCCGGCUGGGCCUUCCCUGUGGUACGGCAGCAAGGCUUGCGUGUGUAUAUGUUUCCUUUAACUACCACUAGCACAUAUGCCCGUGCGUGCGUUGCAAGGGGAGAGAUAAUGGCGUAUCCACCAAUAUAUCUAGCAGCAUGACCCAACAACAUCCGAAUGAUGUCACCCGACGACGGCAGGAAGGCACACACAGAGGUCUAGUAAAAACUCAACAAUUGUACGGGCAUGGUUAAUUCGCGUGAAUUCAAGGGUGUGAGAUUAGUUAGUGUUGGUCCCACAAUUGAAUUCGGGGGCUGAUUAGUUAGUGUGGGCCCACCCUUGAAUUCACCGGGGGAGACAAAAUAAUUAGGGUGAGGAGAGAUUUACGGGGCUUGGUCCCCAGAUGCGUUGCGGCAGUCAUUAUUCGAGCAUUGCAAUGCUCGCACGUGAGGAGCUCUUUUUCCAAUUGUAUAUUGAGAAGCAUUGCUACAGAUACAAUGUUUUUGAUACGUUUUUGUACGAUGAUCCUGAUCUUAAAGGGCCUUCUAAUUUUUAAAUCUUAAAGGCAUUAUUUGUAAGUUGUCGUGAAAAAAAUCUCGCUAAAAGGGUUAUGUUAGACCAUCUUCAGUACAUUAGAAAUAACGAAUUAUAAUUCCUUGGCAUUUGAACAAACAAUCCCUACUUAUUUACACAUACAAUACUUUUGGUAUGAUUUUGAAAUCUUGAAGGCAUUAUUUGUAAGUUGAAGCAAUUUUGAAAUCUCACUAAAAGGUCUGUUAGACCAUCUAUAGCUUUAGAAAUAACUAAUUAUAAUUUUGCAAAAAAAAGAAAUAACUAAUUAUAAUUCCUUAAGCAUCUGACCGAAACGACCCCGAUUUAUUGUCUGGGUAGUAAUUCCUUUGCAACAUUAUUCUCUCCUUUCUUGAAGGAACUCUUGCCUGGGUAGUAAUUCCUUUGCCCACGUAUUUGCAAGGUUAUUCUCUCCUUCAUUUUUACAGGAGCUCUCCUUCCUUAUACUAAUUGGUCAUUAUCCUCUCCUUCCUUUUUCUUUUUGCCAAACUCUCUUUCCAUAUUUAUGCCGCUAACCACGCCACUCUUUUUCCUUAUUUAUGCCCUUUGAUCACGCCACACAUCUCAUGAAAUCUAAGCCAUAUAUAUCACCCAUCUUUUUUCCUUAUUCCGGUGCUUUCCUCACAAACAGUAGUUCUCUAGGAUGCUUAACGAUUUUGAAACAGAAACAUAUAUAAAUCGGUAGAACGGGUUGUAAAGCAGCGAGGUGGUACUAAUUUAUAAAGAAACAAACCUUUUCUUUUUGUGUAAUGAUGCCUUGGUUCGGCUGGUUGCGUUGGGAAAAGGACCGGCGAAGUGGGCGAACCAAAAACGGAUAAAAUUACGGUGGUAAGAAGCGAUAGCCCUUUUAUUAGUAGGUAUGAGGAUGUCUAGGAUGUCUAGGAUGAGGAUUUACUGCACACAAGUGCGGGGGCACUCAGGUCCUGAUGCCGCCUUUUUAUUUUGGCUUCCGAUUUUCAAACUUCUAUAUCUUUUAAACAAAAAAUUCAAUUUAAGUUACGUUUUCAUAUUCGUGCUUCUCGCGGCCAGCGCUUUCAAAUAAGAUCCAUUUUGCAUACAUUUUGGUGGCUUUUGGAAACGGGCGAAUAGCUCCUAUGCGACGUUGUUGGUGUGUAUUGUCUCUCAUGCGACGUUGUUGGCUGUAAUAGCUCUCAUGCGACAUCUGCGUUGGAAAAAAUAGCUCCCAUGCGACACACCAUUUACGCGGCUAGUUGGCUGUUAGUUAGGCUGAGGUUUGGUUAGGACACUGGGGGUUAUGUGCUCUGACUGGUGGGGUCCACCUAUGGUCACGUAGACAAGAGUCAACCGUCCACGACUCGACCUGGGACUGUGUGACCGUGCUCGACUCACCCGUGCUGGACUGAGUGAGCGGUGCCGCCGUAAGCAUCUUCUCCGACAGCGGUUUCUUCUCCGCGGUGGUGGAGCGCAUUUCUCGGCAGCGGCAGAGCUAUUGCGAGGUGAGCCCGAAACCCUAGUCCCACUCCCCAGAAUUUUGGGGGAUCUGUGGCCUCAUGCUGCCCUCUGUUUCUUGGCGAUUUAGAAUCGGGCUCCAUUGGAUCCGGGGGUUGUUUCUUCUCCGUGGCCCGGUGGUGGAGCGCCUAUCUCUGUAGCGGCUAUUGCGAGUGAGUAUUUUCCAAACACUACUCGCAUUCCACUAAAUUUUGGAUAAAUCUGUGGCCUCAUGCUGCCCCUAUUUCUUGGCGUUUUAGAAUCUCGAUUGGAUAGGAGAUGGAGCGAGGGCUGGAUGAGAUGGAGCGAGGAGACAGUGCUUCAAAUCGGUAAUGCCACACUCUUUUCUUGGCGAUUUAGAAUCGAACUCGAUUUGGUAGUGACUGCCGCCGCUGCCUGCCAUUGACAAAACAGGGGAGGUUCAAGUUCUGCCACCACAUUCACAAUUAUAGUGGAAUUUUUUCCCUGUAAAGCCAAGCUCAGUGAUGGCAGUGUCCAAGACAUUGAUAGAGAUACCACCGUGAGGUUCGAUGUCGAAUUUGCAGAUGUUGAUCCCCAGGAAUUGGAGAGCAUGAAGGAGAAGGCCGUGGGCAAUUUGGUGGAGAGAAUUGGGGAGAAUAUUGUUUGGGGUCCAGAACAAGAGGUAUGUCUGCAACGUUUCGAUAACUAUAAUGGUGAAUAUGUGAGAAUUGAAGAUGGAGAAUCCAUGGUUGCUGAAAUUGAUCAGCAAGAAGGGUGGGCAACUAAACAAGUAACAUUUUAUGCAGAGCUAAUUGAUCUACAAACUCAUUCCAGAGUUGGUUAUGUGCAAUCAAAGAGGGCUGCACAGAUGGAAGAUGAUGAGUGGGUUUCACAAAAGAAGAUGUUGGCAUUGUUGACUGAACCGACUGUAGUAGCUGAAGAUACAGGGAUUGAUGCAGAUGGAGAGGAGGGAACCCAUGGUGCUAGGAAGAUUGUUGUUGACUGGAAUGUAGUAGAGUUGAAUGAAAAAACAGAUUUGGUCAUUACACCAAUAUCUGACAUUGAUAUGGCCGAAAUGUUUGGCAUUCAAGUUGAUGACAAAGAUAAGGAGAAGGAUGACAGUUCUUUGCCUGCUGAAGGAACAUAGGCCCUAGAAAUGCAAAUGAGGAUGAAGAACAGCUGAUGAGAGAGGCUGCAGAUGAUGUGGAUGAUGCAGAUGAUAAUGAGUUGGUUUGUUUGUAUGACAAAGAGAACCCAGUUAUUGAGGUGGGAAAGUUGUGGCCAAGCAUGAAGGAGUUUAGGAUGUCUUUCAGGACCUAUGCAGUGAAAAAGAGUUUGAUGCCAAGACUAUGUGGACUGAUUGAAAGAAAUUUUAUGCUCGGUGCAAAGGUUAUGAUGGUGGUGGCAAUCCUUGCAAAUGGUACUUGUCUGCCAGACUACAACCUGAUUGAAGUACAGUAAGGGUAAAUCAAAUACCACACCAGCAUACAUGUAUGACCACUUCACAGAGAGUUUCAAAGAUGACAUCACAGCUUUGGGUUACAGAGAAGAUUACUCCUAUUUUAGCCAAGACUCCAAACACUACUGCAAAGAGGCUUAAAGUUGACUUGGAGAAGCUGUACCCCAUCCAGCUGCAAUAUACCACAGUGUGGAAAGCAAAACAAAGGGCCAUGAAAUCAUUGUAUGGUGACUGGGCAAAUACAUUUAGGAUGUUGUAUAGUUUUAAAGCAGAGGUGGAGAAGAGGUCACCUGGGAGUGUGGUGGAGAUAGAUACAGAGGUAACAGAGGAUGUCAUGGUUUUAUUCAGCAAGUUUUUUAUGUGUUUGAAGCCAUGCAUAGAUGGAUUCAAAGCAGGUUGUCGUCCAUAUUUGAGCAUAGACUCAUCUUUUUUGACUGGAAAGUGGAAUGGUCAGUUGGCUGCAUGCAAUGCUCUAGAUGGACGCAACUGGAUGUUCCCAAUUGCAAUAGGAAUGUUUCAAUCAGAGACAGAGGCAUCAUGGAUAUGGUUCAUGAUGCAACUGAAAAGAUGUAUAGGGCCAGUUUCUCCUUUAGCCAUCCACACAGAUGCAUGUAAAGGGUUCGAAAAUGCAGUAAAAAAUGUUGUCCCCCAUGCUGAGCAGAGGGAGUGCUUUGGACAUAUGUGGAUGAAUCUGAUAAAAAAAUUAGAGGAGAUGAAUUUGGGCGCAUGUGGCCAGCAGCAAGAUCCUACACCAGACAGACACAUUCCUAUCACCUUGGUAAGAUAUUGGCAUCAUGUAGUGAUAAUGAAUUUGCUUCAUGGUUGAACACCCGCCAUUCUCUGUUGUGGUAUAGAUCAGGUUUUAAUACUGCCAUAAAAUGUGAUAAUAUCAAUAACAACUUGGCAGAAAGUUUUAACAACAAAGUGAAGGAUUUGAAAGACUUGCCUGUGCAUGACAUGGUGGACCAAAUAAGGAUCAUGAUCAUGCGUUUGUGGGAGUUGAGAGGAAAAAUUGCUAAUAUUUUGGAAGGGGACAAGCUUCCAGCAGUGGUACAAUAGGUGGUCAACAGGAGUAGAAAUCUUUCACAUCUAUCUGUUGAGAAAUCUUCCUUGUGGGGUGCUGAAGUUAGAGAUACAAAGAGUGGCAAGAGGCAUGUGGUAAAUACUGAGUUGCAUGAGUGUACUUGCCGAGAGUGGCAACACACUGGAAAACCAUGUGAGCAUGCCAUACUUUUUUUGGCAUCUAAACCCAGGUUAAAUAUGCACCCAUAUUUGCAUGAGUAUUAUUCAGUACAAAAAUUCAAAGCUGCAUAUGCAAGUCCAAUUCCUGCACUGACUGACCAAUCUCAGUGGCCUGAGGUGGAAAUAGAAUUUACCUUGUGUCCCCUGUCACUAGAAGAAAGGCUGGGAGGCCUAAACAGAGCAGAUUCAAAGCUUGGUUUGAGAAAGGUGGUUGUAGUAAGAAGGGGAAAAAAGAAAAGAAAAAGAAUGAUAAGCCCAAAAGGGCUCAAAAAGGUAAGAAAAAUAGGUGCAAGUUGUGUGAGGUACUUGGGCACAGAAUUGGUUCAUCCAAGUGCAUCUAUACUCCUCAGAGGACAAAGUAUGUUCAUGUUACUGUUUUUACAAGUUUUUGAUUUUGUUACUUGUUCUAGUAUCUAACCAAGUCAAAUGCUUUAUUUUUUAGGAGGAAGCGUGCAGAAAAAGCCCCACCUCUUGUUGUUGAACAAUGCUGGCCAGUGAAAAAAGCAAGACUCAAUGGCUAUAUAGAAGGAAGAGCACUAAGCAGAUAAUGUUUGGUGACAAAGAUAUGGAGCUAACUGAAACUGUUACUGCUGAACAUGAGCUAAGUGUUUCUGUUUUGGACGAUGUGAUGCAUACUGAAUCUGUUUUGCAGACGCUAGGGCAAUCUGAAACUGUUGCAGAUGAAGCAACGGUUGUGCUGCCAUGCGAAUCUGCUUUGACAACUGUGUUGCCAUGUUUGGAGGUUGUGCUGCCAAGUGUUGAGUUGCAAACUGAAGUAGUUGAACAAUUUGUGCCAUCUACUCAAUCUGCAGAAGUGCAAACUGAAGAAGUGCAAACUGAAGAAGUGGGACAUGGUCAGGUGAAAAAGUUGAGGGGGCCUAGUGGAGUUUGCAAGGGGCCAAAAAGCAAGAGCAUCAACAUCAACAAACUAUGCGCCGUGGAACCAAACGAUGGAAAAAAGCAGAAGAAAUCGAGUGGUAGAAAGAAGCAAAAGAAAUAGAGUCGAAAUCAUUCAAAUUUGAUGUGAAAACUUAAGUUUGUUGUCAUUUGAUGUGAAAACUUAUGUUCUUUCAUGUGAAAACUUAUGUGCUAUGAUGUUGAUUUGACUUGAAAUAAAAUUCAAAUUUGAACCGACAUUCAAAUUUGAACCUAUCUCCAAAUUUUUUUGAGUUCAUUUGUUUGUUCUGUGAUGUUGCAUCGUUUUAUGUACUACUAUGCACUUUGUGAAGUCCAACUCAUAGUCACUGAAAAUGCUGUACAAACAGGCUCCAAAGUAAGGGAAAACGGCCCCAUUUCUAAGCAAGUUUUUUUCGAUCUUCUCAAAAUCACCCAAAAAAGAUUUUCUUAGCUUAUAUUAUACCUAUAUAGGAUCAAUACAAAGUCUCACCUUUUUUGAAUAAGUAUUCAUAUUAUUUAAUUUAUUUUUGAAAAAACACCCUUUAAUACAAAGUCAGCAAUAAAACAAGUUUAAAAAUUUUAAAUGCAAAAAUAACUUCAGAUCCUCCUUAGUCACUCUAAAAUGAAGCUAAGGUGAUGUUUUUUGAUUUUUUUGCAUUUUCAAAACCUCAAACCCUCUUCUCACUCCUUUGAACUCUAUGCAACCUCAGUCGAGAUAGUCCAAUUUGUGAAGGUUUUUUCAUGCAAAGAUCAUUAGAUCAAGUUUAUCAUUUUAUAUCAUAACUAUGUAACAUAAAAAGGCUAUAUGCGCAGGUUUUUCAUUUUUUAGAUUUUUUUGAAUUAGUUAUACACAUUUGAAUGUUCGGUCAAACCUUUCAAAACCCCGUUGACUGCCUCAAAACCCCAUGUAACCCUAGCGCCAAACGUCCACCGUCGAUCUAACCCUAACGCCAAACUGCGGCCGUCGGAUGGGACUUCUAGAAGGAUUCCGCGGGGGCGAUCCAUGGGCUCCAAUCUGAUUGGCCAUUGUUUUUUCUCUCUGACGAACAGAUAACGUUGAGCGGGGGAGCAUCUAAGUGACCGUUGGGCCGAGUGGAUUGGGCCUGGCAAAGCCUGGCGUGCGUGCACACGGCUGUUGAGAGGGGGGAUGGGCUGCAUGCGAGCGGGUCAAUGACAUGUGGGCCAUCCUUGUCCCAUGCAUGCCAUGCAACGUCGCAGCCUAGCUAUUCUUUGCUCGUGAAAGCCUAGCCAUUUGCAUGCGGGCUUGCAUGCACGCAUCGACGCAGAGUACGGCAAGGGUGCAGCGUAUAGGUACGUCGCAUCUAAGCUAUUUUAACAAAUGCAUGUUUGAACGAGAUGGACGCGUCGGUGGUGCAGCUCCUUUUUCAGUGUCACGCGCGGAUGAACGGGCCUGUUUCCCAUGCGGCAUCACCGCCGAUGCAAGUGCCCGUGCCUCUUUGGAUGCUCUGGCCGCCGUUUUUUGAAUUAAUGCCCGCAAUUACUUAUGCCAUGCGAACGGAGAAGAGAAAAAGAUCGAGAAGGGGCACCGUGUACACAUUGACCAUGGUUGCAAUGCGGCUAUAAAAGGGCACCAUUUCCUCAUCCUCUCACACUCAUCUCUCAAGCCUCCUCCCCUUCUUCUUUUCGAGCCAAAUCCACCACUCGAGCCACCAUGCAGUUCAACGGCCCUACCUACCGUCGCCCUUGCACCGUGCCGGAGAGGCAGUACCCAGCCGGAGUCGUCGUGGAGAACAGCCUGAGGGUGUGGGCCAUCUCUAGGUGGAGGGGCCCUAGAGAGUUGGCUCGCUUCUUCCUCCAAGCUGGCUACCGCCACCUCCCUCCGGGCACUCCGCCCAUGUUCCACCUCCACGAGCAGUACGAUGGCAAUGCCGGCCCCGACGGCUUCGUCAUCGGCCUCUAUGUCACCUUCACCAACCCCUACGACGCUCACCACCUCCCCGGGGAGGUGUUCUGGUGUGGAUGCGAGUUUAUCGCGUUCACGACCUACAACAUCUUCACCAACUUCCACCACAUCUUCCCUCACCACAACGGCAUGCACACCCUCCCCUAUCAGAUGCCGGAGGACGACGAGUGAGGGGCCCAAGGAGGAGGGUCCAAGGAGUGGCAAGGAGGAGGGGCCAAGGAGUUGUUCAAGCGGCGAGUCUUCUAUCUAUCUAGUUUGGGGCUCUAGUUUGUGUUUGUGUUGGUUCGGGCGUGUGUGCCCGUGUCUUUUAUAUAUCUAGUUUUAAUUAUUUUACUUUCAUGUUUUAUGAACUAUAUGUAGUGGGGGGAUGCCCCUCUAUAAGUUUUAUCUAUCUAUGCUACUAGGGUACCCGAUGCCCCUCUAUCUAUCUAUAUGUUUUUUCGGUCCUAAAGUUUCUCCAUUGCAUUUUAUUUAUGUGGCCAUGUGUACUAAAAAACAAUUGAUCUGGUAUCUAAAAUGUACGUUACCAAGAAAUUGACAAUAAAGAUUAUAUACUGUACUACAUAAUCAUACAGUUGGUAUACAAUGCAUUUGAAGACAAUGGGCAAGAAAAAUGCUAAUUAUCUGGUGCUGGUGACAUGCGUAAGUGUUGUCUGAUGUUUAAAUCAUGCUUGCUAUGUCAUUUUUUGCUGCCAAACAUGGCAUUAGCGAGAAAGGUCAUUUGGGCACUGAAUGUAUUAAAGUAUACACCAUAUAUAAAAAUGUCUAGCCAAAAGAUUUGGGUGUACAACUGUACACCAAUGACCAAGUAUGGAUCCGCCCCUGGUUGUAAGGGGAUGCCCCUCUAUGUUGUAAGGAGAUGCUACUAGGGGCACACUAGAUGUCUUCUUUUUUUGAGAGAGGCACAACCUUUUUCGGUUGAAACACACGAGUAAAAACUUUGAAAACACCAUAGCACAAGUAAAAAAAUAUAUUAAGAAAUGGUGCUUGGUUGAAAUAAACUAGAACCAAACAAUUGCAACUUUCUUGGUUCACAAAGACUGCUCAAAUAAUUAUCUCAAAUAGCUUAUGCAUAAAAAUAUCUCAAAUAAUUAUUAGAUGAGUUAUCUCAAAAAAGGUGACUGCAGGAAACUUAAAAUUUGUGAAAUGAUCUAAAGCCGAAAAGAUAUAUCGAUGAAUUAUCUCAAAUAGCUUAUGCAUAAAAAUAUCUCAAAUAAUUAUUAGAUGAGUUAUCUCAAAAAAGGUGACUGCAGGAAACUUAAAAUUUGUGAAAUGAUCUAAAGCCGAAAAGAUAUAUCGAUGUCAAUGACCGUGUGCACUUUUUUUGCACUCCUUUUAUCAAUGGGCCUGGAUAUGUUCUAUUCGGCCCUGCCUAACUUCUAUAUGGGCCUGGCCUUUUCGGGCAACUAUGGACGAACCUUUUUUUUCCUUUUCUCCCUCUACCACUGAAACUGAAACUGAUGACGAACUGAAGAACUAAAAAACGGGGCCGAAACAGAGUGGAGAGGACAUGCUGAAUUCGUACAACGCAACACUUUUAUUCAAAUAUACAUAUCAUUAGGAUUACAAAUGAUGCCCAAUCUAUUCACUUACGACUAAUUAUCAUCACAUAAACAAAUGCGAGAGCAAUUACACAAACAUAAAAAAGUCCGGCCAUCAGCCCCAUCAAAUUGCCCUGCUUCUGCAAUUUGAUGAGUUUCUUCAUCUGCUUGUUUAGCUUCUUCAGCUCUGCCGUCACUACUGCAUCCCCCACAGUAGCCCCAAUGGAAUGGGCACAUCCAGGGGCCCCAGAUCCAGAAGCGCCCGAUCCAAACUUGCCCAACUUCUCCACCUCCAGCGGUAAAUCGAGCUCCCCUGAUGCACCCUCCAGUUGAAUCCGCUCUAUGUACUCAUUUAGCCACUCAAAAUGGGUGCAUUGCUUCAAUUUCUGAAAUUGGAAAGAUGAACCCUAAAUCCCAAAUCCGAUGAAAAAUGGGGAAAAAUUGUGAUAUGAAAUUGGGAUACAAAAACCAAAAUUGGCAUAUUGAGAAGUAAAAUCUCACCUUUCCCUGCUCUGGUUUGCUCUCGCAUUUCACGAAUUCCCGCCCAAGGUUGCCAUUCUUGUCGGUCGUUGUGACUAGCCGCUUCAGGGGUGUGAUACGUGGGCCUGCAGGGCACCUUGUCAUGGGCACUGCGCCAUAGCGCGGCCAUGAGCGGCGGGAGGCUGAAGCGGAGCUCGACAUUGCUAGGUCGCGGCCCGGAACGGCGUUGCUGCGCGUCGUCGCCGGAGAAGAAGAACAACAACGGUCGGGGAGGGGGGGUGGGGGCGGGGGCGAGGAUGGGCCACGGCUCGGGCCACGGCUCGGUGUCCUCUUGUACCAAUGCUGACCUGGAUAAGUUAGUGGGUCCCACGCAGUGGGUCCCGCUCACCUGACCAAUGCUGAGUUGGAUAAGUUAGUGGGUCCCGCGCUGUGGGUCCCGCUCACCUGAUUCGAGUUUUAAACAUGUGUCUUUGGAUUAGACAGCAGUGUCGCAUGGGAGCUAUUUUUUCCUAUGCAGAUGUCGCAUGAGAGCUAUUACAACCAACAACGUCGCAUGAGAGACAAUACACACCAACGAUGUCGCAUAGGAGCUAUUCGCCCUUUGGAAACAUUGCUAAGUUUCAUUGUUUGAAACUUAGUACGAGCGACCGAUAAAAUUUAAUUAUUUUGUGUCUACGACCAACAGGAGAAAUUGCUUAAAAUUACAUCUUUGAAACUGGUCAUUUUUUGAUGCAAAAAUGUAAGUUUCAUCAUUGAAACUUAAGGGCAUGUCCAAUGCUGGAUGCUUAUCCAGGCGCUUAUCGUGUGGAAAAAAAAAAUGCCACGAAGUUAGCUCUCGCUUGUCCAACAGCCAAUGCUAACAACGGGCGCUAACCACGGCUGGAGCUAUAGAUUAGAAAGAAAGAUCUGGUUCACUUGUACGUGAAAAAAGGAGCAAGCGCUCGAUGCCUUGCUUUGCAUCGAUGCCAGACUGAGGUGCUGGGAAUCGACAAGAUAACCGCCAAUCUACCAGGAUUAAAUUCCUAGCGCCUUCUUCUAGCGCCUCCCACUGAAAAUGCCCUAAAGGUUUUUGAGGGAUUUUUUUACUGUGUCCUACUUCACGUAUCACGAGGCAAAUCAAGUAGGCGGCAUGGCCUGGCCGGUGAGUGCCAUUGCACUUACUUGCCCCAGCGAUUUUCCGCCUGCAUUGUAGAAUUCUUUCUCCGAGUCCUGUGAAUUAAAGAUGGUGCAGACAAAAGUAUAUCCUAUAUGCGUACAUGUGCAUGAUCAGAACAUGUUUUUACGUGCGUCUACUAUAAAUCAUGACCAUUUUUAACACAAAUCAUGACCAUUCAUGAUUAGUGAAUCAUACUGUCUUAACUUAUGUGAAAUCAUGUGGAGUAAUAUAAUAUAAUAUAAUAGAUAGAUAGAUCCAUGUUGUAUCAUUACACAUUUUGAUUUAUGCAUUUGUUUACAAAAAAAACAGUAAAAUUUCAUGGUGAAAAGUUUGUAUUGUUUCAUACUGAACACCAAUGUUUUCCCGUAAAAGAAAAUAAUGCCUACGCAUAUGCUUUUAUAUUAUUAUUAUUCUUUCAAACUUAUUCAUAUAGUAUUUUUGAUUGUGCAACCAUAAUUUUUAUUAUCUCUCUUGUUCCACUACAUGCUCUUACUCAAUGAUUUUUUUAUAAUGGGUGUUUUUAUUAACUCAAAAUAUAGCAUCAAGCGGAUACAAAACAUAACGAGCCACGUCCGGUCUCUGCAUAACUAAGAUGCACACAGCCAAAAGCAGAAGUCUGACAAAAAUAAGAUAAGAAAAUCAACAUAUCGACAACAGUGAGUCAUAUAGUUCCGACACUAUGCCUCUGUUGAAGGACGGGGUGGAGCGAUCUGGAGAUUAUGCUUCCCUCCAUUUUGAGUAAAUACCUCCCUGGCCACUUGUUCCAACCGCAUAGACGCCGCCACGAAUAAUGGUUGGUACUCUGUUCGGUGUAGCAUACACCAUGUAGGAAGUGAGUGCUCACUCCUAGUUACUAAAUUAUGUACACACUAGUAGAAAAAGGGCCAUUUGUCCCGGUUCGUAAGGCCCAUUUGUCUCAGUUAGGGAACCGGGACUAAAGGGUCGGUACUAAAGCCCUACACCUUUAGUCCCGGUUCUUACACCAACCGAGACAGAUGGGGCUCCACGUGGCCGCUGCGGCUUGCCAUGGCAGGGGGGCCUUUUGUCCCGGUUGGUAGCACCAACCGGGACCAAUAAGCUACCACGCGUCAGCAUUUGAGGGGCUUGGGUUUUUGUUUUUUUCUGAAGGGGGGGAGGGGGGUUGGGGGUUUUGGGGGGUUUUGUAUGGUUAAUUUUGGGGGGUUUCAUAUAUAGUGUUAGGUAGUAAUUAAUUAAUAGAGAGAAGUGUCCUCUCUUAUCUCCGUGCUUGGUCGACGCUACGUACUAUACGUAUAGAGAGGCCCUCGACACGCUUGCCAGUAAGCAAAUGAAGGAAACCAUUAAGUACAGAAGUUCGUCAUGAACAUAUGCAUACAAACAUAAGUGAUAUCGACCUCUCCUUCUCCGAGAGAUAGGUCGAAGAACAAGUUUCCGUAUAUCUAUCCGGCGCUACUAGCUACAUAUAUACAAUAUUAAGAUCUCUUACAAUAUAAUCCCCUAAUUAUAUAUGAACUCAGCUUCCAGAUGGUAUUCUCCGGCUUUAUUGAUGACGUGGUCAAGAAAGAAUCCCUCCAAUUCCUCUUGAAUUGCUUUGAUGCGAUCUUGUGGUAGGAGUUCAUCCUGCAUCUGCCACAUCUAAUUUGAAGAAGGGGGUCAAUCACUAGUGGAAUAACAGCCAUUUGUCUAGGUUCGUAAGGCUCAUUUGUCCCGGUUGGGGAACCGAGACUAAAGGGUCGUUACUAAAGCCCUACACCUUUAGUCCCGGUUGUCGGUGUCAAAACCGGCGGAUCUCGGGUAGUGGGUCCUGAAUUGUGCGUCUAGGCCGGAUGGUAACAGGAGGCAGGGAACACGAUGUUUUACCCAGGUUCGGGCCCUCUUGAUGGAGGUAAAACCCUACGUCCUGCUUGAUUAAUAUUGAUGAUAUGGGUAGUACAAGAGUAGAUCUACCACGAGAUCAAGGAGGCUAAACCCUAGAAGCUAGCCUAUGGCAUGAUUGUUGUGUAUGGAGUUGAUUGCCUACGGACUACAACCCUCCGGUUUAUAUAGACACCGGAUAGGGUUAGGGUUACAUAGAGUCGUUUACAAUGGUAGGAGAUCUUGAAUAUCCGCAUCACCAAUCUUGCCUUCCACGCCAAGGAAAGUCCCAUCCGGACACAGGACGAAGUCUUAAAUCUUGUAUCUUCAUAGUCCAGGAGUCCGGCUGGACGUAUAGUCCGGCUACCCGAACACCCCCUAAUCCAGGACUCCCUCACCGGUUCUUACACCAACUGGGAGAGAUGGGCCUCCACGUGGCCGCUGCGGCGAGCCCAGGUAGGAGGUCCUUUGGUCCCCGUUAGUGACACUAAUACGUCUCCAACGUAUCUAUAAUUUUUGAUUGCUCCAUGCUAUUAUGUUAUCCAUUUUGGAUGUUAAUGGGCUUUAUUUUACACCUUUAUAUCAUUUUUGGGACUAACCUACUAAUCGGAGGCCUAGCCCAAAUUGCUAUUUUUUGCCUAUUUUAGGUUUUUGAAGAAGAGGAAUAUCAAACGGAGUCCAAACGGAAUGAAACCUUCGGGAACGUGAUUUUCUCAACGAACAUGAUCCAGGAGACUUGGAGUGUGCGCCAAGAAAUAAGGGAGGAAGGCACGAGGCAGGGGGGCGCGCCUACCCCCCUUGAGCAUGCCCUCCACCCUCGUGGGCCCUCCACUGCUCCACCGACGUACUUCUUCCUCCUAUAUAUAUCCACGUACCCCCCAAACAACCAGGAGCACCACGAAAACCUAAUUCCACCACCGCAACCUUCUGUACCCGAGAGAUCCCAUCUUGGGGCCUUUUCCGGAGGGGGCAUCGAUCACGGAGGGCCUCUACAUCAACUGCAUGGCCUCUCCGAUGAUGUGUAAGUAGUUUACUUCAGACCUACGGGUCCAUAGUUAUUAGCUAGAUGGCUUCUUCUCUCUCUCUUUGGAUCUUAAUACAAAGUUCUGCUCGAUUUUCUUGGAGAUCUAUUCGAUGUAAUCUUCUUUUGUGGUGUGUUUGUCGAGAUCCGAUGAAUUGUAGGUUUAUGAUCCAGAUUAUCUAUGGACAAUAUUUGAUUCUCCUCUGAAUUCUUUUAUGUAUGAUUCGUUUAUCUUUGCAAGUCUCUUCGAAUUAUCAGUUUGGUUUGGCCUACUAAAUUGAUCUUUCUUGCAAUGGGAGAAGUGCUUAGCUUUGGGUUCAAUCUUGCGGUGUUCGAUCCCAGUGACUGAAAGGGAAGCGAUAUGUAUUGUAUUGUUGCCAUCGAGGAUAAAAAGAUGGGGUUUAUAUCAUAUUGCAUGAGUUUAUCCCUCUACAUCAUGUCAUCUUCCUUAAAGCAUUACUCUGUUCUCUUGAACUUAAUACUCAAGAUGCAUGCUGGAUAGCGGUCGAUGUGUGGAGUAAUAGUAGUAGAUGCAGAAUCGUUUCGGUCUACUUGUCUGGGACCUGAUGCCUAUAUACAUGAGCAUACCUAUAUAUUCUCAUAACUAUGCUCAAUUCUAUCAAUUGCUCGACAGCAAUUCGUUUACCCACCGUAAUACUUAUGCUCUUGAGAGAAGCCACUACUGAAACCUAUGGCCUCGGGGUCUAUCUUCUAUCAUAUUAAUCCUCCAAUACUUAGUUAUUUAUAUUUCUAUCUAUUUUACUUUCCAUCUUUUAUUUCUCUUUAUCAUAAAAAUACCAAAAAUCUUAUCUUAUCAUAUCUAUCAGAUCUCACUGUUGUAAGUGACCGUGAAGGGAUUGACAACCCCUUUAUCGCGUUGGUUGCGAUGUUCUUAUUUGUUUGUGUAGGUUCGUGGGACUUGAGCGUGAUCUCCUACUGGAUUGAUACCUUGGUUCUCAAAAACUAAGGGAAAUACUUACGCUAAUUUACUUCAUCACUCUUUCCUCUUCAAGGGAAAACCAACGCAAUGCUCAAGAGGUAGUGUCGGUGUCAAAACCGGCGGAUCUCGGGUAGUGGGUCCCGAACUGUGCGUCUAGGCCGGAUGGUAACAGGUGGCAGGGAACACGAUGUUUUACCCAGGUUCGGGCCCUCUUCAUGGAGGUAAAACCCUACGUCCUACUUGAUUAAUAUUGAUGAUAUGGGUAGUACAAGGGUAGAUCUACCACAAGAUCAAGGAGGCUAAACCCUAGAAGCUAGCCUAUGGUAUGAUUGUUGUAUAUGGAGUUGAUUGCCUACGGACUACAACCCUCCGGUUUAUAUAGACACCGGAUAGGGUUAGGGUUACAUAGAGUCGGUUACAAUGGUAGGAGAUCUUGAAUAUCCGCAUCGCCAAGCUUGCCUUCCACACCAAGGAAAGUCCCGUCCGGACACGGAACGAAGUCUUCAAUCUUGUAUCUUCAGAGCCCAGGAGUCCGGCUGAAGGUAUAGUCCGGCUAUCCGAACACCCCCUAAUCCAGGACUCCCUCAGUAGCCCCUGAACCAGGCUUCAAUGACGACGAGUCCAGCGCGCAAAUUGUCUUCGGCAUUGCAAGGCGGGUUCCUCCUCCAAGUCCUUCAUAGAAGAUUGUAAGCACCAAGAGUAGUGUCCGGCUCUGCAAAAUAAGCUUCCACAUAUCGCCAUAGAGAGAAUAAUAUUAACACAAAUCAAAUCUGCUGACGUAUUCCGCAGUGCGUCAUCACACUACAGCCAAGUCCUUCACUCGAAUCGUUUUCACUUUUCCACCUCAGCGUGUUUUGCGAGGCGGUUUCCUUGGCACGUCUUGUCAAAGCAGAGAUCGUGUCCCCCUUGUUUACGGGAUUCUCGUUAAUACGGACGUGGGUAACCCAACCGCGCCACUUAUCACGGCGCUUGGGAGGCAAGCGAGUUUUACUAGGCUGGUGGGGACGCAUAGUCGCAUCCGCCCAUAUAAGGGGAUAAGGAUCCACCUUUUUACCUACGCCUUCUUCCUCCUUUGCCUAGCCAUCUUCUGCGCACCCGAGCUCUAGCGCCCCAGCCCGCGCUUCCUACCUCAACCCUCUCCAACAAUGUUCGGAGCGGGAGGCAAGUGGAUGGUCUCCUCCGUCACGGAGGGCCAUGUCAAAAGGUUAAGGAAGGCCGGAUACUUGUCCAAAGACAUCGCGCACCGGCUUCCUGAGGAGGGGCAGCUUCUCCCCACCCCAAGGCCCCAUGAGAGGGUAGUAUUUCUUCCCCACUGCCUCCGCGGACUGGGUUUUCCUCUCCACCCAUUUGUCCGCGGGCUCAUGUUCUACUAUGGCCUAGAUUUCCACGAUCUGGCCCCGUACUUCAUCCUCAAUAUCUCGGCGUUUAUCAUCGUGUGCGAGGCUUUCCUCUGCAUUCGCCCCCAUUUCGGCCUCUGGCUCACGACCUUCAACGUCAAGCCAAAGGUGGUGCGCGGUAACCAGGCGGAGUGCGGAGGUGCCAUGGCGGGCAAAAUUGCCAACGUCCUAUGGCUCGAGGGCUCCUUUGUGGAGACCUUGAAGGGGUGGCAGUCAGGGUGGUUUUACAUCACCGAGCCACGCGAUCCGAAGUGGAUCGCAGCCCCUGAAUUCCGAUCCGGACCCCCUACGCGGCUCAUGUCCUGGAAGGAGACGAGCUUGUCGUGGGGCGACGAAGGAGAGUUGACCAGACUGCAAAAAUGCAUCCAGUCCCUGGUGAACAAGCAGCUCAAGCUUGUCAACGUAAUCUAGGUCAUGCUCGUCCGCCGGAUUCUUCCGUGUCAAGAACGGGACUUCAAUUUGUGGGAGUUCAACCCGGCGCAACACCGAACUCUGAGAAGGCUCUUCAACACGACGUACGAAGAUGUCUGGAGGGGGCUAACCAAAGGCGCCGAGACUCCCACAUCCGCCUCCGAAGACCGCGGAUUCAGCUCGCAGCGUCCUGCUGGCGAGGUAAGAUAUUUCCAUCUUUUACAGGAUGUUAAGCUUUUUCAUAGUUGACUCUAUGCGGGAUCAAAACUCCCUCACCUUUGACAGGAUUGGCGGGAGAAGUCCGGACAGAUUAAAUGCCCGGCUCCCUUGCCCGAAGACCUAGCCCCUGCUCUCCUAGAGAAGCUGCUGGUUUCGGCACCUUAUGUGGUGCCGGAGAAGAGGGCCAAGAAGAAGAAGGCCACGGGGACUCGAAAGAGUUCCUGGCAUAUGGUGGUGUCGGACUCGUCGUCCGACCAGUCCGAGACGCACUCCUCCCGUGAAGACGAGGAGGAAGAGUGUCGGACUCGUCGUCCGACGAGUCCGAGACGCACUCCUCCCGUGAAGAGGAGUGGCCGGACUACGUCCCCGACGCCGACGAGGACGAAGAGGAGUGGCCAGACAGGGCCAAGCAUCCGGCGAGAUCGUAAGUGUUCGGAUACCAGAGUAACUCGUGAUAUUCCUUUUGUUGCACAGCUUUCCCUAAUGUCGGAUAUAAUCAUGCAGUCCGCCCAAGGAUGGGCUCGACGAGUCGUCGAGCGGCUCCCUGGAUUCAUCGGACGUGAAUUCAGUUCCGCCUACUGCUUCCCCCUGUGCUGCAGAUGACGCCGAAGUGGCGUCGCGACAAGCUCCGGGACGAGAGGAGGUGGUCCAGGAGGAGUCGCGAGGUGACCUCCCGGACUCCAGGAGUGAAGGGGACAAGACCCCCCUGGGAUCCAAGUUCGGCUUUAAGCCGGACACUGAGAUGGAAUCAUCAACAGUUCCGGACUGCGGUAGGCGAACUCCUACCAGGAGGAGCAAGCCUACUGAGCCGGCAUCCUCCGUCCAGCCGGAGGCGCCGGACAAUCUGCUGGAGGAGCUUAAGGGCGCCUCCACCGACGAGGAGCACCGUGCCGUCAUGAGUACGGUGAUCCAGAAGGUUCGGUCCGCCAAAAGCGGACUGACUGAAGCUUGUGCUGGCCUUCUAACAGGCUUCGAGGUAAGUAAAAAUAUGUAAAAAUAUUACCGUAUAGACAGUAGCCCCUGAUGCUCUGUUUGGCGUUUGUAAAGAAAAGCCAAAUAGAGGAUCUAUUAAAUAUCGCAGGAGUCUAACUAAAAAGGAGUCAAUAUAUGUAUGCAGGCUUCGCUGCUGGCCACCGCCGCACUGACUGCGGAGGUGGGUGCCCUGAAGGAGGGCCUCCAGCGGACCGAGCAAGAGCUCGGCCUUGCCAAACGGCAGCUCGAGGAAAAAGAAUGUAAGAGAUACCUUACAGAAAAAGUGCCUAUAAAAAGGCUUGAUUGCAAAAAGAGUAGCAGGAUUGUACUGCUUAUUGUAGGGGCCACGACUGAGGUGGCGACCUUUAAGCAGGUGUUGUCUGAGGCCGAAAAGAAAACGGCCGCGGAGCGCACCGAGCGAGACAGACUUGGGGCUCAGGUCAGCGAGGUGCAGCAAGAGCUUCAGGCUCUCAUGAAAAAACAUGAGAGUUUGAAGCUGGAGUCGAAGGCGCAAGCAUCCGAGCUUGCAACGGCCCUAGAGGCUGCCAAGUCUACCAAGGCCGAUGCCCUAAAGACCCUCCAAGAGUUGGAGGAGAUGAGGAAGAUAGCAACGGGUAAGGCAUUCUUUAUGCAAAGCAGAAAUAUAAAAGUGAACUACCUGUUACUUACCCGAAUCCGAAGCUCUCCAGGGGCAUUCGCAGAUCUUCCCUGCAGCGUAUCCGAUGCCGCCGCAUUAUACCAAGCUGAAGAGGGUAGCUCGACGGAGAAGGUGUUCUGGUUUCAGUAUUCUGAGGCCGGACACCCUGUGCCCUUGAGCAACCAGCUGAAACAGCUGGUUGAGCUCCACAAGGCGGCCAAGCAGGCCAUGAAGGGCUUCAUAGUUCGGCUGUGGCCUGGAGAGGCCCUACCUGGGAGCUAUCUCGGGCUGGUGCGGCGGCUGGUGGAGGCCUGUCCGAGGCUUGAGGUCAUCAAGUGCUCCGUCUGCAUCGAUGGUGCCCGUCGGGCCCUUGCCCGUGCAAAGGUGCACUGGGGUAAGCUGGACGGUGAGAAGCUUGUGAAGGACGGGCUGCCGCCGGGGAAGGAGCAUCGCAAGCCCGAGAACUACUACAAGGAUGUUCUUGCAGGUGCCCGCCUUAUGGCGGAUCAAUGUACCAAGGAUGUGAUAUUUGAAUGAACUCGCUCGUGUUUAUCUUGUGCGCUGAAAACUUGUUCAUAUGUGCUAAGCAAUGCUUAUUGAAUUUAAAAUAUUACUUUCUGUGCGGCCAUUUAUCAAAAAUUGAGAGAUGGCCAGUCGUCGGCUUCUGCCCCCGUGCCACUAGUGCUGGGGUGUUCGGGAUAAACCUGAGCGCUCUUUUUCCCAUAGUUGGGUCCUUCGAGGGAGGCGCUCAGCACAACGAACCAGGCAAUCGGACUAUAAUGCUUGAACACUCUCACUUAGCCAUAGAGCUCUAUAAUUUUAAAUUUCGGUGAAGCCCGUAGUUCGGAAGACCGAGUUCGGGGCGCUAUCCACGCCUUGGCCGGACAAAGCCGGCUCCUCGCUCGAAGCGGCAUAAGCCUUUAGGGACUCGAAAAACCUCUCGAACAGCGAUCGGUCUCUCGCCACAUCAUGACAGUCAGUUUUAGCUUUCUCCACUCAGGUGCUUAACCCAGGUGAACCGGGGCACAAUCGCAGUGGUUCUCCUAGUGCUACCUUAGCCGAUAGAGCGGAACGUAAGGCACCAAAACAUAGGAGCCACGCAAACCCAACUAUUGACCCAAAUCAUGAUUCGGAGCCGAUGCAUAUAGUGCUAUAAGUUCGGGGUGCCGCACUUGUGAAAGUGUACGGACUUCUCACACCAUUAUGAGCGGUACUGAAGCCCCUGGCAUGUUUGCCAUACCAUGGUGUACGGGUGCAAUCAUGUCAUUUAAUAAACAUAAAUGUGAAAAGAAGAUAAUGCAAAAAAUAGACUAGAAGCUAAGCAUUGUUUAUAGAGAGGCUAUUUAUCAAAGCCGAACGAUACAAAUAGUGCGGUAAGCAAAAGAUAUUGGACUAUUCAGUAUGUCCUGACCAGGGGCAGGCCGCGGAAUUGUAUUUAAAACAGGUAUACCGCUCGUAACAGAGACCACCUGGGAGUUCCAUAAUGCGUCAUGGCUUGUCUGCCUCCCUGGAUCUUGCAUCGUUUGUGCGGCAGUCGAAUUGCCGAACAGGUCGUCCGAAGUAUGGAGUCCUGAAAGAAGAAAAAAUUAAAAAAAGAAUCCGGCAGCCCCUAGUACGUAUUAAGCCGUAUUUUGGGCGUGUUGUUAUUGUGCCCCUUCCCCUGUGCCCAUGGUAUUUCAAGGGCGUAGUUAUGUACGUGAGGUACUGGUUUCGCUAUGUUGCGAAAGCUGGGGUUGGGGCCGCAUUGCUACGCUUGCUUAGAGUGUGCCAGGCAGUGUCUGGCUUUUUAAUGGCCGGACUGGAGAAUUGCCUGAGAAGGCUACUUUGUACCUCCGCUGCGAGAGCCGCCGUAUGCUCCUCCAUAUGGAGGGAGCGUUCGGUGUUUCCGUUGAACGUAAUUACUCCUUGAGGGCCUGGCAUCUUGAGCUUGAGAUAUGCGUAGUGCAGCACCGUGUUGAUCUUUGCGAAUGCGGUUCGUCCGAGCAGGGCAUGAUAGCCACUGCGAAACGGUACUAUAUCGAAGAUUAACUCUUCGCUUCGGAAAUUGUCCGGGGAUCGGAAGACCACAUCAAGUGUUACUGAGCAUGUACUGUUGGCUUCUACACCUGGUAUAACGCCUUUAAAGGUCGUUCUUGUGGGCUUAAUCCUUGAGGGAUCUAUGCCCAUUUUCUGCACUGUAUCCUGAUAAAGCAGGUUCAGGCUACUGCCGCCGUCCAUGAGGACUCUUGUGAGAUGAAAUCCGUCGAUGAUCGGGUCGAGAACCAAUGCGGCGAAGCCGCCAUGACGGAUGCUAGUGGGAUGGUCCCUUCGAUCGAAAGUGAUCGGGCAGGAGGGCCAUGGGUUGAACUUUGGGGCGACUGGCUCCAUCGCAUAUACGUCCCGUAGCGCAUGCUUCCGCUCCCGCAUGGGAAUGUGGGUUGCGUAUAUCAUGUUCACCGUCCACACUUGUGGGGGAAAGCCCUUCUGUCCAUUGUUGUUCGGCGGCUUGGGCUCCUCGUCGUCGCUGUGCAGCCCCUUGUCUCUGUUUUCGGCCCUUAACUUGCCUGCCUGCUUGAACACCCAACAAUCCCUGUUAGUGUGAUUGGCUAGCCUUUCGGGGGUGCCAUGUAUCUGGCACAAGCGAUCGAGUAUUCGGUCCAAACUGGACGGGCCCUGAGUAUUCUUUUUGAAUGGCAUUUUCCGCUGACCGGAUUUAUAGCCUUUGAAUCCGGCAUUGACUGCCGUGUCUUCAUUGCUGUCGCUGCUAACGCGGCGUUUUUGCUUAUUCCGAUGUGUCCUACCACUUUUGUCCUUGGUAUCCGAAUUACCAGGGUGCUUUGAUAAGUUGUUACUGCGAGCUAGCCAGCUGUCUUCUCCCGCGCAAAAGCGGGUCAUGAGUGUCGUGAGGGCUGCCAUGGAUUUCGGCUUUUCCUGUCCCAGGUGCCAGGCAAGCCACUCGUCGCAGAUGUUGUGCUUCAAGGCUGCCAGGGCCUCUGCGUCCGGACAGUCGACUAUCUGGUUUUUCUUUGUUAGGAACCGUGUCCAAAAUUGUCUGGCCGAUUCCUCUGGCUGCUGAAUUAUGUGGCUUAAGUCGUCGGCAUCCGGUGGUCACACGUAAGUGCCCUGGAAGUUGUCGAGGAAUGCGGCUUCCAGGUCCUCCCAAGAACCGAUUGAGUCUGCUGGCAAGCUGUUAAGCCAAUGCCGGGCCGGUCCUUUAAGUUUGAGCGGGAGGUAUUUGAUGGCGUGUAGAUCAUCGCCGCGUGCCAUGUGGAUGUGAAGGAGACAAUCCUCGAUCCAUACCGCCGGAUCUGUUGUGCCAUCGUAUGAUUCGAUGUUUAUGGGUUUGUAGCCCUCUGGGAUUUUAUGAUCCAUUACUUCAUUCGUGAAGCAUAGCGGGUGUGUGGCGCCUCUGUAUUGGGCUAUAUCACGACGUAGCUCGGAAGAGCUAUGUCUGUUGUGUUCGGCCCGGCCGGAUUUGUUGUAUCCAGAGUGAAGAUCAUUUUCCCGUGCCUUAGUUGAGAGGUGUCGGGGCAUGGCUUGGGUGGAGGGCCGAGACGCCUCUCUGUCGCGGCCGCGAGGUGGCCGGUCUGCCAUGUCAUGCGCUGGUGAUGUAGGUGCUUCCUCCUCUGAUCGGGGUAGCGGCCUAUGCUUCGGGUAACUCUUGGAGGGGCGUUCGAGUUCAUACUCUUCGGCCGCAAGGACUUCAGUCCAUCUGUCAGCUAGCAAAUCUUGGGCAGCUCUAAGUUGUUGCUGCUUUUUCUUGAGGCUGCUUGCCAUGGCUAAAAGCCUGCGUUUAAAAAGCUCUUGUUCGGCGGGGUCUGAUGGUAUGACGAAUUCGUCGUCAUUGAGGCUUGCCUCGUCUUCGGAGGGAGGCGUAUAGUUAUCAUCCUCGACCUUUCCGUCUGCCGCUCUCUCAUCAGGGCUGGCUUCUCCAUCUUCCUGUGCCGAAUCUUGCUGAGGUGGGUGUUCUUCGGCGCUAUCCGGGGUAGUAUUAUCUCUCAUGUCGGAAUCACCGUUUUUGCUUUGGCGGGAUUUAGAGCGGCGCCGCUGGUGCCGGCGCUUUGGCUGUUUCUUGGGGGCGUCAUCCCCCACUGUUCCAUCGCCAUCUCCAUCUUUUGGAGUAUCCACCAUAUAUAUGUCAUAUGAUAAGGUGGCCUUCCAGCGCCCUACAGGUGCUGGUUCCUGUUCGUCUCCUACAUUGUCGUCCAUGCCGUCGAUGUCUUUGGAGCUGAAGUCAACCAUGUAGGUUAGACCGUCGAUAAUGGCUACAAAGUGGGUGGUGGGUGGGCUUUGAAUUUCCUCAUCGUAUGUAUCCCACCCUCGCUGACCGUAGUCCGGCCAGGGCUCUCCUGAUAAAGAGAGAGACUUAAGAGAAUUCAGGAUGUCGCCAAAAGGCGAAUGCUGAAAGAUGUCUGUAGCGGUGAACUCCAUUAUCGGCACCCAAUCGGAUUCGAUUGGCAGGGGCGCGGGGGGUUCGGAGUCCGGGGAGGAGUCCGGAUCCUCGGAGUCACGGGUCGUGCAGAGUGCGGGGCUAGCGUUCGGCUCGAUCGCUUUCGGGAUCGCAGCCCCCGAGGUGACGUCCAACCGCUCAUCCUCGAUUGGCGCAAUAGGUUCCGAGUUAGGGGUCGGAACCGAUGCGUGUGCGGCCUCCAGGACACUGGCCGGGGGCAGAGCUAGAUCAUGCCCCUCGGGAUAGUGCGGCGUGCUUGGCCGUGGCUCGAGCCCGUCGAAGAUCAAGUCUCCGUGGAUGUCAGCCGUGUAGUUUAAGCUUCCAAACCUGACUUGAUGGCCAGGGGCGUAGCUUUCGAUCUGCUACAGGUGGCCGAGCGAAUUGGCUCAUAGAGCGAUGCCGCCGAAGACGAAGAUCUGUCCGGGGAGAAAAGUCUCACCCUGGACCGCAUCGUUGUUGAUGAUCAAAGGAGCCAUCGGGCCUAAAGGCGACGAGACAGAGGAACUCUCAAUGAAAGCACCAAUGUCAGUGUCAAAACCGGUGGAUCUCGAGUAGUGGGUCCCGAACUGUGCGUCUAGGCCGGAUGGUAAUAGGAGGCAGGGAACACGAUGUUUUAUCCAGGUUCGGGCCCUCUUGAUGGAGGUAAAACCCUACGUCCUGCUUGAUUAAUAUUGAUGAUAUGGGUAGUACAAGAGUAGAUCUACCACGAGAUCAAGGAGGCUAAACCCUAGAAGCUAGCCUAUGGUAUGAUUGUUGUAUAUGGAGUUGAUUGCCUACGGACAACAACCCUCCGGUUUAUAUAGACACCGGAUAGGGUUAGGGUUACAUAGAGUCGGUUACAAUGGUAGGAUAUCUUGAAUAUCCACAUCGCCAAGCUUGCCUUCCACGCCAAGGAAAGUCCCGUCCGGACACGGGAUGAAGUCUUCAAUCUUGUAUCUUCAUAGCCCAGGAGUCCGGCUGAAGGUAUAGUCCGGCUACCUGAACACCCCCUAAUCCAGGACUCCCUCAGGUAGCAAGAUGGAUUUCUGGCGCCAUUGCCGGGGAGAUUCGCGCCAAGUCAAGACAUACCAAGUACCCAUCACAAACCCUUAUCCCUCGCAUUACAUUAUUUUCCAUUUGCCUCUUGUUUUCCUCUCCCCCACUUCACCCUUGCCAUUUUAUGCGCCCUCUCUUUUUCCGUUCCCCUCUUUUCCACUUGCUUUGUCGUUAUGGCUAGUCCUUUAUCUACUCCUUUGUCUCCCGAGAAUGAAGUUCUUAAUUUUAAACAAAGGGAGGGAGAAAAUCUAAAAGAUGCUUGGUACAGAAUUUGCAACACACAAAUUAGAUCUACUAGGAAACAAUCUACUUUUGUUCUUCUUCACGAUUUUUAUGUAGGCAUCACACCUUGGAAUAGAUAUAUUCUUGAUGCCAUUACCGGAGGGAAUUUCUUGGGUAGCCAUACUUUUGAUUCUUAUAAUGCUAUGAUAGAUCUGUUUGGCCCACCACCUCUUUUGGUUAAUGGAACUAUUUUAACUUUGGAACAUGUGAUGCAAUGGCUUGAAAUUAGUGAAAAUAAAGUUGCCACCAUAGAGUUAAUUGAAAAUUUGGAUAGAAAGAUCCAUAACCAAAUUACCCAAUACGGAUCUAAGUUAGGAGUUGCUCUUAAAAGUUUUAAAGAAAAGGGACCUAUGGUUAAUGAAAAGAUAGAAAAGGAUUCCACUAGAAUUGAUAAAAUUGAGGAUAUUAUUACCAACCUUGGGUCUUCCUUUUCUUCUAUUAUAAAUACUCCGCCUAAUGCUAAGAUUGCCAAACUAAUGUAUGUUACAAAAAAUAAGGGUGAAACUUCUAAUAAGGAAAAUGCGGAUCUCAAAUCCAUAAGUGUUCACCCCAAUUUUCUCACUAUCCUUAAGGAACCUUUUGCUACAAAUGAUUUUCUUGAUUUCAUACCUAGGAGUUUGAUAAUUAAUAAAAACAAAGAAACUCCUAAAAGUUAUUGGUGUGUUAUUGAAGAAUCACCUUCCAAAGACGGCAAUACCUAGGUCUAUCUUCGCUUUUAUGCCUAGCUAGGGGCGUUAAACGAUAGCGCUUGUUGGGAGGCAACCCAGUUUUACUUUUAUUCCUUGAUGUUUGCUCCUAUUUAGUAAUAAAUAAUUUAUGUAGCCUAUGUUUUGGUUGUGUUUUUUGUGUUUAAUUUGUGUUUGUGCCAUGUAGAACCAUUGGGUAGACUUGGGGAAAGUCUUUUUGAUCUUGCUGUAAAAAACAGAAACGUUAGCGCUCACGAGAAUCGCUGACAUUUUUAUUUGGAAAGUGAUAUUUAGAUAAUUCUUUUUGCGGAUGAUUAAUAGAUAAAUUCCUCACGUCCAGCAAUUUAUUUUAUAAUUUUUGGGGUUACAGAAGUUCGCGUUAGGUACAGAUUACUACAGACUGUUCUGUUUUUGACAGAUUCUGUUUUUCGUGUAUUGUUUGCUUAUUUUGAUGAAUCUAUGGCUAGUCAAAGAGGUUAUAAACCGUAGAGAAGUUGGAAUACAGUAGGUUUAACACCAAUAUAAAUCAAGAUUGAGUUCAUAACAGUACCUUGAAGUGGUGUUUUGUUUUCUUUCGCUAACGGAGCUCACGAGAUUUUCUGUUUGAGUUUUUUGUUGUGAAGUUUUCAAGUUUUGGGUAAAGAUUUGAUGGAUUAUGGAACAAGGAGUGGCAAGAGCCUAAGCUUGGGGAUUCCCAUGGCACACCAAGGUAAAAUUAAAGGACACCAAAAAGCCUAAGCUUGGGGAUGCCCCGAAAGGCAUCCCCUCUUUCGUCUUCGUCUAUUGGUAACUUUACUUGGAGCUAUAUUUUUAUUCACCACAUGAUAUGUGUUUUGCUUGGAGCGUCUUGUAUGAUUUGAUUAUUUGAUUUUUAGUUUACCAAAAUCAUCCUUGCUGUACACACCUUUUGAGAGAGACUCACAUGAUUGGGAAUUUAUGAGAAUACUCUAUGUGCUUCACUUAUAUCUUUUGAGCUAUAUGGUUUUUGUUCUAGUUCUUCGCUUAUAUAUUUUAGAGAAUGGCGGUGGUUUUAUUUUAUAGAAAUAAUUGUUCUCUCAUGCUUCACUUAUAUUAUUUUGAUAGUCCUUUAGAACAACAUGGCAAUAAUAAAACUGUCAUACAAGUGCAUUGAAUACUAUGAGAAGUUUGAUACUUGAUAAUUGUUUUGAGAUAUGGAGAUGGUGAUAUUAGAGUCAUGCUAGUUGUGUAGUUGUGAAUUUGAGAAAUACUUGUGUUGAAGUUUGUGAUUCCCGUAGCAUGCACGUAUGGUGAACCGUUAUGUGACGAAGUCAGAUCAUGAUUUAUUUGUUGAUUGUCUUCCUUAUGAGUGGCGGUCGGGGAUGAGCAAUGGUCUUUUACUACCAAUCUAUCUCCCUAGGAGCAUGGGCAUAAUACUUUGCUUUGAUAACUUAUAGAUUUUUGCAAUAAGUAUGUGAGUUCUUUCUGAGCAAUGUUGAGUCCAUGGAUCAUACGCACUCUCACCCUUCCACCAUUGCUAGCCUCUCUAAUACCGUGCACUUCUCGCCGAUAUCAUACACCCACCAUAUACCAUCCUCAAAACAGCCACCAUACCUACCUAUUAUCACUAGUGCAGAACCGGGCAAUAGCACCGGUUCGUAAGGCCCUUUAGUGCCGGUUUAGGAACCGGCACUAUUAUUUCGGCACUAAACCCCCCCCCCUUUAGUACCGGUUCAGCACGAACCGGUGCUAAAGGGGUACCACGUGGCACGAGCCAGCUCCGGGGGCCGGGAGCCCUUUAGUACCGGUUGGUAAAACCAACCGGUACUAAAUGGUUGUGGGUUUUUGUUUUAUUUUGUAUUUUUCAAUUAAAUUUGUGUUAUCAAUUUAAAUUAGGAUUGUUUUACGUUAUAAUGAGUUGUAGUCGUCAUCAUCAUCAUCAUCAUCGCAUAUUAAUAAAUAAAUAAACUCUAGCUAGCUAAAAAUCAUCGUGGUCGUCUAAUUACCACUAUUUAAUCAUCAUAGUCAUUACCGCUAGCUAUGUAAUCAUCAUCAACGUUGGCUAGCUUAAAGAGGAAACAUUCACUUUGUAACAGAAGCAAAGAGAUAUCAUCAAGUUCAACAUAAUCAUCACCAACAUCGAAGUUCAGGACACGGAUCCAUGAGACGAGUACUAAUUAAGAGCAUGAAGUAGUAGCUACUGAUCCUGCUUCUCCCUCUCAGGUAGAAUAGCACAGAACAUGUAUAGCUCUCCUGAUUCAUCAUACUGAAGCAUGCAGAUGAAUCUGUCUCCUAAUCUUGGGUUGCGCUUCUCCUUACUGCCCCCUAGUACUUCUCUGCGAUCGUUAACAAUUUUGCUCCAAUCUUUCACUAUUAAGCAUUCUUCGCUUUUAGAAAUCCUGAAUGCACUCAUGUGCAAUGUAGGAAAUCUUGGUCGUAAGCUAACCAUUGACAUGCGACCUUUUGUCUCGAUCCACUAAGGCACAACUGUCAUCGGAAGUCCCUGUUGAACAACAUCGUAUAGUAAUUAAUAUACUAAGCAAUGAAAGUUUAGCUUUAAAAAUAAUGUACGCAAAAGAUGCACUAAUUAAGGACAAAUAUUUAAAAUCUUACCAUCUUUUGAUUAUAGAUGUGACCGUAGUUCAAGGCGAUCACCAUUGGUCGCACGUUUUGAGUACUAACAUUUCUAAGUUUAGAAAAAAAAUUGUCUUGACAGUAUUAAGAUCCUCAAGCCAUGAAACACAAUGACUUAUUUCCUCGCAGUUUAGUUGAGCCCCGAGGUAGUAGUAGGUCCUGUCUACCAAGCGCCGGACAUGUUUGCUUGAACCGAAAUAAGCUGACAAUACACAUCAGUUGUCAACUAUUUUUGAAUAAACUGUACGAAAGACAUAAACGUAUAUAUGCAUGCAUGGUUGAGAAAAACUCACCAAAUGGUAGAACUGGAGGCGUUUGCACAUCGACCCAGAUGUCUAUAUUACCUUCAAUAUCAUCUUCCGGACGAAUAUCAAAGGUGAUAACCAUAUCAGGCUCAAAUGCAUAAGCCUUGCAUAGUGCUUGCCAAGUUUUGCAUUCAAAAUGGGUGUAUGUGCCUCCAUUAUAUAAUUUGACGUUGAAAGUAUACCCAUGCUCCGUCUUCAAGUAAACUCUCUUUACCUCCAUAUCAUCUAUAGCACUAAAACCUAUCUUAUAUAAUACAAAAAUUCUUGUAUGGCAGGGGAUGCGCUAGUAGAAUAGUGAAAAUUUAAAAUUAUAAGUUGAAGCAAAUGAAGCAUAAGUUUUGCAUUCAAAUAAUAAUUGACAAAGUGGCUUACUGUAUCAACUUCAAAUGUCUCAUCCAGCUUGAUGUUGAAGCGCCUACCAUCAACAAGGAAAUUUUGGUCGCACAGGCCGCGCUGGUCUUCACAGUGUUCGCACAUAAUAAAAUCUUUUUAGUUGUCAGAUGACAUUUCCUAUGUUCAUAUAGGUGAAACAUUAAACACCUAUAUCUAGCCAAAUAUAUAUUCAUCUAACAUUUGACAUUAAUAUAUCUAACUAUAUAUUCAAUUGACAUUACUAUAUAUUUAACUUUUCUAUCUAAUUCAUCUAACAUUCGACAUUAAUCUAACAUUUAUAUAAACUCAAAAUAUAUAAAAAAUUAAAUAAACAGAAAAACUCAUUAACAAAUAAUAUUUUAAUUAGAUCAUCAAAUCUCAUAUACCUAAAUUUUCUUACUAAAAAUAAACUAGUUAUAUUAAUUAUUCAACUAGUUCUAAUCUNNNNNNNNNNNNNNNNNNNNNNNNNNNNNNNNNNNNNNNNNNNNNNNNNNNNNNNNNNNNNNNNNNNNNNNNNNNNNNNNNNNNNNNNNNNNNNNNNNNNNNNNNNNNNNNNNNNNNNNNNNNNNNNNNNNNNNNNNNNNNNNNNNNNNNNNNNNNNNNNNNNNNNNNNNNNNNNNNNNNNNNNNNNNNNNNNNNNNNNNNNNNNNNNNNNNNNNNNNNNNNNNNNNNNNNNNNNNNNNNNNNNNNNNNNNNNNNNNNNNNNNNNNNNNNNNNNNNNNNNNNNNNNNNNNNNNNNNNNNNNNNNNNNNNNNNNNNNNNNNNNNNNNNNNNNNNNNNNNNNNNNNNNNNNNNNNNNNNNNNNNNNNNNNNNNNNNNNNNNNNNNNNNNNNNNNNNNNNNNNNNNNNNNNNNNNNNNNNNNNNNNNNNNNNNNNNNNNNNNNNNNNNNNNNNNNNNNNNNNNNNNNNNNNNNNNNNNNNNNNNNNNNNNNNNNNNNNNNNNNNNNNNNNNNNNNNNNNNNNNNNNNNNNNNNNNNNNNNNNNNNNNNNNNNNNNNNNNNNNNNNNNNNNNNNNNNNNNNNNNNNNNNNNNNNNNNNNNNNNNNNNNNNNNNNNNNNNNNNNNNNNNNNNNNNNNNNNNNNNNNNNNNNNNNNNNNNNNNNNNNNNNNNNNNNNNNNNNNNNNNNNNNNNNNNNNNNNNNNNNNNNNNNNNNNNNNNNNNNNNNNNNNNNNNNNNNNNNNNNNNNNNNNNNNNNNNNNNNNNNNNNNNNNNNNNNNNNNNNNNNNNNNNNNNNNNNNNNNNNNNNNNNNNNNNNNNNNNNNNNNNNNNNNNNNNNNNNNNNNNNNNNNNNNNNNNNNNNNNNNNNNNNNNNNNNNNNNNNNNNNNNNNNNNNNNNNNNNNNNNNNNNNNNNNNNNNNNNNCGGCGGCGGGGACAGCGACGAUGACGACGGACGACGGUACGGGCGACGGGCGGCGACGACGGGAUCGAGCGGUCCGCGCGGCGGAGGUGGGAGACGAAGUGGGGAGUUGAAACUGAAAUUUUCGUAAGUGCUAUAUAUAUAUAUAUAUAUAUAUAUAUAUAUAUAUAUAUAUAUAUAUAUAUAUGAUUGGCCUUUAGUACCGAAUCGUGGCUCCAACCGGUACUAAAGGCCUAUUUUCGCCAGGCCAAGCGGCGGGAAACGAAGGCUUUUAGUACCGGUUGGAGCCACCAACCGGUACUAAAGGGGGGCCUUUAGUACCGGUUGGAGCCACCAACCGGUACUAAAGGCCUUGCGCUGCCACCCCAAAAUUUAGUCCCACCUCGCCCGGCGAAGGGCAGCCGCACUGGUUUAUAAACCUAGCCGCGGCUACCUCUUCGAACUCCUCUAUAUAGCAGCCUUCUGGGCCUAAUUAAUUAGGGCGCGCUGCCAUGUGAGUCUGCUGGCCCUUCUGGGCCUGCAUUUGCACACCCUAGGUCUGGUAGACCCACAGGGCAGUGCGCCAACAAAUUUUUUAUAUAGUUUUAUCUUUUCUGCAUUACUUAUUUUCUUUUAUUUAUUUUUGAGUAGUUUUUUAUAUAGUUUUUGUUUUCUGCAUUAUUUAUUUUCUUCUAUUUAUUUUUGAGUAAUUUUUUUGUAUAGUUUUUUUAUUUUCUGCAUUACUUAUUUUUGCAUAGUCCGAAACCCUGAUACUCGGAAAGAGUUUGUCCAGUUUGUACACGAAGUGCGUCCAGUUUUUGCCGUGACCCUCUCUACUCUUUCGCGCAUGCUAUGCGGGUGAUACGAUGAUACCAUGCCAAGUUUCAACAUUUUCAGGAUUCAUUUUGUAGUGAUUUUCAAUUUCACGGUCAUUUAGCUCUCUAAACAAUUAGGUAAAUGACUGAAAAACAACAAAUGAUGUCAGAACAUGUUGAAAAUUGAUGACGUCGCUUUAAAUGCUGCAUACUGAACACAAAAGAAGUCCGGAGUACAAAUAAGUUUAAAAAACAUUGAAGUGGCCAUGUAACAGAUGAGUUCUCGUCCGAAACCCUGAUACUCGGAAAGAGUAUGUCCAUUUUGUACACGAAGUGCGUCCAGUUUUUGCCGUGACCCUCUCUACUCUUUCGCGCAUGCUAUGCGGGUGAUAUGAUGAUACCAUGCCAAGUUUCAGCAUUUUCAGGAUUCAUUUUGUAGUGAUUUUCAAUUUCACGGUCAUUUAGCUCUCUAAACAAUUAGGUAAAUGACCGAAAAACAACAAAUGAUGUCAGAAUAGACUGCACUGCACAUAGCUCAGUGUAGACUACACUGCACAUAGCUCAGUGCAAUCUAUGUUAUUCCGCAAGGCUUGAAGCUAAUCAACAUGUAGAUGAGCAUUGCAAUUCUUCGUCAUUGUCUGUGCACUCACGGCUUAUAAACCGCUCAUACUGCCUCUCUCUUGGCGAGGUGGGACUAAAAACAACUUGCCAUAACCUCAUCAAUUUCCUCUUGAAGCUUGUCCUUGCCUUUUUGCUUGUAUUCUUGUGGUGGAAGAUCAUCUUGAGCUUGUGUCCCCUUGAAGGAAGUAGGAUACUUCUCUUGUUGAGGAACAAACUUUGUCUUGGGGUAUUGAUCUUCUUCCCACUCAACUCCAUUGGCAUUGAACUUUCGUUCAAAACCAACACCUUGAUUCUUCCAGUGCCUUCCUUGCUUGCGCACAAUUUCCUCGAAUUGCUUACUCCCGGCAAGGCUUUUGUACAUUCCUUUCUCUAUAAUUCCCUUCAAUAAGCUAUUUUCUUGCUCAAGUGUAACUUGGCUAAGAGAAUCAUUAGUGGAAUCAAGAGAACUACUAGAAGCAACAAUGUUAGAUCUUAUGUCACAAAAAAGAAGUCGUAUCAAACCUUUUAUGUCGGAUCUAGAACAAACCAAUCGGUAUCGCCAUCAUACAGCCCUACCGUGGCUUGUGAUGCAUAUAUAUAUGCAUAUCAAAUGCACGGUUGGGCGUAUGAUGGCGAAUCCGAAUGAUUUGUAUUCAGUCGAUGAACUGGUAGAUGUAUGCAGUCGAUGAACUGGUAGAUGUAUGUAGUCGAUGAACUGAAAGACUUAUGCAGGGAAGGCGAGAGAUGGGCUAUAUAUAGGGUCGUCUGGCUCACAAAGUGAUUGUGGUAGUUUCGAUCCAACGACUCACAUGAGCUAGGAAGAAGCACACCCUUGAUCCAACGACUCGCAAGAGCUAUAAAGAAACACACGAUCCAUGUGAUUCUUCCUGAUUGGUGGGAUGCACAUUAGUAUCGGUUUGUGCCAUGAACUGGUGCUAAAGAUUGGCAAUGAACCGGUACUAAUGGUAGCAGCCCGCCUAGCCGUUGGAAUCGGCACUAAUGGUCACAUUUGUGCCGGCUCAAAUUCAAACCGGCACUAUAAUGUGCUUCACAUUUGACUGUUUUUCUACUAGUCAAUAGAGUUUGCCAAACUUGAGUUUCCCAAGUCACUUACACAAAAAGCUAUGAUUCAUGGUUGUCAAAUCCAUAAUUUACAAACCACAACAACCUUGAGGCAUAACAAGCUUUAAAUGCUGCAUACUGAACACAAAAGAAGUCCAGAGUUUAAAUAAGUUAUUAAAAAUAAAAAAGAGGUGCAAUGCUGGUUAAUUUGCUUCAAGCUAUUCGGAAUAGUGUAGAUUGCACUAAGCCACUGCACAUAGCUCAGUGCAAUCUAUGCUAUUCCGCAAGGCUUGAAGCUAAUCAACAUGUAGGUGAGCAUUGCAACUCUUCGUCAUUGUCUGUGCACUCACGGCUUAUAAACCGCUCAUACUACCUCUCUCUUGGCGAGGUGGGACUAAAAACAUCUUGCCAUAACCUCAUUAGUACUGGUUCAUGGUACGAACCGGCACUAAAUGGUGAUGGUGGGGCCAUAGCCUGACCGCAGGCUGACACAGCCUCUUUAGUACCGGUUCGUGGCAUGAACCGGUACUAAAGGUUCGCCACGAACCGGUACUAUUGAUCGCCGCCACGAACCGGCACUAAUGUACACAUUAGUGCCGGCUCUAAUUCAAACCGGCACUAAUGUGCUUCACAUUUGACCCUUUUUCUACUAGUGUAUGGCAUUUCCAUAGCCAUUCCGAGAUAUAUUGCCAUGCAACUUUCCAUCGUUCCAUUAUUAUGACACACUUCAUCAUUGUCAUAUUUGCUUGCAUGAUCAUGUAGUUGGCAUCGUAUUUGUGCAAAGCCACCAUUCAUAAUUCUUCAUACAUGUCACUCUUGAUUCACUGCAUAUCCCGGUACACCGCCGGAGGCAUUCACAUAGAGUCAUAUUUUGUUCUAAGUAUCGAGUUGUAAUUCUUGAGUUGUAAGUAAAUAAAAGUGUGAUGAUCAUCAUUAUUAGAGAAUUGUCCCAAGUGAGGAAAGGAUGGAGACUAUGAUUCCACAACAAGUCGGCAUGAGACUCCGGACGAAAAUAAAAAAAGAGGGAAAAAAGAGAAAGGCCAUAAAAAAGAAGGCCCAAAAAAUGAGAGAAAAAGAGAGAAGGGGCAAUGUUACUAUCCUUUUUCCACACUUGUGCUUCAAAGUAGCACCAUCAUCUUCAUGAUAGAGAGUCUCCUAUGAUAUCACUUUCAUAUACUAGUGGGAAUUUUUCAUUAUAGAACUUGGCUUGUAUAUUCCAAUGAUGGGCUUCCUCAAAUUGCCCUAGGUCUUCGUGAGCAAGCAAGUUGGAUGCACACCCACUUAGUUUCUUUUGUUGAGCUUUCAUACACUUAUAGCUCUAGUGCAUCCGUUGCAUGGCAAUCCCUACUCAAUCACAUUGAUAUCUAUUAAUGGGCAUCUCCAUAGCCCGUUGAUACGCCUGUUCUGGAGCUCCGCCAGAGGGGGCAUCGAUCACGGAGGGCUUCUACAUCAACAGCAUAGCCUCUCCGAUGAAGUGUGAGUAGUUGACCUCAGACCUACGGGUCCAUAGUUAUUACCUAGAUGGCUUCUUCUCUCUUUUUGGAUCUCAAUACAAUGUUCUCCCCCUCUCUUGUGGAGAACUAUUCGAUGUAAUCUUCUUUUUGCGGUGUGUUUAUUGAGAUCGAUGAAUUGUGGGUUUAUGAUCAAGUCUAUCUAUGAAUAAUAUUUGAAUCUUCUCUGAAUUCUUUUAUGUAUGAUUGUUUAUCUUUGCAAGUCUCCUCGAAUUAUCAGUUUGGUUUGGCCUACUAGAUUGAUCUUUCUUACAAUGGGAGAAGUGCUUAGCUUUGGGUUCAAUCUUGCGGUGUCCUUUCCCAGUGACAGCAGGGGCAGCAAGGCAUGUAUUGUAUUGUUGCUAUCGAGGACAACAAGAUGAGGUUUUCAUCAUAUUGCAUGAGUCUAUCCCUCUACAUCAUGUCAUCUAGCUUAAGGCGUUACUCUGUUUUUAACUUAAUACUCUAGAUGCAUGCUGGAUAGCGGUCGAUGAGUGGAGUAAUAGUAGUAGAUGCAGGCAGGAGUCGGUCUACUUGUCUCGGACGUGAUGCCUAUAUACAUGAUCAUACCUAGAUAUUCUCAUAAAUAUGCUCAAUUAUGUCAAUUGCUCAACAGUAAUUUGUUCACCCACCAUAGAAUUAUUAUGCUCUCGAGAGAAUCUACUAGUGAAACCUAUGGCCCCCGGGUCUAUCUUUAUCAUAUUAAUCUCCUACUACUUAGUUAUUUCCUUUGCUUUUUCCUUUGCCUUUAUUUUACUUUUCAUCUUUAUCACAAAAAUACCAAACAUAUUAUCUUUAUCAUAUCUAUCAGAUCUCACUCUCAUAAGUGGCCGUGUAGGGAUUGACAACCCCUAUUCGCGUUGGUUGCGAGGAUUUAUUUGUUUUGUGCAAGUACGAGGGACUCGCGCGUAGCCUCCUACUGGAUUGAUACCCUUGGUUCUCAAACUGAGGGAAAUACUUACGCUACUUUGCUACAUCAUCCCUUCCUCUUCGGGGAAAACCAACGCAGUGCUCAAGAGGUAGCAAGAAGGAUUUCUGGUGCCAAUGCCGGGGAGGUCUACGCAAAAGUCAACAUACCAAGUACCCGUCACAUACCCUUAUCUCCCGCAUUACAUUAUUUGCCAUUUGCCUCUCGUUUUCACCUCCCCCACUUCACCCUUGCCAUUUUAUUCGCCCUCUCUCUCUCUCUAUCCUCCCUCUCUUUCUCUAUUUGCCUCUUUUUUCCCGCUUGCUUUCUGUUUGCUUGUGUGUUAGUUGCUUGCUUGUCACGAUGGCUCAAGAUAAUACUAAAUUAUGUGACUUCACCAAUACCAACAACAAUCAUUUUAUUAGCACUCCGAUUGCUCCUCUUACCGAUGCUGAAUCUUGUGAAAUUAAUACUGCUUUGCUGAAUCUUGUCAUGAAAGAUCUGUUUUCCGGCCUUCCUAGUGAACAUGCCGGUACCCACCUAAAUAGAUUCAUUGAUUUGUGUGACAUGCAAAAAAAAGAAAGGUGUGGAUAAUGAUAUUGUUAAAUUGAAGCUAUUUCCUUUUUUGCUUAGAGAUCGUGCUAAAGCUUGGUUUUCGUCUUUGCCUAAAAAUAGUAUUGAUUCAUGGAAUAAGUGCAAAGAUGCUAUUAUCUCUAAGUAUUUUCCUCCUACUAAGAUCAUCUCUCUUAGAAACAAUAUUAUGAAUUUUAAGCAACUUGAUCAUGAACAUGUUGCACAAGCUUGGGAGAGAAUGAAACUAAUGGUACGUAAUUGCCCUGCCCAUGAUUUAAAUUUGUGGAUGAUUAUACAAAAAUGUUAUGCCGGAUUGAAUUUUGCUUCUAGAAAUCUUUUAGAUUCGGCCGCGGGAGGCACUUUUAUGGAAAUCACUUUAGAAGAAUCUACUAAACUCCUAGAUAAUAUUAUGGUUAAUUAUGCUCAACGGCAUAGUAAAAUAUCUAAUAAUAAAAAGGUGCAUGCGAUACAAGAAAUUAAUGUUUUGAGUGGAAAGAUGGAUGAACUUCUGAAAUUAUUUGCUAAUAAGAGUGUUUCUUCUGAUCCUAAUGAUAUACCCUUGUCUACUUUGAUUGAGAAUAGUAAUGAAUCUAUGGAUGUGGAUUUUGUUGGUAGGAACAAUUUUGGUAACAACGCGUAUAGAGGAAAUUUCAACCCUAGGCCUUAUCCUAGUAAUCUCUCUAAUAAUUAUGGUAAUUCCUACAACAAUUCUUAUGGAAAUUAUAAUAAGAUGCCCUCUAAUUUUGAAUCUAAUAUUAAAGAAUUUAUUACUUUGCAAAAGAAUUUCAAUACCUUGAUUGAAGAAGAACCGCUAGGAUGCGUGCUAAGAAAGAUGCCUUUAUAAGAGCGUGUUCUUCUAGUUCCUAUGAAAAUAAUGAUGAAGAUCUAAAAGUUAUUGAUGUGUUCCCUAUUAAAUCUUUGUUUUUCAACAUGGAUCUUGAUAAUGAUGGGAUUGAAUAUGAUCCACCUUUACCUAUAAGGCGUUCCAAGAAUUCAGAAUUUGUUGAUCUUGAUGCUAAAAUUGAUAAAGGUGGGAUUGAAGAAAUUAAAACCCUAGAUGUUGCUAAACCCACUAUUAUGGAUUUCAAGGAAUUUAACUAUGAAAAUUGCUCUUUUAUUGAUUGUAUAUCCUUUUUACAAUCCGUGCUAAAUUCUCCUCAUGCUUAUAGUCAAAAUAAAGCGUUUACUAAACAUAUCGUUGAUGCCUUGAUGCAAUCUUAUGAAGAAAAACUUGAAUUGGAAGUUUCUAUCCCUAGAAAGCUUUAUGAUGAGUGGGAACCAACUAUUAAAAUUAAAAUUAAAUAUCAUUAAUGCUAUGCUUUAUGUGAUUUGGGUGCUAGUGUUUCCACGAUUUCAAAGACUUUGUGUGAUUUGUUAGGUUUCCGUGAUUUUGAUGAUUGCUCUUUAAACUUGCGCCUUGUGGAUUCCACUAUUAAGAAACCUAUGGGAAGAAUUAAUGAUGUUCUUAUUGAUGCAAAUAGGAAUUAUGUGCCUGUAGAUUUUAUUGUUCUUGACAUAGAUUGCAAUCUUUCAUGUCCUAUUAUUCUUGGUAGACCUUUCCUUAGAACGAUUGGUGCAAUUAUUGAUAUGAAGGAAGGAAAUAUUAGAUUCCAAUUUCCAUUAAGGAAAGUCAUGGAACACUUUACUAGAAAGUAAAUUAAAUUACCUUAUGAAUCUAUUAUGAUAGCCACUUAUGGAUUGCCUACCAAAGAUGGCAAUACCUAGAUCUAUCCUUGCUUGUUAUGCCUAGCUAGGGGCGUUAAACGAUAGCGCUUGUUGGGAGGCAACGCAAUUUUGUUUUUAUUCCUUGAUUUUUGCUCCUGUUUAGUAAUAAAUAAUUUAUCUAGCCUCUGUUUUGGUUGUGUCCUUUGUGUUUAAUUAGUGUUGGUGCCAAGUAGAACCGUUAGGAAGACUUGGGGAAAGUCUUGUUACACUUGCUGUAAAAAACAGAAACUUCAGCGCUCACGAGAACUACUGCCAUUUUUAUUUGGAAAGUUCUAUUUAGUUAAUUAUUUCUGCAGAUGAUUAAUAGAUAAAUUCCUCACGUCCAGAAAUUUAUUUUAGAAUUUUUGGGGUUCCAGCUCUUGAGCUAGGUACAGAUUACUACAGACUGUUCUGUUUUUGAAAGAUUUUGUUUUUCAUGUGUUGUUUGCUUAUUUUGAUGAACCUAUGGCUAGUAAAAUAGUUGAUAGACCAUAGAUAAGUUGGAAUACAGUAGGUAUAACACCAAUAUAAAUAAAUAAUGAGUUCAUUAUAGUACCUUGAAGUGGUCUUUUAUUUUCUUUCGCUAACGGAGCUCACGAGAUUUUCUACUUUAAGUUUUGUGUUGUGAAGUUUUCGAGUUUUGGGUAAAGAUUUGAUGGUUUAUGGAACAAGGAGUGACAAGAGCCUAAGCUUGGGGAUGCCCAUGGCACCCCCAAGAUAAUCUAAGUACACCUAAAAGCCAAAGCUUGGGGAUGCCCCGGAAGUCAUCCCCUCUUUCGUCUACUUCUAUCGGUAACUUUACUUGGAGCUAUAUUUUUAUUCGCCACAUGAUAUGUGUUUUGCUUGGAGCAUCUUGUAUUAUUUGACUCUUUAUUUGUUAGUUUACCACAAUCAUCCUUCCUGUACACACCUUUUUUAGAAUACUCUAUGUGCUUCGCUUAUAUCUUUUGAGUUAUAUAGUUUUGCUCUAGUACUUCACUUAUAUCUUUUAGAGCACGGUGGUGGAUUUGUUUUAUAAAAACUAUUGAUCUCUCAUGCUUCACUUAGAUUAUUUUGAGAUGCUUAAUAGCAUGGUAAUUUGCUUAAAAUCCUAAUAUGCUAGGUAUUCAAAGUUAGUAUAAUUUUCUUAAGAGUGUUUUGAAUACUAAGAGAAGUUUGAUGCUUGAUGAUUGUUUUGAGAUAUGGAGGUAAUAAUAUCAAAGUCGUGCUAGUUGAGUAGUUGUGAAAUUGAGAAAUACUUGUGUUGAAAUUUGCAUGUCCCGUAGCAUGCACAUAUGGUAAACGUUGUGUAACAAAUUUGAAACAUCAGGUGUUAUUUGAUUGUCUUCCUUAUGAGUGGCGGUCGGGGACGAGCGAUGGUCUUUUCCUACCAAUCUAUCCCCCUAGGAGCAUGCGCGUAGUACCGAGGUUUUUGAUCACUUGUAGAUUUUUGCAAUAAGUAUGUGAGUUCUUUAUGACUAAUGUUGAGUCCAUGAAUUAUACGCACUCUCACCCUUCCAUCCUUGCUAGCCUCUUCGGUACCGUGCAUUGCCCUUUCCCACAUUGAGUGUUGGAGCAAACUUCGCCGGUGCAUCCAAACCCCGUGAUAUGAUACGCUCUUUCACACAUAAACCUCCUUAUAUCUUCCUCAAAACAGCCACCAUACCUACCUAUUAUGGCAUUUCCAUAGCCAUUCCGACAUAUAUUGCCAUGCAACUUUCCACCAUUCCGUUCAUCAUGACACAUUCAUCAUUGUCAUAUUGCUUAGCAUAAUCAUGUUGUUGACAUAGUAUUUGUGGCAAGGCCACUGUUCAUAAUUCUUUCAUACAUGUCACUCUUGGUCCAUUGCAUAUCCCGGUACACCGCUGGAGGCAUUCAUAUAGAGUCAUACUUUGUUCUAGUAUCGAGUAGUAAUUAUUGAGUUGUAAAUAAAUAGAAGUGUGAUGAUCAUCAUUAAUAGAGCAUGGUCCCAAAGAGAGAAAAAAGGAAGGGCCAAAAAAGGCCAAAUAAAAAAUAUAAAAAAGGGGGGCAAUGCUACUAUCCUUUUUUCCACACUUGUGAUUCAAAGUAGCACUGUAAUCUUCAUGAUAGAGAGUAUCUUGAUUUGUCACUUUCAUAUACUAGUGGGAAUUUUUCAUUAUAGAACUUGGCUUGUAUAUUCCAACAAUGGGCCUCCUUAAGUGCCCUAGGUCUUCGUGAGCAAGCAAGUUGGAUGCACACCCACUUAGUUUCUUUUGUUGAGCUUUCAUACAUUUAUAGCUCUAGUGCAUCCGUUGCAUGGCAAUCCCUACUCCUUGCAUUAACAUCAAUCGAUGGGCAUCUCCAUAGCCCAUUGAUUAGCCUCGUUGAUGUGAGACUUUCUCCUUUUUGUCUUCUCCACAUAACUCCACUCAUUAUAUUCUAUUCCACCCAUAGUGUUAUGUCCAUGGCUUGCAAUCAUAUAUUGCGUGGAAGUUUAUAGGUUUGAGAUCACUAAAGUAUGAAACAAUUGCUUAGCUUGUCAUCGGGGUUGUGCAUGAUGAGAGCGUUGUUGUGUGACAAAAAUGAAGCAUGACUAAACUAUAUGAUUUUGUAGGGAUGAACUUUCUUUGGCCAUGUUAUUUUGAGAAGACAUAAUUGCUCAGUUAGUAUGCUUGAAGUAUUAUUAUUUUUAUGUCAAUAUGAACUUUUGUCUUGAAUCUUUCGGAUCUGAAUAUUCAUAUCACAAUUAAGAAGAAUUACAUUAAAAUCAUGCUAAGUAGCACUCUGCAUCAAAAAUUCUGUUUUUAUCAUUUACCUACUCGAGGACGAGCAGGAAUUAAGCUUGGGGAUGCUUGAUACGUCUCCAACGUAUCUAUAAUUUUUGAUUGCUCCAUGCUAUAUUAUCUACUGUUUUGGACAAUAUUGGGCUUUAUUAUCCACUUUUAUAUUAUUUUUGGGACUAACCUAUUAACCGGAGGCCCAGCCCAGGAUUGCUGUUUUUUGCCUAUUUUAGGGUUUCGAAGAAAAGGAAUAUCAAACGGAGUCCAAACGGAAUGAAACCUUCGGGAACGUGAUUUUCUCAACGAACAAGACCCAGGAGACUUGGACCCUCCGUCAAGACACAAAAGAGGAGGCCACGAGGUAGGGGGCGUGCCUACCCCCCGGGCGCGCCCUCCACCCUCGUGGGCCCCCUGUUGCUCCACCGACGUACUCCUUCCUCCUAUAUAUACCUACGUACCCCCAAAUGAUCAUAUACGGAGCCAAAACCCUAAUUACACCGCCGCAACAUUUUGUAUCCACGAGAUCCCAUCUUGGCGCCUGUUCCGGAGCUCCGCCGGAGGGGGCAUCGAUCAUGGAGGGCUUCUACAUCAACACCAUAGCCUCUCCGAUGAAGUGUGAGUAGUUGACCUCAGACCUACGGGUCCAUAGUUAUUACCUAGAUGGCUUCUUCUCUCUUUUUGGAUCUCAAUACAAUGUGCUCCCCCUCUCUUGUGGAGAACUAUUCGAUGUAAUCUUCUUUUUGUGGUGUGUUUGUUGAGACCGAUGAAUUUUGGGUUUAUGAUCAAGUCUAUCUAUGAAUAAUAUUUGAAUCUUCUCUGAAUUCUUUUAUGUAUGAUUGGUUAUCUUUGCAAGUCUCUUCGAAUUACCCGUUUGGUUUGGCCUACUAGAUUGAUCUUUCUUGCAAUGGGAGAAGUGCUUAGCUUUGGGUUCAAUCUUGCGGUGUCCUUUCCCAGUGACAGUAGGGGCAGCAAGGUACGUAUUGUAUUGUUGCCAUCGAGGACAACAAGAUGGGGUUUUCAUCAUAUUUUAUGAGUCUAUCCCUCUACAUCAUGUCAUCUUACUUAAGGCAUUAAUCUGUUUUUAACUUAAUACUCUAGAUGCAUGCUGGAUAGCGGUCGAUGAGUGGAGUAAUAGUAGUAGAUGCAGGCAGGAGUCGGUCUACUUGUCUCGGACGUGAUGCCUAUAUACAUGAUCAUACCUAGAUAAUCUCAUAACUAUGCUCAGUUCUGUCAAUUGCUCAAUAGUAAUUUGUUCACCCACCGUAGAAUACUUAUGCUCUUGAGAGAAGCCACUAGUGAAACCUAUGGCCCCCGGGUCUAUCUUUAUCAUAUUAAUCUCCUACUACUUAGUUAUUUCCUUUGCUUUUUUACUUUGCCUUUAUUUUACUUUGCAUCUUUAUCACAAAAAUAAAAAUAUCUUUAUCAUAUCUAUCAAAUCUCACUCUCGUAAGUGGCCGUGUAGGGAUUGACAACCCCUAUUCACGUUGGUUGCGAGGAUUUAUUUGUUUUGUGCAGGUACGAGGGACUGGCGCAUAGCCUCCUACUGGAUUGAUACCUUGGUUCUCAAAACCUAAGGGAAAUACUUACGCUACAUUGCUGCAUCAUCCCUCACUCUUCGGGGAAAACCAACGCAGUGCGCAAGAGGUAGCAAGGGUUCCUUUUUGUCGACGAUCUGAUGUUUCAACCUUGUUUUCCAGGCGGCCAACGCAUCGCUCAACUUGGUCAUGGCGUGUUUGUUUAUCUUCGUCAUUGCCAGGUCCUUAUCUGGAUCUUUAUUAUCCUUUUCAUUACGGUCCGGGAACAAGAAUAUCUGGUGCAGCUUCUUUAGGAGGGAGGGCCUCUGGUGCAGCUUCUAUAGUUUCCCAUCGUUGAUCAUGGCAGUUGUCCGUACAAUGCAACCUAUUUGAUUGCCGUAGCACGAUUGCGCUUCCUCGGGUGCUAUUGUCUCAAAAAUACCGUCGUCCAUCUCCGUGACCACCAGUCUAGUACUCAUGAGCUGGUUUAGGCGUCGUGGCCUCUUUGCUUUCGGUUCUAGACUAACUCCGCUAGUCUCGGCGCUGGUCUCAGUCUCAUCGCCGGUCUGCAUGUCGGUAUCAGUCCCUGAUGCGACAACACAGUCGCUGCAACAUGGGUAAGGGAGACCACAUCAGUGCUGGGGGGUCCGAAAAUCGGGACACACUUUCGCGCGUCGCGGGCCGCCUCUCAGACAGCUACUGGGGAGGCGGCGGAGUACCUGGGUGCGCCGCGAAUCCCCGGGAACUCGGUGACCAACUUCCUUCCCGUGUGGCGCAUGGAGACGACAGCGACCCCGGCGAAGAGUAGCUUAGCCGCGAGCUGCACAGCCUCGUCCACCUCCUAAGUUGGGACCUCCGCGCAAGCGUUGCGGGGCCGCCGCUCGGGUGGCUUCUGGAAGGCGGUUGUACAUGGGCACAGGGUGAAUCCCGACUAGAGCUGGCCAUUGGCGCGCGCAAGUAGACGACGACGUCCCCGACGAAGAGCUGCCCGGCCAGCUCGCCUCACUCUCCUUUGAUUAGAAAUGAAAGAUUGGGAAGAAGCAGACUUGAGCCUGCAGAGAAAGGAUAAGGUGACGAUGCAGUCUCCACUCGUUCGGGGCGACACGCGUACUGAAUGUAUGAGAAACGUGACGUGGCAGAGACCCCAAGAUACUCCCUCCAUUUAUUUUUAGUCUGCAUAUAAAGUUUGGUCAAAGUCAAGAUUUGUAAAUUUUAACUAACUUUAUAAUAAAAAAAUAUCAAUAUUCACAAUAUGAAAUCAAUAUUACCAGAUGCGUCAUGAAAUGUAUUUCCAUACUAUAAAGUUUUGGUAUUGUAGAGGCACUCUUCCAUAUAAUGAAGUUUAUAAUAUAUGUGCUUAUAUUGUACUACAAUUGUUUGAAUAGCUUAGCAUAUGUUCAGAUGUAUGAUAUCUGUAAUUUAAGCGCUUGAAUUUUACAUAUAAAUAUUUAUUAAUAAAUAUGUACCCCUAUAAUAGCUAGGCCGUGCAGUUGCACGGGUAGAUGACUAGUGAUUACAAUCUUGUUUGUGUGCAAGUCAAGCUUAUCUAGUUUACACGUAACAACUUGUAGAACAUUACAAAAUUUAUGCUUGCUAAUAACUUCUAGAACACUACAACACUUGACAUGUAAAAGGAAUUUGACGAGUCAUGGCCUACUAAAGCAAGUUACAUUACUAGUCUUAUCUAUCUUAACAGACCACACAAGAUUACAAACUAAGUACCGUGACAGCCAUACUUAUCUAGUUUAUGCGUAACAAUUUGCAGAAAAUUAGAAACUUAGUUUCAGAAAAAUACGCAAUCUAGAUUAGUGUUUGAGCUGUAAAGUGAAUAAGAUGAGUCAUGCAUGUUAUCACACCUUUUUGGUGGUGGAAUGAUAGUGCAACAACAAGGAACUUUAAUGACCAGUCCAAGAAUACACUUGUAAGUAGUGCCACCAAACAGAACAUUCCAAAUGAUGAUUUUUAGAAGCAUCCAAGCACUUUCCACACAAACAAAUGCCAAUUGUGAAAGAGAUCAUUCCAUGGCAGCUAUAAAUAGCCCCAUAGCAUGACGAUCAUCCUUCCUCAUCCAUCAUUCUCAUUAGUAGAGCGCAUCAUUUAAGCCAAGCAAGCUGUGGUCAAUACAAAUCCACCAUGAAGACCUUUCUCAUCCUUGCCCUCCUUGCUAUCGUGGCGACCACCGCCACAACUGCAGUUAGAGUUCCAGUGCCACAAUUGCAGCCACAAAAUCCAUCUCAGCAACAGCCACAAGAGCAAGUUCCAUUGGUACAACAACAACAAUUUCUAGGGCAGCAACAACCAUUUCCACCACAACAACCAUAUCCACAGCCGCAACCAUUUCCAUCACAACAACCAUAUCUGCAGCUGCAACCAUUUCCGCAGCCGCAACUACCAUAUUCGCAGCCACAACCAUUUCGACCACAACAACCAUAUCCACAACCGCAACCACAGUAUUCGCAACCACAAGAACCAAUUUCACAGCAGCAGCAACAACAACAACAACAACAACAAAUCCUUCAACAAAUUUUGCAACAACAACUGAUUCCAUGCAUGGAUGUUGUAUUGCAGCAACACAACAUAGCGCAUGGAAGAUCACAAGUUUUGCAACAAAGUACUUACCAGCUAUUGCAAGAAUUGUGUUGUCAGCACCUAUGGCAGAUCCCUGAGCAGUCGCAGUGCCAGGCCAUCCAAAAUGUUGUUCAUGCUAUUAUUCUGCAUCAACAACAAAAACAACAACAACAACCAUCGAGCCAGGUCUCCUUCCAACAGCCUCUGCAACAAUAUCCAUUAGGCCAGGGCUCCUUCCGGCCAUCUCAGCAAAACCCACAGGACCAGGGCUCUGUCCAGCCUCAACAACUGCCCCAGUUCGAGGAAAUAAGGAACCUAGCGCUACAGACGCUACCUGCAAUGUGCAAUGUCUACAUCCCUCCAUAUUGCACCAUCGCGCCAUUUGGCAUCUUCGGUACUAACUGAGAAGAAAAUAACUCUAGUACUAGAUAUAUGAAACACCGUUUUCUCAGUCCAUGGUUUGGUCAUUGUAGCGUUGAAAAAAUAAUGUGACAUGCA
rnacentral:lncRNA from 1 species